UUGGGAGUGGUGAGGCCUCACGGCGACGAGUCUUCUUCUUGAUCUCGGGUCGAAUUAGGUGAGUGUCAGAAAGAGGAAUCAACGAUGGUUUCCUCCAUGAUGGUCUCCUCGGCUGCCACCUUCACCCGGGCUUCCCCGGCUCAAUCCAGCAUGGUGGCGCCGUUCACCGGCCUCAAGUCCGCCUCCGCCUUCCCUGUCACCAGGAAGCCCAACGCCGACCUCUCCCACCUCCCCAGCAAUGGCGGCCGAGUUCAGUGCAUGAAGGUACGCACGUACAAGGCUCGUGGCUCGAGUCGGAAACCUCUGUUACCGAGAUAGCCGUUACGAAUCAUAUACUGUGGAUGUAAUUCUUACGACAGGUGUGGCCGAUCGAGGGCAUGAAGAAGUUUGAGACCCUGUCCUACCUUCCGACACUGAAGGACGAGGAGUUGCUGAAGCAGAUCGAGUACCUUCUCCGCUCCAAAUGGAUUCCCUGCUUGGAGUUCUGCCCCGUAAGUAACUUCACCUGCCCCAUGGUGGGCAUCCGGUAACCUUGAUAUCCAGCAUGCAUACCGGGGAUUGAAGUCGAUCGUAAUGACCAUAACAGAAAGGGUUCGUGUGGCGCGAGAACCACCGGUCGCCGGGGUACUACGACGGGCGGUACUGGACCAUGUGGAAGCUGCCCAUGUUCGGGUGCACCGACGCUGUGCAGGUGGCGAAGGAGGUGGAGGAGUGCAAGAAGGAGUACCCCCACGCCUUCAUCCGCAUCAUCGGCUUCGACAACAACCGCCAGGUGCAGUGCAUCAGUUUCAUCGCCUACAAGCCGACCGGCUACUAGACGAUUCGGAUCCGGCUCUUCGGAUUUGCUUUCUUUGGUUCAGUGUUGGAUGUUUCCCCUUCUCUCGUUGUCUCCUCUACGCAACCGCCGACAGUGCAGCAGCGCACUGAGGCCGUCUAUGUUUUGUUUCCCCAAGAACGCGGAGCUUGUAUGUUAAGAAGUUUAUUAUGGACGUUCGCUUAUUUAUAAUAAAGGCUACCCAAUGUGUUUGAUUUUACCUGUAUCCGUCUGCUGUGGGUGGAAGAAUCCCGUACCGUAGUCGGCAGACGUGUGGUGUGGGGGUUGAAGCUUUGCUCUGGCCCAACCUAAUGUUAUCUGGGCUCUGUAUUGGGCCGAUCUCGGCCUACUUGGACGAUCAACCGCUGGGUCAACGGUCAAACACCGCGCGCAUGUCUUCUUCUUCUCCCUCCCCUACUAAUUUAAUGGAAAUAGAUAUAUGGACCCCCAAAAAAAAAAAAAAAAAAAUGUCAUCAUCUCGCAUCCGACGCACCAACAAACGCGCCGUGGCAAAAGCAGUACGAGAGGUUUCCUAUCGUCGUCGGUCGUGAAGAGUAGCAAAGUAGAUCGAGCCCAAGCGAGGAACGUCACGUGCGAGCAUAAUUCGUGUCGGCCCUUCGCUCGUGGUGGGGUACCGCCGCGGUGCCCGGUACCGUGUCGGAUGAUGUAUAUUAAUGAAGCCAACCGUGUGUGAUAUCUCAACUCAUGCUGUAAUCACCGUUUGAAUAGUUUGAUGAACGGUGUCCAUAUCCACAGCAUGCGUGACACAUUUGGUACCUACCCAUUAAAAUACAAUACCAUUCAGAGCACUCUCUCGAUUUAUUUUACUUUUUCUAUUAUUCUUCUUCUUCUUCUUCUUUUUUUCCUUUGGAUAAAUCCUCCUCCGACUCCCUUCUUCCCCAUUCCUAUCUCCUUCCCCUCUUCGGAUUCUCUCUCUCUCUCUCUCUCUCUCUCUCUAGUAGGGAGGCGGAUAAGGUACAUAAAAAUCCGGUCUUUGCCUCCUGCGCUUCUUUUUCUUCCCUUCUUCUUCGAUUCUGAGGGGUGAUCGGCUUCUUUUGUGGGAGAUCCCUCUCGUGGUGUCGCGCGCCGGUGGUUUUCCAAACAGAGUCGGGAUUUUUACUGGUUUUUGGAGUUUUCCUUCUUCUCGAAAUUUCGCACCCUCCUGCUUUUAUGGGAAACAGUGAAAUGUUCAAACUUGCCUGCAAAUACGUCCGAGUUUUCGUAGCUGCGGCGUUGUUUCUACCGGAUUCAAACGGAGAAAACCGCUUUUCUUGUUGGCUAAUUUAGUUGUCACGACAGGCGUUGCCAUCGUAAAGAUUGGGCGAACAUGAACCGCUGCGCGAUGCAACAGAACCCUUUCGCCGCCUACGAAGAGAUGAGGACCGCUUUCGCCGCCGCGGAAAGGAAGCCCCCUGUCUUCUGCCCGAAGCCCCGGCGGCUCAGCCCGCCCGCUGGCGUCGCCGAUCCGAUCUGGCCCCUCCGUUGGCACUCGAGGUUGACAUAUAUAACAACCCCUCCUCUGCUACGACACCGCAAAAGUUUCCCCUUUUCGUGUAUCUGAUUCCACCUCUCUCUGUCUCUCUCUUCUGCUCUUCUCAGUCGUCAAGCAGAUUUCUCCGAUUCGAACGCCGUGGCGGACCUUCUUGACAUCUUGCUCGCAAAGGUGAGAUUUUUUGUUGACGUUGUAAUAACAUGUGUAUUUGAUGUAGCUGAUACCGAAGAAAAUAGAUCUGGAAAACCUCUGUUAUUGACGUCUAUUAUCACGAUUUGUUCGCAGGAUGGUGAAGAACAGAACCGAGAGGCUUCUUCGCCGCCCUUCUUCUGCGGCUCGCCUCCAGACCGUGCGGCAAACCCGGUCGUCCAUGACGCCCGUUUCGGCGAGGACCGUCCGCCGCUGGCGCCGUUCGCCCCUGUGCAACCGACCCAGUCCGUCACGCCGAUGUCCCCCAAGCACGCCAAGUUCGGGCUCCUGCCGGCGGCCGUGCGGGUCGAGGGUUUUGAUUGCCUCGAUCGCGGCUGCAGCAGCAUCGCUGCUGUGGCCUGAACGCCCGCAUGCGCCUCCGAGCUUUCUUUUGGAGCGCGGUGAGAGGAAGAGUGAGAGGAAGGGAGAAUUGACAUCAACAAAUCAAAGAAACCAGCUGUAGGAGAAGAACAAGUUGGUAAUCUGGGAAUGCGUUUUGGCUCUCCAUGUAAACUGUACAUCUUACUAGUGGUGCACCAAUGUUGUGUACUAUUUGUGUGGGAGAAUUGUAUGUAGAUAUCAAAAUAAGGAAGAUAGAGAGUUAGGAGGAGGAGGAGAAGGAAAGCCAAGUUUUUUUGUGUUUUGUUUUGAUCCAUAUGGACGGUAAGAGGUUCUAUUUCAUCCUGUGCUGAAAUAUUCAUCAUCUUGUAUAGAACUCUUAGGAGGAAAUCCUCGAAUCAUGAAAUUGUGUAUCUAUUCAUCAUGUAUAAAAUUUUGUAUUCCUUUUCCUCUCUAUGUUUAUGGUGCCUCUUGGAGCUCUCGAGACGGUGGUGUUGCGAUUGAUGUGGCUGCCACCAGCGAAAAGAUGUUGCGCUUAGUGUUAAGAGCAUCGUUGGACGGAGAUGACUGGAGACGUGGCUUCGUGUUGGAAUAAUGUCAUCUUAUCAGAGCAGAUAUGGUCAAUAUCGUCGACUGAUACGAGAGGCGAUGGGUAAGGAGGAAGAGGUGGAGGAUAAGAAGGAAAUGGGGGCAGGAGGGCCCAGCAAAAGGGGUGUGAGGUCAUGUCUUCUCCACCGAGCUGUCUCUGUUCAAGUGGCGCUGUCGCGAAGAAAAAAAAUAACGAAGUCCAUGCCACCACCAUUCUUUGAAUUCUCCACAUGUGUUCGUCCGUGAUGACUGACUAAUUCAACAACGGAUGGAUCGACUCCGAGACGGACUAAAUGUUCUGUGCCUAACGAAGGAUGGACACAAGUGGAUAAUGCUUUGACAAAGGUGGCUAAUUGGCACGCGAUUUCCAGGGUCUUCUGUAUGCACAGAGUCAUGAGCUGUAAUAGGCCAAUGUCGUGAACUAUAUAAUAAAUACAUCGAUGGAAGUCAUGAGCAAGUGGGGAAAAGAAAAGCCUCGGCGAUUUCUUUCUACCCGUUGCCGUCCUGCUUUGCGUCCGACCGUCUCAUUCCAUCCCGCAUGAGAUACGGUGCUGUCGGAAGAGAUUCGGACUCGCAUUAGGUUCCGAUCUCUCCGAGCGUUCGUUCAGACACAUCGCCAGGGAAAAGAAAAAGAGUAGUAGAAUCCAUCCAACUUGUGCUUGCCAAAUAAGCAGAUAAGAGGAACGAAGGCUGGGUUCACAAGCAGUCAACGUGGCCACUUUCCACACCACGGCCUUCGUCCGCAGACCAUUCCUCAUCCCAUCCAAGUGAGUCCAAAAUCUCCACUGCUCACCUCAGGCGUGAAUGCAGAUAAAGAGGAAACAAAGCGGACGUGUCCUCUGCGGAACAUGUGGUCCGCCAUGCACGUAUCCCCUGUUACUCUUGGCCUCGGCGAGACGACGUGCCGAUCCAUGGGUGGAAGAGAGACGGAAGGAAUAGGAGAGAUCCCACGACGUGCAAUGUUUCAUCGCCCACCGUGCUGCACUCGCACAUGGUCUGCGGCUUCUCCCCGGCGCAUGGAAACCAAAUAUGGGAUCGGUGGGAGAAACAGGAUCGGAAACCUGUCUCCACGGUACCACUUUCCUUCCGGUACCCAACCGAUGAAGGGAUGCGUAGAGAUCGUAAUCGAAGCAUCUGACUGCAGGAACGCUUAGAGAAUUCACUCGUUGCAAGCACCAUAGCCUCGUCCUCGUACCAUGCCAUUCUCGAUGAAGGAAUCAGAAACUGGGCGAAGCGAAGGACAUGCCACGUAAAGCAGAAGAACAGGGCACAAAGAAAGGAUUCCGGUGGAGAAUAAAGAGGGAGGAGAGUCUGGUCCAUUGCUUUUGUCGACAGAUGGGUAUCGUUUGAGACCCACCUGGAUCGCUAUGGUGAUGAUAGAUAGAUAGAUAGAUUCUUGAUGUUUAUUCUCCCAUCAAAUCAGUAACAGGGAGGAGUGAAACGGAGCGAGAGAGAGGAGGGACAACACAUUUACGGAGAACCUACAUGUGUCGAGACAGGAAAACAAUGACAGGCUACAGGUGGGUUGCGUACACUCAAACCUUUGUCGCCGCAACUGGAUGCGAAUGGGAGCUGUCGGCGAAGCAAGCAAUCGGACCUGAGUUGGCUCACCGCAGAUGCCUAAUGAUUGACGCGGAAAAGGCCAAAUCGAAGAGAUUUGGUUUGCACGAUUGGGGUGUGCAGCCAACUCGGGUUGAGUCACCUGCUGCGGCGCCUUUGAUUAGCUCUUCCUCUGGUGGGGGUGGACGUGUCCACCUGUGGCCAUAAGACCCGCCGCGAGUGGUGGUCAAAACAAAGAAGGCCUUGGGAACGACGGAGGCCGACUUUAACGUGGCAAACGGCUGUGUGCCACCUUUACUGAUGUGCCCAAAUCUUUAACAAAAAUAAAUAUUCGUGGACCGCUGGGGUGCUGAGAGCAUCUGCUUUUUAUAAUACGAAAAGAAAAGCCUGUUCGUACGACAAUCUUACUCUGGCGGAGUGGCUGAAGGAACAUUCCUUUUUCUUCUUAUAUAUAUAAUUACUUUCUUCGUGUUCGUGAGCUCCAACUCAGAAACUUCCCUUCGUUCCUAUCUUUACACAUGUUUGCCUGAAUAGAUGCUUGGAGGUGCUGUCAACGUAAGAACGCUUGAAACUGAUAAAAGGAUGGGGCUCGAUGUCAAACAUCAUAAGAGAAAAACUAGGUCAUGUCGUCUAGGAUUAAUGUUCUUUACGAUUAAGCAUGCGAGUCCUUUCGAAAUCAUGAUCGAGAAAAGUCCAAAAGGAUAAGCUUAGCCAUCGUGUAUCAAUGAUUCUUUACGAUUAGGCAUGCGAGUCCUUUCGAAAUCAUGAUCGAGGAAAGUUCAAAAGGAUAAGCUUAGCCAUCGUGUAUCAAUGGUUGCUCUAAUUUAUGAUCACAUGAGGGGGGUUACCUUACAUGCGUGUCGACUCCAAGUGGUGGCUCACGAUUAGGGUGAGUCAUCGAUCUAAUGCUUGUGUCAUUGUUUUUCCUAUCAACACCUAUAGUUUUUUCUAAUAUCAUCAUAUUUUUAAUAUAUUUUAAAACACUAAUAUCUCCUGAUAAAAGUCUAAUAUACAAAAGAGUAAAAUUAUUUAUUUCAUUAAAUUUUCAUAAUAAAAUAGUAAAAAUGGAUGACAUCUUUGUUCAAAUUUUUAUCAUAAAAAAUUUUAGAUUCUGAUGCCACUUUUAUAUCCUACGAAGAGUUAGCAUUUUUUAUUUCUUCAUAAUAUUUUUAAUUUUUAUUAGACUGUGUUGAACAAGGAGGUGUUUCAUCCUCCUCUUCUAUUCAAUUAUUGAACACAACUAUUCUUUCCAUUAAAUUUUUAUAAUAAAAAUUAAAAUUUAAUCGAGCUAUUUUUUUAAAAAAAUAAAAAAAAAUAGAUGAGAAAAAGUAAUAGCGACCCCUCCAACCAACCCCUCAGCACACGACAACAUGAACAGACUAGUCUAAACGCAAAAGUAAUAUUGACCCGUUACACUAAUUUGCUUUUGGUGGGUUGUCCGUACGGACAUCGGUGGGUAUAAGGCACGCAGCCCAUGUGGGGGUCGACUGCAGAAAUAACUCCGUCCUCGGCGACGAAGCUGAAGCUGAAGCUGGCAAUUGUUUUCUCAGAAUCAGAAUAUUCAAUCGGCCACCAUAAAUCAAAUGAAUAGGAAGAACAAAAGAAGCACAGACCAGCGGUGGUGGGAAGGUGAAGGUCGUGAUCGUCGCCGUAAAUUUUAAUAGAAACGAGCGAAGAAAAGAAAAUAUUUCGAAAUUGGACAAACAAUGGCUCCUUAAUUUAUUAAGUAGCGACACGCCGGUGACUGUGCGGGAGCGGGAGGAGGAGGUGGAGGUGGAGCUCCGCACGACGGAUUCGCCUCCGACCGCCCCUCCCUCAUUAUUUCGUCUGUCGGUCACGCACGGCUGUGGUCCGCACCUCUCUCUCUCUCUCUCUCAGACACGUGACCCCCCGCUUAUCCGCUCCAAAGCCGCGACGCGAACCGGACGCGCUGCGUCUGCCACGUUGCUGCCGGCCCCUCGUAACGUAGCCACGUGUACUCUUUAGCCGGGUUCGACCCGGCUCGGGUAGCCAUGCCUUUCGAGCGACGACUCGGCCCGUCACGAGUCCUCACACCGCCCCACCCACGACGACGACGACGACAGAUAUAGAUACGUCGCCGAACCCAGUACGUUCCUGCCGUGUCGAAGACGUUUCGGUCCGUGACGCGCCCGUGGCGACCAACAUGCCUAGCGUUAAUAGCGACGGGUGUUACUCCUCUUUCGGCUUAAAAUCACCGGAGUAAACAGAUCCGGAUUCGACGCGUCGAGUUGAUGGCUGCGUGCAUUUAGGGGAAGGUCUGGUGCUCGCACCACGCCUCUUUGAUUCAUUCCAUGCAUGCUUUUGACGGACGCACGCGCCAAUGAACGUCGAGAUUCGCGACGGACAGAAUCGCUGAGUGGGUCCGCCGCGGGGCCUCCAUGUUUGGCCAUUAUUGAUUAUUAGAGGUGGGUAGGCGCGGGCAGCGAUUGGGUUUCCUCGUUUCCUUUUUUUUCUUAUUCCUUCCUUUCCGUGGGCGAUUUGGUUACCACCGCAUCACCCAUCGAGCUGACAAAGAAAGAUAUUGAUGCCCACCCUGAAUAGCCUUUUUCUUUUUUCUAAUCUUUCUUUGGCGCUGUUGAGGUCAAAUAAAAUUAUAUUAACAUCAUGAUCGUUCGUUUACCCGCGGAUGGUGGAUGAUGGCAUGGGAGUUAUCCUACCAAUAUGUUAGCGGCUACGAUUCCUAAUUUAAUCUUCCAAGUUAUCCUACCCCAACAGGAGGUCAAACUCGACAACGAGAGGGAGGAUAACGUCGAACGUUUCUCACCGUUCAAAUCCAGAGGAUAGAGAAGGGAGAAGAAUAAAAAAAACAAAAAAGGAAGAUGCGCCCAAAUCCAGCCGAGCCGAGAAGACCAAGCCAAACCACGUACCGCCUCAGCCACGCCGACGACGGGGUCACUGCCCCGGACGCCAGCUCCGGACUCCAAACCCGACCCAUACGUGUCCAAAUUACCUUUCCUUUUCCCUUCAUUAAAAUAAAAAAAAGCAAGACACACCCGUGAUGCGUGGGCCCCUCCCACCUUAUUUCCCCCCCACCCCGCCCCCCUUAUUAUUAUUAUUAUUAUUAUUAUUUUACUCGCUCUUCCAUCUGUUAUGGACUUUAUCACGCCACCCACCGUAUUUCUCGUGUCUCGCGAAACGUCCCCAGAAAAAGAAAAAAAGGAAAAUGAAUAGAAAUCCGCCCCUCCUCUUUCCCUCCCUAUAUAAACUCCCCCUCCACCGUGGACGAAACCAUUCACAUGCUUACUCACGCUUCCGUGCUCCUGUUUUGAGUUUUGACCUUCUUCCUACUCGGCCCCCUUAUCAUUUUCUUUCCCAGUUUGCCCAUCGACAACCUGAAAUGUCUUCUCCACCCCCAUACCUUCCUCCUGUAGAGGCCUCCGCCGAUCGGAAAAGACGCCGCGACGAGAUGGUGGAGAUAGAGGAGGAGGGGGAGUCGCCGGAGAUCUCCUCGCCCGAGGCCAAGCGCCUCCUCCUCGACAUCCUUGACGAUGACGCCGAUGCCGGAGACCAGGACCUCGCCUCCGUCAUGAAGAGCCUCGAGGAGGAGAUCGCCCUCCCCUCGCCGCCUCCGCAACCGCAGCUGCUCCCUCUGGCCGCGGUGGACCAGCCCGACCUAGGGUUCCUCUUCGAGGCCUCCGACGACGAGCUCGGCCUGCCGCCCCAGGCCGACGAGCGCUGCGAGGCACCCGAGCCGGAGGUCGCCGAGGAGAGCGCCGGGUUUGGCCAGAUCUGGGGGUUCGACGACGGCGACCUGUGCGGAUACGAAGGGUUCGAGUUCGGGAUCCGGCCGGAGGAGCGGGCGGAGGCGGACGACGGGGUGGUGUUCGACGGCGGGCUGUUUGAUUACGCCGACGUGGUGCCCUGCGGGCCGUCCGAUUUCGCGGAUCUAUCGUGGCGGCCGGAGACGCUCCCGGCCGUCUGAUGACAGUCCGGACGCUUUUGUUCUUCCUUCUUUAAACCCCCCCCCUUCUUCAACUUUUCUUUUGUUCUUUUCCUUCUCUUUUGAGGAGCGGUAGGCGGUCGUUGUAAAGCUUAGAAAAAAGAAGAUGAAGAAAGAAGACGCUUGUGAACGAGAAUCGAACGAACGGUUUCGCACGAUAUUUCGAAGAAGGAAAUCAAUCUUUCGUUUUCUAUUUCGACAGCGUCAUUUUAUCAUCCACCUUAUUCGACCUUUGGAUGGACAUCCGACGGUGCAGAAAUGGGGAUCCCAAUAAUCUCCUUGGAUGCUCCGCUCGUCGCUUCUUGAUGACCAAAACAGAAAACCUAACAGCAGAAUAAAAAGUCGAUUCAACCCAUGAAGCACCAGUCUUAUUCGUUCAUUAAAUAUUUCUAACAUUCCGUUGCGUAGUAACGAGUUAUGCCAUUAUUCAUAUCCCGUAUUAGCUAAGAAUUAUGCUCAAUAAAUUAUAUUAUAAAUUGAUUACGAAUGGUGUAUGACUUGGUUGUGUGUGGGACCUGAGUUUGGUGGCAAGCAGUUUCGGAAACGUGUCGGGCUCUGUACGAGGCCGGCGCAGCGAGUUCUGUGAUGGGCCUUCUUCGUCUGUCUUUGCAUCUUCGCAAAGAAUGUCUGUUUCCCUUCCUUGCACUUGCGUUCCUUGGGUUGAUUCCGGCCUCGACCUAGUUGCAUGGCGUGAUUGGCAGUGGAGGACAUUAGAAUUCCAUCCUACGAGGUCUGCUCUCUUUCCUUUGUUGCUUACAAUCGAUGAAGAAUGGAUCUUUACAUGCCGCGAUCAAGGCCGCCUGUUUUUAGAGCCUCUUUUGGUAGGUCGAAACCUAAUUUUUUUUGCAUCACCUAAAUUUAUGGCAUCACCUUAGUAUGACGACGUUGUGUUCGACGAUAUGCCUCUUUUGUUUUCAUUCAUAAUCUUAUGUUUUCAUUAAUCAAGUCUAGUUCUCAUUGGAUUUCCGGUGCGGUGCCACGCCCCUUUUUGCUGGUGAGUAAACACAACACAUUAUAAUUUUUCCGGUGGUAGGAGGUCUGCGGGUGAAGAAUUCAGAAAAACUGGGACAAAGGAGAUGGAUGAAGAGUCUACUUUGUGGAGUGGGAGCGAGGACCAUUAAUGCUACCUGAAUGAUCAUGGUGAUCCGUAUAUAAUAAACAUACAGUUUGAGCUUGAGGAGACAUCCAAAUAUCGACUGUUGAAGGCAGAAAAGUAGCACCAGGAGGUCUCUCAGGGAAGGCAAGCUACAAAGCUUGCUGCAGAAAAUGCACUGAAAAAUAUUUAAGAAAGUGUCGGACAGGAAUGUAUGGGAGGCGGCAAGUGAUCUAGAUAUCCGGAUUGGAGUUUUCGAAAACAUUGUUCCAGGACCAGGCUAUGCACAGCUUCGAGAGGAGGGUGGUCCUAAGAAGGGUAGACAUCCGAUUCUUCAAGGAUAGCACAGGCACAUAGAAGAGAAUCAGGAUUCGGAUUUUUCGGUUUGACAGAAAAUUUCAUUAGAUCGUGAAAGACCAUUUGUCUAUGAUUUAAUAUGCCAAGUUAGAGUCCUCUGAUGAAGUAGAUCAAUAUGAUGGUUGCUUGCAUCAUCCCAAGGAAAGAAAUUCUCUGGUCUAACCUGACCAAUUUAUCAUCCACCUGUUUCUCCUGCUACAUAUAUUCGAGCCCGUCGUCGAUGGAAAAGUGAAGAAUGAGUAUUUCUUGUUUGUGUCUGUUGUUUCUUCGAUCCAUCUAUCUCUCUCAUGUCUUUGUUACCACAUGCAUGCAAUCGAAUUAAGUUCACUGAGGAUUUAUAUUUUGAUUCCAGAGAAACUGUGUUCUCAUUUACGCUUCGUGCGUUCUUCCCAUCUUUGUUAUGUCUUUUGUCCCAUUAGUUAACACUCGUAACAUGUUGAUGUUCACCGGAAAACUCGUACAGGCGAGGGAUGGACCAUGGUACGUUGUCCUUUCUAGCUACUGCAAGUGGAUCAAGUGGUAAACUUGCAGCAAAUUUGAUCUGCAACUCGAGUUAUAAGGCCAAGGACUAUUGUAUGUUUGUUUUGAAUAGGUAUGUGUAUAAUAUUUCUGCCAUUGGACUUAGGAAGGAAGUUUCUUGCGAAAUGAUGCACCGACCUGCUCCCAUUUCUAAAAUAUGCCCCAUCUGCUUAGGCUUAGCGAGUUGCAACAUAAACAGUUUGGGUUGGGAAGGAGCUUUUCAUUGCAGUGUGUGGUAUGGAAUGUAUCUUGUUUCUUGUCUGCACCGAUCCAAGGAUGGAUCAUUCUGGCACGGUCAUCCUCUCAUAAUGGUUAGUUUCUUGAUCCUUGAUCAAGAAGAAAAAAACGAAAGCCAUGCUCCUUGAUCCCCCGGCCAAUCCCUGUUUCUCGAGGCUUUUGUUUUGUGAAUCCUCUCGCCCUUUCUCUCAUCAUAUCCCCCUCCUGUACGAAAAGCAAGUGACAAAUCUCCUUGUGCCACUAAAGCUGACUCCCAUUGUCUAAAGACUUGUUGCGGGGACAGUGUUUUCGCCGCACAGUGUCUCGUACGGUUCCAGCUUUUGUCCAUCGUUCCUCUGUCUUUUGGUCUCCCAUGCCGACAUUGGAGCACUGUUCCGUGAGCCUCACAUGGGUGUUGGUGCCGCACAGUGAAAGGCUGCUGACCUCCUCUGUCUGUGAGACUUAAGUUUGACCGUCGGAGAAAGGAAGACUCGACCAUCAACGGUGAUCAUUCUUUUGAGAUAUCUGUAUCUUGUCGUGCACUGCCAUUCUUUAUCCAUCUUUCGAGGACUCGGGCCCUGAACCCUGCAGCUGGUUGGUCAUCUUUAUAGAUACCACGGCAUCGGUGAUCUUAUUAUAUCUUAUGUUGCUGCCCCGGUGGUUAAUUGUCCAUAUAUUUGAACUCAUAAUUUCUUUAAUCUCUUCGUGAUGCAUUGCCCCCCUUGCACUCAUUUUAGAUUAUCUAUAACAGUGUGGCUCUCAGUUCUUACCUUGUGGAAUUGUACUUGUAUUGAUUGGGUAACGCAUAUUUGCCUAAAGGUUACAAGUAAAUUAUAUGAAUAAUUUAAUUGUGGACCAAAAUGAGGAUGGUAAUCAGUAGCAUCGAGGACGGUGGGAAGCACAAGAACAAGGGGACGAGAAGAUGCUCGACAACAGCUUGAGCUAACAUCAAGAAUGCUACCAGUUCGAAGCACCACCGACUAUAGGAAACCAUAGCAGCUACGAGGAAGGAAGAAGGGAAAGAGAGAGAGAGAGAGUCAACCCCCCCCCCCCCUUGUCUCCUGAAAACCUACCAUCUACAUGAUAAUACAAGCAUUAGCGUUCUCAUCACUGAAAAGAUGAGUGGCACAGAAGCCGUUGUCUACUUGGCUGCUGAGAUAGCGAGGGCUCGGGCAGUAGUUGUAGUAGCCAGUGUAGGAGGCGAUCUGAGGGGACCUGAGGUGCAUCAUCUGAGGCUGCACGCAUCUGCCGUCGUGCAUCGCCAUGCUGUGCCCUCUCGAGUUGUUCGCCAUGGAUGGUGGAUGGUUCGGGUACCCCUGCUUGUUCACCAGCAAUGCCGACUGGUAUUGUGCCCCACCAGCAUUUCGUGGCAAGCCUCCAUUGCUCCCAACGAGACCCAUCAUCACAUUAUUCGCCUGCGUCAUCCUUUGUCCCUUCCCUGCCUCAGGAUUGCCACUCGCCACCUUCUUGUCGUUGGCUGCAGCAUUGACGCCUUUUGGCUGUGACCCACUUGAGCUUUUCACGGUGUGCUCUGCCUCUCUGCUCUUCCAUCCGCUGCUGCCAUUUGUUGGCCUCGCGCUGGCUGGUGCAUUGUUUGCCUGCCUCGUUAAACUGAUUUGCAUCAUCUUAUGGUCGAGGAUUUGCAGAUCAUCGUCGUCUUCAUCUUCGUCGUCAUCAAUAUCAUCAUCAUCAUCAUCAUCAUAGUCUUCCUCGUCGGAGCUGGACGAGGGAAGCUUGUUGUGCUGGUGUUUGAAGGCUUUGAGGCCUCGCAGGAGGCCUUGUUUGCCUCGCCCUUCGAUCUUCGUGUUGGCUUCCUUCAUGGGAUUGGCAACUUGCUUCGGUGGUGGUGGUGGUGGUUUUUUUUGAUGGAUGGACUUCUGAAUCGGGGUAAGCUUUUGAGACCAAAGCUCCGCACGCUUACCUGCUCUGACCAGCUUCCUGAUGAGGGUUUCAGAGUCCACAUUCCCAGAAACUGUGACCUUCUGUUCUUCUAUAUCUAUGCUGACUGAGAAGACUCCUGAGUGAGAUGCACAGAACAAGAGGUGCAUGAUGAACAUCAAGUUUCUAGUCAAAUCAGGAGUUGUAUCUGCUGUCCAUGGAGGAUAUAACGAACGUUAGAUCAGGUACCUUCAAUUCUAUGGAGGAGCUUCGUAACUUUGUGCUUACAUCCAUCACAAUGUAUGUUCACCUUCAGGACGUGGGUCUGCAAGAACCAACCAAACAGUUUCGCUUCACUAACUCCUCUUCUCGCAAGAUACAAACGAAACAGAGAGGAGGAGAGGUACCUGGAUCUUGAGGAGCUUGAAGUCUUCGCCCUUGACCAUUUCAGCCGCAAUUCCUUCCUGCUGUCUGGGAGAUCACAAAGGAACAGGACGCAGUUCCUUGUCUGCAGGGAGAGAAGCUAAGCCUCGGCAUGCAAGACUCGUCUCCUCCACCAUCCCCUGCACUUCCCUCUAUAUACCUCGGGGCACCCAACAGGACACCACUUCUUUUGUCCACUGCUCGCACUAUGAUUGAUACAAACACGCACUCUCCCUUUUCUUUUCCUUUUUUUUUUUUUCUCUCUUUUUCUUUUUCUUUUUUUUGCUUUGAUAGAAGAGAGUAUGUAUGAUUAGGUCUGUCUGAGAACAUCGUCCAAUGUUCUGUGUGCGUUGGGAUCCUCCCCGCGCGUAGAUUUGGCGUCUGGAGAGCCAUCCAAUGGCUGAGACAAAGCAGCUAAGCGCUGAGGGGAGGAAACGAAGAAAGGAGAUCGAGGAGAGAAGCCAUGCAGCAGCGACCUGACCUGACCUGACAUCUGCAUUGCUUCCUGCAUGCAUAGCCCUGCACAGGCUCGUCUCUUUGCAUCUGGUGCCCAUUUUUAUCGUCUCCAUCUUCUUCUUUUCUUCUCCUCUCUACUCUCUCUUUCGCCUGUUCUGCUCCUGUGCCCGCCAUAAACCCAGAAACACAGCUUAACGUUUGACGAAACACCUCCAAAUCAAUCACGUAGGCUCCUGUCCGCUAAAAGCAUUCUCUUGGACGUUGUUAAGAACCAGCGUGGUUGUCCACCGCUGAAAGAAUGCGUAGGUUGUGGUAACAAGAACGAUGGGCCUCGGGCCAUCAUGCUCCGCUCACCUGUAACCAUAGGUUUGGUAUCAGUCCACGAGCUUUGAUGCAUUCUCUUAAAGUUAGGAGGCGGCAACGAGUUCAGCUGUUUGUGCUGUAGAAAGUAAUCUUAAUUUAGGGUGAAUUCAGAAGCAGAGUGGCCCGAAGACGACGACGACGACUCAUUACUUUGGAAGCUGAGUUAGAGCUCCAUGUCGGUAGGGGACACUUUGGACGUCAAAGUUGGGUCGCGUAUGGAUCCAAAUCCUUGACUUCUUCCUUCUUCCACCGGUACGCAUGCACUUGGAGGAAAAGCUGAUCACAUGGUCUGUGGCAGACAAACAAUUAGGUGAUCUACAAGUAAUCUUGGUAAUGACAGGAGAUUAGAUGCAGAGAUACAAAUGGUUGUCCACCUCAACCUCAUUGGAUAUUGCAUUUAUUAAGAGUCAAAUCUCACGAGACUCCAAAAGUUAGAGAAAAGAAGAAAUCAACAUCCGAGUUCAUCAUUAAUCACACACACACACACACACACACCAUCACAACAUGGUCAAAAGUUGUGACAAUUUGGUCAUCAUUCCUGGGCAACUCACUGACUUGUAUCUAUUAAUCUGACAAAGCUGGGAAAUUAGCUGGAACCAAUACGAAAUCUAGCCAUCUGUCUAAACCCACCACCGAGCGUGAUCCUCCGUGAUGACAACACAAAGCCGAAUGAAAUAGGGCGUGUUUGAGAUGAAAUGGCCGAAGCCAGUGGUGGCAAUCAUUAAAAAGCAACACGUUAAACGGAGAUCGUGGGUUUCAACGGCGGGCGGCAAUGGCGGUGGUGGGAACAUGAUGCCCGACGUGCCUUGCCAUCAUUUCCCUUUCUCACAAAGUAGUCGUGAAAUUUGCUUGAUAUAUUGGCCACAAAGAUCGACGAAGACAAAUUUGUCGAUAGGAUGAAACAACGGUGGUAGAGGAGGGAUACGGGUGGCCAAAAGAAAAGAAACAUGAGGGAGGGCCAGAACGGGAAAUAAACGCCCGAGUACUUCUGAUUCUCCUCCUCCUCCCUUCCUUCACUCCAACAGAUCCAAUCGCUCCCUUGUAAGCCUCCUCCUCCUUUCCUUCCACUGAUUGUUUUUCUUGUCGCCGUGCCUUUUUGGUUUACUUUGGUUCUACUUGGUCUGUUAAGGCAGGGAUAGGAGAGAGAGAGAGAGAGAGAGAGAGAGUAGGGGUUUCAGGGUCCAUAAGAAAGCUGCCACCUUUUUCUUCUCGGUGUAUUGAUUCCUCUGUUUCUGGUGGGUUUGUGAUUCCGUUCUUGGUUUUCUUUUAGCCUCAUUCAUCUCUCCUCCUCUCUACCCUUCUCUGAAUUAUGGAUUUGUUUGCUCUCUUUCAUCUUCGUUUUCUCUUUGUCGUUUCGGAUCCAUGAAAGAUCGCUCCUUUUUCAGUGUUUCGUUUGGAAUUUCCAAUAAUACUUUGGUUCUCGUGUUUUGGUUGCUGUUCUUCUUGUGACCGAUUGAAUUUUGAUGAAUCUUUCCCGUCUCAGUUUUCUCUGUUCGUGGGAUUUCGAAUACCUUGUAGUUUGAGGAAACCGACAUCUUUCUUGUGCUUCUCUGCUGCAACCCUGUUGGUCUUGGUCUCUACACGAUGAUGUUAUUCUUACACUUACUUUUUACUGUCCUGAUAGAUUGUUGGAUUACUAUCCUCCGUUUUUGGUUCUGCGUCUCAGUGUCCUGCUCUACGUUGCAAAGAUAACUUCUUCCGUCAUGUGGGGAUUGUUCAUGAUUUUAUUAACAUCUUUCCUUUGACUCUGACGUAUGGUUACAUUGGCUUCUUUGUUACAUUGUUCUCCUCUUUUCGUUCAAAGUUCCAGAAGAAUGGGAGACCAUCUUGCUUUGUUAGUGGACCACCUGCUCACCGAGUCAACGCUUGAAGCGGCUAUUGGUAGUCGGAAGCAUGGCCAGAUUGUCGCCAAUUCGGCAUCUUUGGAGGACCCGGCCAAAGAAUUCACUCGGAAGAGUCACGUCAGAGGAAGGACAUCCGUGGGAAAGUUGGUCGAGUGCCGAAUUUGUCAAGAAGAAGAUGAAGACUGCAACAUGGAGAUCCCUUGUUCAUGUUGUGGCAGCUUGAAGGUAAAUCAAGCUUCUAUGUAACAUAUGUAACUUGCCUUUGUAUUGCCUAUUACUGUAAGGUCAAUUUUUUGUUGCAGAAUAUGGCUUGUUCUUGAAGAUUUCAUUUUUGUGAUAACACGUAUUACUAUAAGUUCAAAUUUUGUUGCAGAAUAUGGCUCGUUCUUGAAGAUUUCAUUUUUGUGAUAACAUGGAAAUCAUGCAUACAUCUGCUUCGGUCAUGCAGUUAUUUUGUAUUCUGAUUUGUAGCAAAAAGGUUCAUCAGUUCUAGCCUGCAAACUGAAUUUCCUGUAUGAUAGUGUGUAUGUUUGAGCUACAAUUUGUUAUUUUCUAUUAAUGUAUGAAAUAGUUUGGUUAUUUUCCUGUAUGAUAGUGUGUAUGUUUGAACUACCGAGUGGUAAUCUAGAAGUUAAAAAUUGCAAUUUAAUUAAGGAUUCAAACAGUGAUCAAUGUUCAUUUGUAAUUCAUUUGCAACACAUUACUUUUGCUCAGUAUCUGUUUGGCAGAAGUCUGCCCGAGAUAUGUUCCUCUUGUGUUUUAGAAUUACCUUUAAUCCAGUGAAGCUUCAGUCUGUGAGAUUUAUAUCAUUUGAAAGUCAAAGUAAGUCCGGUUAUUUAUUGACCCGGUGACAGGAAUAUAUCAUACAAAAGAAGGAACUGGUCUCUCUCAUCUCAUUUGUACGUCUGUCACCUUUGUUCAACGUUACUAGUAAAUUGUCAUCCAACAAGUUCAUUGAUCUUUGUGUUCUAGAAGUAUACAGUUAAUGCGUUCACAUAUUUCUUGUUAUGUGUUUUCUUUCGUAGUCUAGUUUACAUCCCAGGAAAAUAAGAAAAAUUCACCUUAGCUCUUUCUUCUUGCAGUAUGCUCAUCGUAAGUGUGUUCAAAGAUGGUGUAACGAGAAGGGCGACACAGUGUGUGAGAUUUGCCUGCAGGUGAUGUUUUUUUUUUCUGGCCUCGUAGUUUUCUUGAUCUCAACAUUCUGUAGUCACCAUGGUGAAAGCUUGAGCAACACGUACUGAUAUUGAAAGUGUCAAUUGAGGCUUUCUCAUCAAGCAAUUAUCUCUUUCAGAUUACAUGCUGGUCAUUUCAUCUGCACAUUUACUUUGAUGUAGCAUUUGGAUCACGAUAGUUUAUUUCUUGUGAUAUUGCUGCUAUAGCUCCUAAUUCUUGUCACUCAUUCAGCAAUUUAAGCCAGGUUAUACUGCCCCUCCAAAGUUGUUUCAGUAUGGGAGUAUUCCUAUGAACUUCAGGUAUCCUUUAUUCGUCUCGUUACGUUUUUAGGCAUCUGUGGCAAUUCAGAGUUGCAUCAUUUACACAAGGAAUCACUGAUUGUGUCAUAAUAUUUCUCAGAGGCAAUUGGGAGAUUACCAGACAGGAUCAGCAUGAUUCUCAGAUCAUAGCACUGGUUCCAUCUGAACAUGAUAUCGUGCACCCUGAUGACGAUGAUUAUUCAGCUUUAGGCAUGAGAAACACAGUUUGUCGUCAGUCAAUUGUGAUAAUAGUGAGUUUAUUUUGAUUCGAUAAGCACGAUAGUGGAGUGACUUGUGAGUCGCAUUUUGCCUUAUUAUGCUUUGUGUUUUGACGUAAGUGAUUCGCUUUUGUUUUUUCCAGUUCACGGUUCUUUUGGUUCUUCCCCACACUCUUCCUCUUAUGAUCGGUGUAGCUGAGCAGUAUUCAUUCACUCUGUUCUCAGUAAAAAUCUAAUCCUAAGAAAUUAAUAAUUUUCUUUCGACAUACUAUUAUUCGCUUCUGAAGUUCCGUAUGAUGUAGCCCAUUUUUAUUUGUACGUUUCUGUAUAAAAGCUACUGGUGUUGCGGACUGCUGGAAUACUUUUGCCGAUCUUUGUAAUGGUCAGAACAAUAAGGACAUUUCACCAGUUCCGCUGCCGACGGGUAAUUUUCUUUUUUCUUCUUCCCAUAGCGGCUGUAGAAACUCAAAUCUUUUUUCCAUGGUUUCUUAAGAAAAAGAAUCUUGAAACGUUUUGGAACAUGUUGCAGGUAACUCGUGAAAUAUCUGAUCCAGCUGAAGGAGAGAACAUGAUCGAACCUUGGCGGCUGGUGCGGUCUCAACCACAUCACAUUCAGAUGCACUGACUGAUACAAAGGAGCGAUGAUUAGCAGCGCGAGUGACUAAUCCCACUGUUUCUUGGUGAUGCAAGAUCAGGUCAAACAAUGGAAGAUGAGAAGAGGAAAAAUGACUGGGAACAUGGCAUGGUUAUGCAGUCUGCUGCUCUGUACAUAACAUGGUAGUGAUAGGUUUCCCUUCGGAAUGCUUGAAAACGGUAGCCAUAGUUGGAUCCCUCUAUAGAAAGCCACUCGCUUCAGAAAGCUUGAAGAUGAAGUGGCUGAAUUGAGAGUAGUGAUAUGGAUGGCAUGGUGUAAAGUCGAACUCAUUUGGCAGUCAAAAGAAGAUUCAAGUUUGACUUUAAAUGCCAAUGUUAGAACAGCUUGGAUUUUCUUUUUACUUUUAUUUAUUUAUUGGAUUUACUUGAAUAAGCAUAAUUAUGGGUCAAACCAUAUGUCCUCCCUUGUGGUUGAUUCAAAUAAGGUGAUGAAGAAGGAGUUACUACAUUCACGUCGUCCUUGAAUUGCAUAAGAACAUUUCUUGCACUGGUUGCUAGUGACGAAGUGCUCACCGUCAACAUCUUCAUAUUGAAUCUGAAGCCGACAGAAAUUAACAAUAGAUCAAGAAAUGUCACUAAAUCUGUGCAGGAAAAAAGACCUCCAUUGAGUUCUUCCUGAUGCCACCCACCCCUCGUCAGCCUCGUGGAACUUCUUUUAUGGUGUCCAAUGCCGGCGUCCACGACGACUGCCUCGGCCUCUCCUCUUGAUGCACCGGGUGGCUUCAUUCGCUUUCUUGGCCUGUGCGGGGAGCAAGCAGAGGUCACCGCGGACGGGAAGAAUCCUGUUGGAGAAUCUUGCCUUAGAGGCCCUGCACGAAAGAGCUGCCAUCUCCUCCUCGGUAAGCACCGAGAAGAGCAUGUCCAUCGGCAGCAGGAAGUAGAGCCGGCGUCGCUCGAGUUCCUCGUCCGCCGCCAAACCUGGAAUCCGACACCCCACGUCGAGAUGGUCAGAGUCGCACACGAACUACCCAGGGUUGUCAACCAUCAACUCCGCCGCUCUCACAGAACGCACGUACUCUACGACGCCAUUGACGACCCUUAUGGAUCCACCCGAGGCAGCGUAAGGUGUGCAUGCAGUGUUUCCCAUGAAAUCACACUCCAAUCUCCCAGCAACUAGAACAUCACAAGGGACACAAACAGAGAACGAGAGAGAGAGAGAGGAAGAGAAGGAAUGGCAAUGUGUGGAAUGUGCGUUGGGCAUUGGGGGUAUCAAGGGAAGCACAUGGGCCAGAAGAUACAGCAUCAGAUCAUGCAUGGAACCUGACAAAUCAAUGGAGGAAGCACAGAGAUGCAGAGAAGCAGAAUCAAGUGGAUGCCAAAAUGUUCAGUAUGCUUGUCCGACACCUCACACCUUACACCGCUAAAAGUUGGCAUAACAAAUCAUUGGAGAACAUGACAUGAAAACUAGACUGCUUAGAACACCUUUAACCAGACAGAGAUGGCAACAAAAGCCAAACAAUUAUAAUCAAAUUGUUGUUGAUAUGCAUAAUCUCAUCAGAGGCCAAGCUGUCUGAAGACUUAAAUCAUGGAGACCCAGCUAUCAUCUUUAUGGAAUCCUUACCUAAUUGGUGGACCAGUGUUUCACCAAAGUAGCCAACAAAACGCUAUUGCUUGAUCCAUUCUCACUUCAUCUUGAAGAGGUUUUGGGGCGCUUCAAAUGUAUCCUGUUGCUUCACAAACCUGAUCAUAUAGGCACAUCAUCGACAAAAGGCAGUGGUUAAUCUUGUUUUCUAAGCUUAGAUUCACAUUAUUUCCAUCAGUUUGUUGUUAUGCUAAUCGAAUAAAGAACCAAGCAAUAGUGUGGGAAUAAUUUACUGGACAAGUUAAUCGAAAGAAAAAUAGUGGAAGUUAAAAGCUUAGAAACUGCAUUGUCUCUUCAAAUAAACAAUUUACUGCAUUCCUUUAAUUGAAUACUGAGAGAGUAUACAUCAGUGCUCCUUGUUUUUUUAGUACAGGCAACUUAUAUGAACUUCCAAAAGUAUACAAGACUGAUGACCUGUUGUACUGGCCAUCAGAGUGUGAUUUAAUAAUGUAAUAAUAAGGUUGUCAAAAUUUGGUAAAUUAUUCACCAUUAUUCUGCUCCAAGCUCAAUCAGAUGAUCACACAGCAUCUGAGAACAAAAGAAUCGUAUUGGUGUUUCGCUAAUACUAAUAGAAGAGCAUUGUGAGCCUUCCCCUCCUCCAUGGUUAGAAAUUCGUCAAGAUUUUGUCUUUUGACACACCUUCAGCCACAAGCUUAGCUGUAAUGACCUGCCACAUAAAACCUAGUGUCAGUUAACUAGCAUUCUGGAGCCAUAAAUUUGUGAUCCUCAUGUAGAUUCAAAAAGUAUAAUCAACAUUAAUAGUAAUAAUCUUGUUGAAACAUGAAAACCUCUUCUCCCUGGGAAAAAAUCACAGUAGUUGCAACAUUCAUCCUAAGUGAUAUUCAAUUCAUAACUGAUAAUAAGAUUCAUCUACAACACCAGUGACAUAUUAUCCAGACAUGCAAAGUCACCCAUAAAUAAGUUGAUGAUAAUAAGAUGAUAAAUCCUUUCUCUUUCAGAAGAAAUAAGCUGAUAUAACUUAAGAUGAUUAAAUAAGUACAUAUUUUUUCAUCAGAUAAAGUGAUCUUUCCAUUAGUCUCGUGUUCUCAAUAGAAGGCCAUCUUGAAAUAACAUCAGAUAUUGAUUGGUGGGGAAUUCAAGCCAAGUUAUUAAGUCACACUUCCAGCACUAACUUAAUCGUGCUAUGACUUCUACAAGCUUCCAAAAAUCAAUAAAAGAGAGGCUCAGUGAAUCAAUAUGGGUUUCGGAGAGUCCAUGUACACCCAUCCAAACAGAGUGAUUGCAUUGCAGCUACUCAGACUAUUUAUCAAUGACUAUUAAGAUUUCAGAAAACUGUACCUCAGUCAUCUGUUUGUGCCCACAAAGCACCGCACCAGUUGUUGAAGGAUUUAGAAUAUGUCUGGCUCUUAAAAAAGCUGUCUGCAAAAUGUCAGAGAAUAAAUUUGAUUAUUUACAGGAAGUUCAACAACAUAAAGUUGGUUGUUUAUAGAUUCAAUGAGCUACCUGUACAUAUCCUCUUUCGCCACUCCAUCUUUCAUCAGGUUGUGACAAGACAGGUAUGACAUUUACUCCAGCAUACUCCCAAUCCUUGAACCUUUCCUAUAAACAAGCAACAAAAGGUUUUGUAUUUGAUUUCUUGAUUCAGAUGAACACACAUCUUGCUUGUUAGAUGCUAGCUAUAUGUUUAAUAGUGUAUAUAAUCUUAGACCUGAUAUGCCAUUUUCUGAAGAUUUCUAGCUCCAUAAUAAAGUCUCACAUCUGAUCUUUCAUUUGCACGGACACCUAAUUCAAUAAGUGACCGAAUGGGACUGCCAGAAAGAGUUCAUAGAGCAAAGUAUUAACAAUGGAAAAAAGCUAGUUAACUAGUGACAAAAUUGUUGCAUACAAUUGUAAAAAUCUACAAAAAUAUUUACUACAAAUUGGAAGACAAAAGACACGUAUCAAUAAUUUUUUAAUGCAAUCAAAACAUUCUAUCACACUCAUCUGCAAGUUAAGCAAGUUAACACUAAAUUAGUAUUUGAAAACAUAACAUCAACUUAUUUAGAAGAACAAUGUAUCAGUACCGUUAAGAAAGUAUGAUAGGAAGAACUUGAAGAUGCAUUCCAAAGAUAGAAUUGUCAUUGGCAAACAAAUCUCAGUUUUGGGGGACCGAUAGAAUGAUGCGUACAAAAGAUAGGAUGGUCAGUAUCAAGCAAAGACCAGUUUUAGGAACUAUCUGAAUAUGCAGUAGUAGCCUAUUUUCCCAAUUAUUAUGCUACAACCAGUAACCUACCAUCCAGCUUUUCCUAAAAAGUUUGGUUCUAUUACAGGUUUCUACAUUAUCAGAAAAAUGUUAAACAAAUCCUCUCAAUUAAUAUACUAACUGAAAGAAGUAUGUUAUACUCUACUUCUCUGAAUUAUUCUUCCUAUAAUCUCAAAAGAAGUAUAUGUGCCUUUGCUCCAAAGGUGUACAGGCCUUAUGGAAGCUAAACAAUACUAUCAAAGGAACAAACAAAAACCAGAUUGAAAUAAGAGACUUCAUAUUGAUAUCAUCCAUCACACGUAGAAGUAAAUGAUCAACCACUCCAUUAUCAAGUCCAUGAACGGAUCUCGGAUGCCCAAAUUUCCAACCCAAUCGCAAAUAAAUAUGAAAUGAAGGAAACAAACAGAUAGGAAGUAAGAAGAUAAACGGAGAACAAUGUGAAGUUACAAGAAUCUUUUUCUCUCUGCAAAUAAUUCUGAAGAGAAAGAAUAAUAUCUUUAAAAAUCACAGUACAAAUAUGAGAGUAGUCACUCAUGCGACCCCUCCAACCUCUCUCCGCUUGCCAGUCUUUAAGGAAACAAGUCAAAUCAAUUUGGGCACAGAGGUGACUAACAAAGACCAAAUUAGAGCUGAAUUUAAUAUAUUCUUUUAAAUUAUCAAAUGACAAAAAUUAUAACAUUCCCCACUACUUUUCAAAUUUUCACAACAACUAAGGAAAUUUUGAUUUUGAUGGGUGCCUUUUGGGUUUGGUCCACACUCAGUAGUGAUUUUACUGGACUGAGGAUCCAUUAUGGAAUAGGUUCUGAACCACGUCCUUUACCAAUCAUCUAAAACCAUACAUAUACAGCGAGUAAAAUUGAUGGAGCAUAUUACCACCUCUUUGGAUUUCCACUUAGCUUGAUUCUUAUAGGAGCUUCAACCUCAUAAUCAUAAUCCCAUAACUAUCCUCAUUUAGGUGAAUCCUCAAGAAGUAUACUUGACCGAGAUACACUUCUUAGUCCACAUGUCCUCAAAUCUCUCACCACUUGCUAAUUUAUAGGAAACCAAUCGAAGAAACUUGGGUCCACACUUGACUAGAAAAUACCAAUACAAAGCUAAAUUAAAUAGUUUUCCAAGUUAAGUAAGAACUUCAAAGUAACAAAAAUAUUAACAAAAUCAACAUCAAUAAUGAUGUAAAAAUGCUUAAAAUAAUUGGUUAGUAGAAAAUCCCGGAAGCAUGACAUCUAAUAUAUAUAUCUUGAUUGGCGUAAGCCUUGUGCACUGGGCUGCCCCUUUUUAUACCAUCUAAGAUAUAAAGAGCAAAUUUUGGACCAUCAUAAGUCUUCUAUCCUACUUUGAUUGUCUCCGCUUAUAGUUGUAGGGGUAAGAACACCUUGCAUAGGAAGUGCCUCAUGCAUUAGGCUAUCUUCUUACUUGUUCCAUCUAAAAUAUAGUUAAGAGGGUAAAUUAUAUCCCAUCUAUAAAGUCUUUAAACUAGUCAUCCAUCACAACUCAGUUGGAACUAGUUCGAUCACCCAAAUUAACAUAAUGAUUUACAAUUAAUCUUUUCUUUGUUCUCAUGGAUAUUUAUGCUAUCAAUUUCGUGAUACAAUAACCUCCAACAGGUACUCAAGAAUCAUUGUCUACAAUAUAAAAAGAUAUUGUACCUUAUGCACGAGGCUCUCAUUAAUGUGGUAUCUAGGGAGGGUCAAUGUACAUUCAAAUAUUUAAAGAGAUUAUUUUCGUGACUCGAAUCUUGGUCUCCCAGAGAACCUUACCAUUGUACCGAGGCCCGCCCUCGACCUCAAUCGUUGUCUAUGAUCUCAAAUCACCAAAUCUAUUGACCAUCAUUGAUCUCAGAAUGAUGACCACUAACAUAAUAAUAGAGUUUCAAAUAUUUGAGGUUUCAUGGUUUUGAAGAUAUAUUAACAAUGAAGCUCUAGUGGGCAAGUGUUUUCCCCUUUUAAGAGAUGUCUCUAAAAGCAACUAAAGUUCACCACAAAAUAAAUAAGAAAAACAUACGGAACAAAAUAAUCUGCAAUAUAAUGGAUGGAACUAAACACGAUUAUUAAGCUCAGAUCAUGUUUGAUUGAGCACACAAUUGACAGUUUUCAUCCUAUUCAAUGAACAACGGUCAGUUUGAACGCCACAAAUUGAGACACGAAAACGUACAUAGGCUUCAGUAAGAAAGAUUAAUGAAUGUUCAUCCUCAACGAACUGGAAAAAAAAUUCACUGAGAAGCGUAUGCAAUGAAUUUUAAUCCACAAAAUUCAUAUUUUUUCGCUUAACAAGACUGCAAAAUUGCAUAAAACAAGAAGAAUUCAGAAAUAUUAGAAAUUGGAAUUACCAAAGGGAACAGAGUCCCACCUGAUACCAGAUCCCGUUGCAAAGAUAAAGACGGAGGGGAAGGCAUCGGGAGGAGAGAUCUCCUCCACCCGGAAUCCCCUCCCCAUAAUGCCACUCAGCUCGACGAUAUCCCCGCGUCUGAGCCCACAGAGAAGAUCGACAGUGGAGCCAGGGACCCUCUUGACGAGGAAUUGGAAUUCGCAACGGGAGGCGGCGAAGGAGGGGGGGGAGGCGAUGGCGAGGAAGGCGGGCUUGUCGGCACCCGGUACCCGGAGCUGGAGGUACUGACCCGGGGCGGUGUAGGAUACGGCGAGAUCGGGGGCGUAGGAGACGUCGACGGCGACGUGAAAGAGGGAGGCGUCGGCGGAUGCGGGGGCGACGAGGGAGAGGGGCGCCUGGGACCACGUGUCCGUGUCCUGCUGAACGGCGGCUGCGAGGGCGGUGAGAGCGCGGCGGCGGAGGGGGGCGGGGAGGCGGAGGCGAGAGAGGGGAGACAUGUAGCGGUGGCGAGGGACGAGAGGGUGAGCGUCGAAGCCUUUCGGGUCAGGUACAAAGAGAGACGGGAAGGAGUUGGUCGCCGCGGCCGCCUCCUAAUUUUAUUUUUAUUUUUUUUAAUAUCAUUUUCAAACCCAUCGAAUGUAAAGUCCAUUAGAUCGAAUCGAUCUAAAUUUAAACCCAUCAAAAUAAAUAAUAUUAAUAUAUUUUCUAUUUUUAUAUUUAAAUAUUUUUUAUUUUUAUUAUAAAAAUUAUUAUUAUUAUUUUCUGUAAUUUCAUAAAAUAAAUAUAUUUAUUUUCUUUUUGGUCCCCUCCACUGAGUGUUUCAGGCCCCGCCGGCGGAGCAUAACGUGUGUUCGUCCCCGACUCCGUUCGACUCUAAGCCGCCCCGUCGUGGGUUCACGGACGGCCGAGACGUGACCUUUUUAUCUCUCCUCCAAAAUCUUUAAAUAAAAUAAUCAUCAUUAUUUUAAAUAUAAAUUAUGUAAUUUAUUUUUGUAUAUCUUUAAAUCGAACCGCAUGAUUCUUCUUCCAUCAUGAGCGAGAAAGACAACCAAAAAAUCCUCCCAGCAACUAAUAAUAUGAAAUGAUGCUUCAAAAAUAAUAAUAAGUCCAUUAGUGGAAUCGGGCCGAACGAGGCCCAAAAACUAUAUUACUUGAACACUAUAUCCAUAGUUUCUCUUCUCCUACUACUACUCCAUAACGAUAUCCAUUUCCAUUCUCGACCACAUCACACACCUCUCUCUCUCUCUCUCUCUCUCUCUCUCUCCCUCCGCCGGUCUGCCUUCUUUCUUUUCCUCCGCUUUUGCUAAAGAAUGCAAACGCAAGCACGAACGCGAGCGGCUCUGAGAUUCCAAGCCUUCCCCUCCUUCGCUAACCGGGCUCCCCUUCCCUUCGUAAUCUCCUUUCCCCCUACCCGACGGCGCGUUCGAGUCCGAUGUAGUGCCGCCUCCGACGGUGGUUCCAUCGGCGGGAAUCCUCAGCAGCAGGUGCAGCAGAGGAAGGCGUACCCUUUCGAUGCGAUAGAGCCACGAUGGCAGCGCUACUGGGAGGAGAACCGAACGUUUCGGACGCCUGAUGAGGUUGACACUUCGAAGCCCAAAUGCUACAUCCUCGACAUGUUCCCUUACCCUAGGUAACAUCUCUUGUUCAGAUAACCCGUUAGUUUUCUUGGAUUAAAAUAUGAUUUGAAUGGGUUUCGUUAGCUCUUCAUACGAGAGAGAGAGAGAGAGAGAGAGAGAGAGAAUUAUGGUUCUCGAAGAAACAGCAAGGUUGUCUGCUCCAAUUUGCCUGCUUAUUCUUCUUCUAGGGACUUCGUUCGCUUCCUUUAUGCCCACACAACUAGGAUCUCCUUUCCAGACGUCCAAUCCAGAAAUUUUUCGUUAGCUCUUGAUAGGGAAGGUUACAGAUAUGGUUUCUUGAUAACCAUUCUAGUUACUAGAAUGAAAACUGAACCUGAGGUUUGAGCCUUGGUUGGUAGUGACACCAUCAGCUUUACUGGGUUUGUCAAUCUUUAGGCCAAACCACUCAAAAAUAUUAAGUAUCAACUCUAUUAGACAAGUUCAUUAUGGAUAUAUCGGUACCAACUCUAUUAGACAGGUGCAUUAUGGAUAUAUCCAUAAUGACAGGUUCAUUAUGAAUGUAUUGGUACCAACUCUAUUAGAAAUAUGUGGAAGCAAUGGACCAGAAACCCACCUAUAUAUAGUGAUUCUAGCCUUCUAGGUGUGAAUUAGUGAUGAUACAUCUGUGGGUAUUUGGAUGAAGUCAUACAAUUAGUUUAUAUAGACAUUAAAGUGUAAAUACUAUCCUAGCUUUUGACUCUUUAAUGGCUGCCUGCCUUAUGCAAAACUCCUGUCGUCUAAUCCUUUUGCCAUGUUUUCCUUAGAUUUUCCAUGUACAGUAGAAUUUUUUGUUUGUACUUGUGAAUUCAUCUUUUAUGAUCUUUAAGGUGUUAUCUGUGUAAUUAUCCAUAUAUUUUUGUAGUGGAGCUGGAUUACAUGUUGGUCAUCCCCUUGGAUAUACUGCCACCGACAUACUUUCAAGAUAUAAACGAAUGAAGGGCUUCAAUGUUUUGCAUCCAAUGGGCUGGGAUGCGUUCGGUCUUCCUGCUGAACAAUAUGCCAUUGAGGUUUGUUUUCGUGCCAUUAUUCCAUGAGAAAGUUUCUCUUGUAUCUUACUCUUAUUAGUCAAUACUUUUUUGCACAGACUGGGACACAUCCGAAGGUUACAACCAAACGAAAUAUUGAACGAUUUCGGUCUCAGGUACCGAUGCCACAUUCAUUUCUACUAGCAAUUGAGUUGAUUACAAAAAGUGUGAAUCUUCUUACAUAUGCACUUCUAGAGCAAACAAAUUGACUUCCUUUUCGUUGCAAAUACAAAGUCAAAGUAGGCAAGGUGGAUGUUGUUCAUCAUUUUAUCUUAGAAUUCUUAAUCGGCCAGCUCUAUGUCAUCUGCCAUAAGUCAAGAAACAUAAAUAGGCAACACAAAGUCUAAUUGAGUGUAACUAUCUUAUUUAAGUGAAUUUUGUAAAAUCAUGAAGUUUCUAAUCUGCUCAAUAAUGGUUUUACACAAUCUGUAAGAAUUUUGUGGAAGGAAGAAAUGCCAAAAUUGACCUUGGUAUGCAUAUGCAUUAUUGACACAAGUCACACAACUCAGCAGGCAUGUGCUAAUACUUUUUGGUCACAACAUUUGUCAACCCAUGCUGAUCAAAUGGAAAUUUUUGAUCUCUUGCCUAUGCUCUGCUCAUCUUUCAGGGACAUGCCUAUCGCCUACAAAAAGUCACUUCAUUGGUUCAAAUACUACAGUGUCAAAACAUACAUCUCGUGCAAAUUGUAGAUACUAGAAUUGCUAACUCUUUUAGUUAAUGAACUAAGAAUAAGUGAAGACAAAAACAGAGGUUGUCUAACAUGUCUAUUUUCUAACUUGAUUGACAUUCUUGUUUGUCUUCACUCAAAUGAAUUGAACUCAAAGCUUCAUUUUGUGACUCUUCAGUGGCCUUGUAGAUGUCUAGUUAUGAAUCUAGGUUUUCAAGUCUUAUACUUAUAUGGAAUGAUUUUUUUUUUGCAAUAUUAGAUUAAUUGGAAUAUUGGAUAUUGCUAGUCUUCAAACAGUUUUGAUUAAUGCUGCAGUCUAUAAGUUAAAGUAUGGUGUAAUUGCAGACAAGAGCACUAAUUCCCACUAAUAAAAGAAAAAUAGCAUCACUUAUGGUAUACUAUGCCACACAGCAGUUUAUUUCCAUGAUCUUUAUAAAACUGUCAAUCUAUCAUUUCCAUCUGAUGAUGACAUGUGGUUAUAUUUUGUAAGUUUCCAUUUGAGUAACUUACUGAGGAAAUUUUGGUUUUCUGAUCUUAUCCAAAGAAAAUUCCAUUUGAAAGUGGUAAAUACACUAACAUGAUAACUUUUGGUAAUUUUUUGAUGCACUAAUUAUAUAAUUAAUGAGUGCGAGAAAAAAAAACUAUGUAAUGUACAGAGAUAAAAAUAAUUUAAAAAAUCGUAACAUAAGUUUGACUACAAAGGAAAUAUUGAUUGUUCAUAAAAGAGUUAAUUGAUAAUUUAGUUUUUUUAGAAUCUAUUAAUAGUUUCUCAAAAUUCUUUACUAAUUUAUUUUUUAAAUCAAUUAGUAUGAGCUUAACCUUUAAUAAUUUAGCUAAUUAAUAACUUUGUCUUUGUAAAUAUAAUUUAUUUCUUAGUUUUCUCAAACCUUGUAAAUGAGAUUUAAAUGUAGCAAAAUACUAUUGUUUAAGUUAUAAGAAAACCACUAGUUAAUGCUUUAAAGUAAAUUCAUACAAGUAUGUAAUAGAUUAAGCCGAUAAAAAGUAGCUCUUGCUGAUGAAGCCUUCAACUUCUGAGCAACACUCUGAUGUGAAGAAAGUUGCAAAAUACUUUUAAUUGUAUUCUUAUCCACUUUUAUGUACCCAUUGGCACUUUCUUCAGCAGUUUUUGUAUUCUUGGUUGGCAGCUGAAGUCAAUAGGAUUUCAUAUGAUUGGGAUCGUGAAUUAUCCACCACUGAACCUGAGUACUAUAAUGCUUCAAAGUAAAUUCAUACAAGUAUAUAAUAGAUUAAGCCGAUAAAAAGUGGCUAUUGCUGAUGGAGCCGUAAACUUAUGAGCAACACUCUGAAAUGAAGAAAGUUGCCAAAUACUUUUAAUUGUAUUCUUAUCCACUUUUAUGUACCCAUUGGCACUUUCUUCAGCAGUUUUUGUAUUCUUGGUUGGCAGCUGAAGUCAUUAGGUUUUUCAUAUGAUUGGGAUCGUGAAUUCUCCACCACCGAACCUGAGUAUUAUAAAUGGACGCAAUGGAUUUUUCUUCAGCUGUUCAAGAAAGGACUCGCAUACCAGGUCUCGAACUUGUCUUAAUUUUUCUUAUAUAGGCUUUUGAUUCUUGACUCAUAGUUUGACCCUUAGGCAUUGCAACCUUUCUUUAUUGUCAUAUAUUUUCCUACUUGUGUUGAUUUUAUGUUUCAGUUUCCUGUUAAAUUGUAGAAAAAUUAAGAUAAGUUAUCUUUAAAUUCAGGCUGAAAUACCUGUUAAUUGGUGUCCUGCACUUGGCACUGUCUUGGCAAAUGAAGAAGUGGUCAAUGGUGUUAGUGAACGAGGGGGUCAUCCUGUUGUAAGAAAGGUAGUAGUGAACUUCAAAUUCUGUCCAAAGGAAGUUUUUGUCUGAUAUCUGUUCUUUUGAAUCUGAUCAGCCAAUGCGACAAUGGAUUCUCAAGAUAACUGCUUAUGCUGAUCGUCUUCUUGAAGAUUUGGAUGAUCUUGAUUGGCCUGAGAGCAUCAAAGAAAUGCAGAGAAAUUGGAUUGGCCGUUCAGAAGGUGCUGAACUAGAAUUUGGUGUAGUUGAUUCCCAGGGAUAUGAGCAAGGCCUAAAACUGUCUGUGUAUACAACUAGACCAGACACUAUAUUUGGCGCAACGUAUGAAAAGUUUUGAUUUUCUGUUGUUUAGCUUAAUGCCCAGUGACCCUUAAUUAUACCCCUGUCUUCUUUUUUUCUGUCUGCAGAUUUAUUGUUGUGGCACCUGAGCAUCCAUUGUUGUCAUCAUUAACAACUGAGGCCCAGCAUGAGAAAGUAAUUUUACUUGGUUAUUUAUUUUCUUUAUUUGUCGUGAGUUCUAGGAGUUAAACAAGAAAAACGUUACCAAUUACAAAUGCAGGUAGAGCACUACAGGGAGCUUGCUUCAAAAAAAAGUGAUCUUGAGAGAACUGAUCUUCAAAAGGCAAAGACAGGAGUUUUUAGUGGUUCAUAUGCUAUGAAUCCAGCUACUAGGGAAACCAUUCCAAUAUGGAUAGCAGACUAUGUCUUAGGAAGGUUUAUCUGGAUUUAAUUUUCGUAUAUUUCAUACAGUUUCUGGUUAAUCUUAAAAUUUUUUAUUUGACAGAAUCCUGUAUGUUCUUUCCAUGUUUGGACCAAAUAAUCAUGGUUCCAACUUCCAAGUAAUUCCUAUAUAAGAAAAUCUUUGUGCUAUGUAGGUGACAAAAAGUUACUAGUAGGUUUUUGAUCUGGUGGAAGAUGGCGAUGCUAAAAGUUGACUAGUGAAAUAUAAUAAAACAUCACCUAGACAUCAUAUGGUGCUGAAGCUUAUCUAAGUUGAAGAGGUGCUUUGGCCUAAUAUGGACUUUCAGAUUUGUGAGGAUUUUAUAAAUUAAAGCAUGUAAAAAAGAUGAGUUUGGUCAAUGAUUUUAGAAUCUGAGGUUGCCCUUUCGGGACUUGAAUUCCAUCAUAUUCAAGACAUGGAAAUAGUCUCUUUGCAUACGAAGGAGACCCUCCGCAAACCCAAAUGAGCAGUAGCUUCAUGCACUAGCUGACUGUCGUUUUCUUUUUGUGUCAUAAUAGCUUCAUUAAGCUUAAAAUUCAAUUGAUACUUGGUUCCAUUGACUCGUAAUGUUGUGCCAAUUUUUCACAUAUAUUAUUUUAGACAAAACUAAAAGUUCUUUUUCUGUUCAGCUUCUAACAUAGUAUCAAGAUUUAUUGUGUGUUCAUCAAUCUUUAUCUCUAAUAUCCCAUGUCUUGAAACUUCCAACAGCUCAUUUUAUCAACUCAAUCAAGACAAAUCACUAGAAACCAUAUAGUACACAGUGUUAAUCUUGUUAUUUGUUAGUCAGGAUUUUGUUGCUCUGUCAAUUAAAAGAUCCAUGAGAAUUAAAUCAAAACGACUAAUUAUCUGUUUUACUUCUCUGAAUGAGGAAAUAAGAAAAGGAUUUUUUGUUUUCUUACUUAUUUUUUGGAAGGAAGUUGAACUAUAUCCACCUAUCAUGUUCAUCAAGGAUUGUUGCGUCAUGGCACAAUUAUGUUUAACACCUUUUUGGUAUGUUGUGAUUUUAUGCCAUAUAGGUUAGUGUGCUUGUGCCAGUUGUCAAGGGACAAAUCUGGGAUAGAUGCUGUGACACAUGGCAUCGUCUCUUUAGCAUUACGUUUUAACCCAUUGCCACGUGUUCAUCAGUGCAACACUACUUGAUUCUCGUAUCUGUUUAAAUUCUUAUUUUUAAUUUUUUCUGUUUAAGCUUAAAUGCUCUAGCAAUCAAACACAGUUUUCUCUAGGCUUGUGAGAGUUCUACUGAUAUACGUUUGCAUUUUGAAGUCACAUUAUUUUUGUUAUUAAUGAGUUGUUAACAUCAUUGUUUGAUGGUCAUUGUGAUUAUCAGUAACAUUCCUUUUGUUGUUAAUUAGUUAUCAACAUCAUUUAUUAAUGGUCACUGUGAUUAUCGGUAACAUUCCUUUUCCAUACUUAAUAUGCAGCUAUGGUACUGGAGCAAUCAUGGCUGUGCCUGCACAUGAUUCUCGUGACUAUGAGUUUGCCUUAAAAUAUGAUAUUCCAAUAAUUAGGGUUGUAAGUCAUACUGAUAGAAGUGAUGAUGACAGUGAACCAUAUGUAGAUGAUGGUAUCAUGAUCAACUCAUCAAAUUCGUUAUCUGGUUUGAAUAUUAAUGGCUUGUCAUGCAAAGAUGCUGCUUCAAAAGUAAUAGCUUGGCUUGAGAGUACUGGUCAUGGAAUAAAAAAGGUCUCCCUUUGCUCUGUUGGUACUUUGUCUUCAGUUUGGCAAUGCCACUGUGUAUUAUUUUGCCCUAUCUUGGACUGAGCAUGUUGUUUCGUUAGGUCAACUACAAGCUGAGGGAUUGGCUUUUUGCUAGGCAACGCUAUUGGGGAGAACCUUUUCCUGUGGUUUAUCUGGAUGAUAGCGGUGAAGUAGUUCCUUUACAGGAAAAUGAGCUUCCGUUAGUACUUCCAGACUUGGAUGACUUUAACCCUACUGGAACAGGGGAGCCUCCAUUAGCAAAAGCAACAUCGUGGGUAUGUUACUUUAAACAAUAUAACAAACAUAAGUAUCCAUCUGGAUAAAAUAGCAACUUGUUUUCUUGGUUAAUUUUGCCUUGUCCUUGUAGAUAGAUGUUAGUGGCUCUGAUCUUUUGAUUAGUCUGCAAAGUCUCUUUUAAUCAUGGAUUGGUGUAUAGAUUUGUUGAUAUGAGCCUGUAUGUAUUGCUUCAGUGAAACAUCAAAAUGUAGACUGCUUUUCAUUUUGUUAUACUUAUUAGCUAUUGAUCUUUCAUGUUCUAUGGUUAGGCUAGAUAUGCCCUUUUCUCCAUCAUUUAGUCUCGACUAUAAAGAUCAUCAUAUGCCUAGUAUUGAGUUUCAAUGCUUUCUUUUUUUAUCAAGCCAACACAUAUCUUCAAAAAUUUCAGCUCCUGCUUUUCUAUCAUGCAGUGUAACAUUUCUUUUGCAAAUAUUGCUUCUCAACCAAAUGCUCAACUGUCCCUUGAUAUACUAGCAUUUAAUUGAAGAAAAUAUGGCACAAAUGGAACUUAGCUAAAAAUCAGAGUUAUUGUAUCAUAAUUCCCUAUAGUUUGGUUGUGUUAUUAUUUGGUUUUGUCUGGGAUGAGUUGGUCCAGUGAUAUUGUCCACUGCAAAUGACACUAUACUGACUGAAAAUCUCAGUUGGCUACCUCAUUGUGGUUGUUUGAUUAGAUAUUGCUUCUAGUCAUAUAACAAAUCUUGUUUGAAUAUAGGUUAAGACAGUGGAUCCUGUAUCUGGAAGACAUGCAAGACGAGAAACAAAUACAAUGCCGCAAUGGGCUGGUUCCUGCUGGUAAUAGACUCAUUGCAGCAUUUAUAAUAUGUUUUGUAUGUACUUUCUUUUUCUUUUUGGAGUACAUAAAUCUGGUGUAGCAUGUGCCAACCUGUGCUUCUUGUAGGUAUAUAAAUUAUUAAAUGCAUUGGCAUUGGGUCAUAUUAGGGUUAAUCCAUUUUUUAUGUGACCCCAAUCUGGUGUAAUUGGCCCUAUUGAAACUUGAAUUCAUAGGGGGAGAGAGAGAACUUGAAAGACAGGAUUGAUGCCGAGAAGAUGAAGUUGCCAUUGGUUUAGUCAGCUUUACAGGCGUAGCAGAUUAGAGACUGAAGCAAGCUGUGGAAUAGAGUGCAUGGAUUCAGAGGAUGCCUUAGAGUUGGAGAUGGAUCAGAAUAUGGAAAUUGGGAAUUCACUAGGGUUUUGUUUAUCCCUUCGACUAUUUAGUGUAAAUAUAUACAAUAUCAAUCUAUAACAUAAUAUGUUAUAUCUCAUGCAGGAACAAGCAGCAUGGUACAUGAGGCCCUGGCCUUAUAUUCAGUCUUACAAUUAGAGAUGAUGUUUCCAUUAUAUCCUUGUCGCUCAAGUCACAAAGAAGCAAUCUUAUUGUGAUGUGUGGUGCCAUAGAUCACUUUCUAUGUAAUAUAUCAUACAAUCUCUGUUGUAAAAUUUUAUAUCUGAUAUCAAAACAAUUUAUGUACAGUAUAUUAUGUAAUGCUACAUAUGUUAAAGAUCUGGAUUAGAUCAUAAAUUGAUCUGAGCAACACAGAUCCAUAUCUUAACCAAUUGUGAACUGGAUCAGAUUGCACCAUUAUUAUCUGUGUCAUUAGGUCAAUCCAUUAUUAAUUGAAUUAGGUAUCGAAUUGGAUUGUGUUGGAUAUGACUUCAACCUUAGUUGGUCAUGCCAACACAUAGCAAAGCUAAUUUUGGCAUAUGUUGGGUAGCACAAUGGGCAAAGUAAACUAUGCCACACAGGUUGGUCUUAAGAGUUUAAAUUACAGAAAAAUAUUGCUUUUCCUAUCAAGAGCAUUGCAAUACAGAAAAGUUCCGGUGUAACAUCGCUCAAUUUUUAGUAGUGUCCUUCGGUUUGUCCACACACGUAAAUUGGGUUGGUAUUUGAUUUCAACUAAAUUAGCCUACUUUUUUCUUUUCGAGAUAUCAUUCUUUAGAAUUGAGUGUGCAAUGACAAUCUAGGUUUAGUACCAGAUGCUAGCUCAGUGGUAAUUUGAGCAACUCAAGGAUCACAUAGCUUUUUUGAUCUAUGUAUUGUUUGAGCCAGUGCUAUGGAGCAAUAGCACUGGCUCCUUAUCCUCUCUAAUCGAGUACAAGUUCUUUCUAUUCUUCUACUUCCAAAAUAUCUUGGUUAGGUUUUGGUCUUUGCUUUAGUUUUGCAUUAUUUAGCAUCCUCACAUCUCUUCCAAAAGUCAUUCUUUUGAUAACAGGGAAAACUUUUGAUAAUGAAGUUUAAAGCCUUCAAGAAGGGGAAAUCUUUUGGUACAUGUUAUCUAUAAGGAUGGCUUUCUUCUUGUGACAUCAAUUUGAAAUAAAUUUAAAAUCAAGAUCAUCUUUUUUCUACACUAUUUUGUAACUAUUACCCUAUGUUAUGUCAUUGCAGCAUUAGUGUUUCUGAAACCCUGAGAAUUGUCCAAUAUAGUGUCAUAUGGAAUAUUAUUUGAACACUUUGCAGGUAUUAUUUGAGAUUUAUGGACCCAAAAAAUCCAACUGCAUUGGUUGGCAAAGACAAAGAAAGGUUCACAUGCUGUUCCUUCUGCCACACUUCAUGAACUCAGUUUUAAGCUUGACAUGGCUAACAAAAUCUUGUAUGGCUUUCAUCCUAGGUACUGGAGCCCUGUUGACAUAUAUGUUGGUGGUGCUGAGCAUUCUGUCCUACACUUGCUUUAUGCUAGGUUUUGGCACAAGGUUUGUUUCAUAAUAUAUUUGAUUAAAAUCCCAUUUUGUGGUGGUUUAGGAAGUGACUUGAGACAUUUGUGUCGGUCCCAUGAAAGGAUGUUGAACUUUUAAACAUGGUAAAAAUGGUAUAUAUUAUGCUAGUAAAGUACAGCUAUAAUAGAAGUGUGUCUGUCAUGCCAAUUGUAUGAUCUAGUUCACUUUCUGCACCAACAAGCAAUCUUAGACUGUAAAUUAUGGCUUGCACUAGCAUGACAACAGCACAAGCACAGGCAUAUGCACAAUAUGCAGUACUAAAAUCUUUGGUUUCCUUAAACUAUUUUGAAACUUUUAAUUCUUUUCAUUUGAGUUUUUUUGAAAUUCUUGGUUUACCAAAAUCCUUGGUCUUAUUUCCUUGGAGGUAUUUAAUACUUUUAAGUUUUAACAUUGUUUUAAACUAAGAAACUAUGUUCUGCCUUACAGGGCAAAAAUGAAGCUUUCCCACCGGAAUUCUAGCAGUGAUUUGAUCAUGUCCAAUCCUGAUUGAGAAAGAUAUAGUAAUUAGACAUGGACACAGAAAUACUUAAACCUUAACCUCUUACUGACUCAAUCUAUUUCCAACUUGACAUUUGCUUCAUUGUCGUGCCUAAAAUUGAUGCUACCUAGUUGUUGAAACCUGUUCUUUUGUUGUACUUUCCAUUCUUCUCUUUCCUUUGCACAUUGUAGGUCUGUUUAUGACUAUGUUUGCAUUUAUGUCCAAGUGUGUUCUGUAUUGUGUAGCUUGCUAUUUCUUAAUUUUUCAAUCUUGCUAAACGCUAUUUGCUAACAGUCUUAAGAGUUCCUCAUAUGUAGGUCCUGUAUGAUAUAGGUGUGGUUUCAACCAAGGAACCUUUUCAGUGCCUUAUAAAUCAAGGGCUAAUACUUGGUGAAGUAAGUAAACUGAUUCAUGGACGUAAACAAACUAAAGUAGCGAUUAAUAAUAUCUAACGGUCUUGUUACAGAUAGAGUAUACAGCAUUCAGAGACCAAGAGGGGAGAUUAGUUUCUGCUGAUUCUGUUGGCAUCACCGAUAACCAUUUUCAAGAGAGAAUACCUGCAGAGAAGGUAUCUUGCAAAACUGCCCAAUUUAAAUCCAAAUAUUGGAGCCUUAAUUGACAAUUUUUCUUCUAUGUUCUUACAAGUCUGACAAAUAUUUCUAUCUUGCAGGUGAUGAAAGUUGGUGACUUUUAUGUUAUAAAAGAUAAUCCCAGUAUUAGAUUAGUUGCUCGAGCCUACAAAAUGAGUAAAAGUAGAGGAAAUGUUAUCAAUCCAGAUGAUGUUGUUUCUGAGUAUGGUGCAGAUUCUCUCAGGUUGUAUGAAAUGUUCAUGGGACCAUUAAGGUAACUUUUUCUUUUACAUUAAGUGAAAUAAGCUAUUGAUAUUCAUGCUGACAUUUGACUUUUAUAGGGAUUCAAAGACAUGGAGUACUGGUGGAAUUGAAGGAGUACAUAGGUUUCUAGCUAGGACUUGGAGAUUGAUUGUAGGACCCCCUUUACCUGAUGGAUCAUACAACUGUGGAACAAUUGCCACUGAUGAUGAACCUACCUUGGAUCAGUUGCGGAGUCUUCACAGAUGUAUUGCAAAAGUCAGGUUCUUUCUGCAGCUUCAGGGUCACACAAUUAAGCAACAAUUUAUUCUGAUAAAAUUUUCCCUUUUGAUGGGUCAAACUUGGUUUCAUAUUUACAUUUUGCAAAUAGCAUGGUUAGAAUUAUUAUCUUUUGCUUAUCCAAGGGUUUUGUUUUCUGUUGUCCACACAAAAAAAGAAAGAAAAAACAUAUUUUUCUUAAUUGUGUAUCAUCUUAUUCUCCUUUUUGCAGGUAUCAGAAGAAAUUCAAGAAACAAGAUUCAACACAGGAAUUUCUGCAAUGAUGGAGUUCGUAAAUGCUGCUUAUAAGGUUUCUGAAAGCAUUUGAUUCUUUAGCUGUAGUAUCAUAACUGCUUUUGCAAGUUCAUUAAUUCAUAGUUUUGUCAGCUUAGUGAAAACUUACAAGUGGGAUACAACUCAGAAUUAUUACUACUAGACAUUAUAACUUGAACAGAUUUUUCUUUCCUGUUUACUUCUGUCCAAGGAAUGCAAUUUUCACCAGUUUAGUAUGGUAUGGCCAGUAUUUGCAGGUCCGACUGUCACGGACUUAGCUGGAAUUGCCUAAGUCGUAAGGCACCCUUGCGGUUAAGAUGCGAACUUAGCUUGAGUUGCCUAAGUCGCGACGCACCCUUGCGUCGACUUCUCGGACUUAGUUGGGAUUGCCUAAGUCUUGAGGCGUCCUUGUGACAUAUGCGUCCGCAAAGGUUCAACCUAGUUGCAACCUUGUACAAAUCCCGAAGGACCUGUAAAACAGAAAGUUGAUUAGAUUGAAAACGAGCGACAGAUAAGUCCCGACGUCUUGCAAAACGGAAAGCUUUACAAGCAAUUCAGCGAGCACCUUGUGUGCACAAGAGAAAAUAGAAAGAGGAGAAAAACAAGGACGUUAGAAGAUAGAACGAACAGUUGCAAGUCCACAAAUAACUGCUCACCGGGUGCCGGACGCGAAGACAAGUUCCGAAACAUAAACAAAACUUCUAAAAAUCUUAGAUUAGCGUAAUCAAGGCAUACAUCAAAAUAUUAUUCAUUCCAGUGCAAUAAUACAUACACGAGAACAAGAUUUUUAACAUUGAUGAUCACAAGUUACUGACAUACAUGCACGACAUAUGGCUUAUUUCCUGCUAAUACAAAAUGGAUAUCGUGCUAUUUCAGGAACUGUUAUUGGCUGAAGGUCAAUAUUAUGUGUUCAAAACCUACAGAUAAUAUUGCUUCUACAUCAUGUGAUGUUUGUAGACACUAGGCUACUUGUUGAUUAGAUGAGUAAAUAUCCACACAGUUGGAUCACUGAUUGAGAGACUUGAUAUGGUACAUUGGUGGUGGUAUAUAUAAAAAUACAUAUUUGUUGUUGAGUGCUUGCACUGUUAUACUUUGCUGCUCUUAUGAGUAAUAGCAAGGCUCAUCAUUGCCAUGGCAUAGCGUUCAGUAUGGACAGUAUGCACCGGUUUAAGAUGGGAUCGGUAUGGGCAAUAUAUAUCAGUCUGUCGGUGCACCCCCACCGUACCAUAUGUCGGUAUGUCGGUACAUACCAUAUUGAUGAUCAGUCGUUACACCGGUACGGACCAGUAAGACGAAUCAUAAGUAAUAGGAUCCACUAAUUUAGCAAAUUGAGACUGGCUAUUAUUGUUAUUCCAAGACCCAUGGGUAUUAUAUUGAUUGGAAGGUAAUUGCAUGGAUCUAACGUAGGUCCACAUAGUUUUUGACUAGUUCUGGGUGGAUUUGACUCAUAUUGGUUGGAAGGCAGUUGCAUGGAUCCUAGCUAGAUCUACAUAGUUUGUGACUAGAUCUCGGUGGAUCUGACUUGAAUCUGUGUAGAUUUAGGUUUAGGUAUGGAUUGGUACUACCUUAAUUAACUCCAAUACUGAGUUGCUGAUCAGUAAAUUGAUGCAUAAACAACAAAAGUAGCAUGAAGCAAGAGAGAUACUGCAUGCAAAUGAAGAUUAACAAUGAAAUUCAGAAACUAACUUCAGACUUACAGUAAUUUGGAAAGGAAUUCUUCCUUGCUUGAAAUUUGAUGCUUGAUCUAAGAGGAGUGGAGAGGGGGGUGAUAAAAGGCAAGCAAUAGUUUGAAAUGGAUCUUUGGAUAAAUUUCAGCCGUAGACCCUCUGAGCGCGUGAGACGUUAAAUGAACUGGGUUAGCUGGUCCACAUACCAGUAACUGUCAGACCGAUAGUAUCUAGCCAUACAUACUAGUUGGACUGGUUUUAAAUCAUUGGUUCCUUCUGAUUAAAAUUUUAGGUUUUGGUGCAGUUAAAAUGCUCUUGCACUUCUUGGCUGUUUAGUUGCUUUAUAGUGCUUCUCAACCAUUCUUGUAGUGCAACCCAAGUAUUGCCUGGUUUAGUGGCUAGCCAGUGUUUGCUAUUGAGUUUAAUAACCUUGAUGUUUUAACAUUGUGCAGUACACAAACAUCUCAGAGAAAUCUUAAAUUAAGGUUUACUGAGGUAUUUCUUUUUUUGAUAGAUGACAUUGAGCUAUUAGGAAGUUAUUCUCUUUUUGGUUGAAAGGUAGAUAUAACCAGAUGGACUUGACUAGGAUGUGUUAAUUUACCUACCAAGAUACUGCUGCAUAUGGAUGCAAGUAUAUGCAAAUCAUGUAUGUGAAGGUCCCCACUGGAAAUGUAUGUCAUCUUGGAUCAUGCUAUUCUACUUUGUAAAAGCAAGAUCUACUGUUUCCUAAAUACUUGAUUACUUUGAAUAUUUCUAGGAUAUCUUUGUUUGACACUUUCAAUAUAUGCAUGUGCUACUUGUUUGAAUGAAUCGCUUUAAUCUACAUAUUCUUAACUAUGGUCGGGGGAUGACUGAAGCAUACUUGUUAUUUAUUACUAUUUCUUCAGUUCUUCAAUCUAUAUAUAGUCAGAUUGUGAUUUCAUUCAAUAGAAUGUGUCUAAUUUGGCUACUUUUCUGUAUGUUUUUUUAGUGGGAUAAACACCCAAAAUCAAUUUUGGAGCCGUUUGUUCUCUUGCUUUCACCUUUUGCACCUCACAUGGCAGAGGAACUCUGGUCUCGAAUGGGACACCAAGAAUCACUUGCAUAUGAACAAUUUCCAGAGGUACCAAUUAGCUUUCUUUGAUGCUAUGUACUCACUAAUUAAGCACAUUUGUGGUCAACUGGAUGCUAUGUGUAAAAGUUCAUGAAUAAUGCAAACCAACUUUUAUAUUUGUUUUAAUGAUGAACUUGGCAUUUGUCAUUGGCAUUUUGUAUGGAGACCCCUCUACAAAAGAAUGAACUUAGGAAGUGAAAUGAACGAAAGUAAUGUAUCUUUGAAAUGCAACACUGAGACUCUAUGCAACAUCAUAAAUCUUUUUAUAAAGUCACUACUUUUUGUGGAGAUUAAUGGUUAAAUUGUAUACUGGAAACUAAAACAUAUUUGAUUCCUAGAGAAUUGACAUUAAACUAUAUUCUAAUUGACUGUUUAAGAAGUCAUGUGCCACGUAUGUUGCAUAUAUAUUUGACAAGCAAAAAAUUGAUGCUUCAUGUGCUUGCAAAUUUCUGCUCACUUUCCAAAGUAUAAAAGGAAAUAUAUCAUUUGUAAAAGCUGUCUGGUUUCUUCCUAGCUUGGCUCAACUACUGUCACCAAUGUCUAUACCUUAGAAUUGAUAAUUCCUGUACAUAACUAUUGCCAAGUGCUUUUGCGUGAAAUACAGUUAAAAUUUAUCUGGUUUGCUCUUAGCUUGUCUCAACUAUUAUUACCAAAAUCUAUACCUUAUAUUUGAUAAUUCUGCACAUAACUAUUGCUUGGUGCUAAAUGAAGCCCCAGUUAAAAUUAGCAUCUUGAUUGGAGAAAAAUUAUGACAACCAAAUUACUAUAAUACGCCUGAAAAUAAUUUAUAUUUAAGUUUAUCUUUCACAGAAAUACCUUUCUUAUUUGCUAACAUUACAUUAAAUUCAAAGAUGUGUAUUUAAUUUGUAUUAUGUUCUUGUUCAUCCUCUUUGUAUCUCAUGUUUUCCACAAUUUGGUCCAGGCUGAAAGUGAGUUUUUGAAAGAUUCAAGCAUUGUGCUGCCAGUUCAAAUCAAUGGGAAGACCAGGGGCACCAUCCUGGUCGAUGAAGCAUGCUCUGAGGAUGAUGCAUUUAGAUUAGCAUCAGAAGAUGAAAAACUUUCCAAGUAUAUUUCGGAAAGGAUGAUAAAAAAGAGAAUCUAUGUUCCUGGAAGAAUCUUAAAUGUGAUACUAGAUCAUCAUAAGGUCAGUUCAUGAUCAUUUCCACAGAUACAUAUAUUGGGCUAUGUAAUACUCCUUGUCAUGGUUUUCAGCACAAUGAUUAUUCUUUAGAUAGGUUUGUCAGAUGUUGUAUGUGGUAUUCAUUGUGCUGCAUAGCAUGUACAAUAAAUUUAUUCUUCCAACUAAUUUGGUAAAACAUAUUUCAUUAUAUGCUUCAUGAUGAUUCUGUACAUCGCAUUUUUCUAAUGGAAUUAGUAAAAGAUUGUUAGGAAGAGAUAACCUCAAAUGAAAUAUUAAGUACAGAAAAUGAUUAAACAAUAUCCUUAUUUCUAUUGUUUUGUACAUUUAAGUCUUGUAACAGGACAUGACUAAAUCCUGAAUAUCAUCCUUGGUUUUUGUUUGUUCAAAAUAUAGACCAGCCUCCAAAGAGCAUUUGGUUUUUGUUUAAUGGUUAAGAAUUCUUCCAUGAGAGAGCUCUGUAAUUUUCAUACCUUAUGUUCCUGGCACCUAAUUUCUAUUUCUGUGGAAGGCCUGCAUAGUCAUAACUGCAUGCAAAAGGAAUUAAAACCCCCCUACUCUGACAUCAUAGGAAUUUACAAUUCAUGCAAAGAAAGAAAAGUUAUUUGUUUCCUCUGAUCAGCAAUCAUGUUGCAUUGUCCUCUUUGAGCUAUUCUGAUUAGGUAGAAUUUUACUAAUUGGUUGAGGUUCAAUGCUUCAAUUUGUAUGAAGUUUUUGUCUGUAAUUUCAGUAUUUUCCCUAAUUUUACAUUCGCCAAGGCCCAAACCUAUACUGGCAGGAGUUUUGUGCAUUGGUCAUUCUUGCAAAAUCUGUUACGUAGAGUACCCAUCCUUAAGUUCAUGAAACAAAUUCAUUUGUGUGGUUGCCAUUAUUUAAAUGCUAAUUACAUCUUUAGCAAAUUAUAUGGCCUUAAAAAGCUGCAAGAAUCGUCUGUGUUGUGAGGGUUGUCAUACGAACCUCUCCUUUUUUGCAACAACCCAAAACAAAUCCAGAUAUUGGUGCUCAGGAGUUCCUUCUCUAGAAAUAUAUUUGCAGUAACUAUUCAUGCUACUCUAUAGCAUAUAAGAUUGUUCUGUUGCUGACCUCUCUGCAAGCACAUUGUGUUAAAAUCUACGGAAGUCUUUCGUGGAAUGAGCCUCUGGAAUUCAAUGGGUGCUUAGACCUUAUAAAUGUUGCAUGAACGUGGGGAAGUCAUUUCCCUGUUCCUCAUCUUUUAUGUUGAAGACUUGGUACCUCCCAACUGAUGCUCUAUACUGGUUGGCACUUCAAUAUUGUAUAAGCCGUGAGGACCUGAAGCUCUCUGUUAAAUAUACAAGAUGUAACAAAGUGAUGGGCAAGCGCAUCAGUGGCAUGUCAGGACGAAGGAUAUUUUUGAGAAAUUCUCGUGUUGAGAAAAUGUAGCAUGGGCAUUGUGGUUUCGUGGUGCAAUGAUGUCGGGAUCCGGUGAUGAUGUCAGGUUCAGUCCCCUGAUAAAUAUUUUACAAUCCAGUGAGCAUAUGUUCCAUUUUGCAUGUUAUGUUUUAUGAUAGAUUGAGGUUCGAAUGGGGAAGCUAACGCGAGGAGUGAUGAAAUGACACGACGGCCCAGCUAUCUGGAUUCUCUCCUGUGAGACAAGUAAAUUACUUUCAUUCCCUGAUUUUAUUAGUGAAUGACAUAAAUGUUUUAUUUUCUGGCCUGUUUUAUUAGAUCAUCAACUUUCUGUUGUUGGCAAGGUUCAUGUUUGGUCUUACAAUUGUCUGUUGACAGAAUAUUUGUAUGUGAUAAAUUUAUGUCUAUAUUUUAUAGUUGGUGUCAUUACAAUAAAUCUUAAUAGUCCCUCUGUAUGCAGGGAUAAGACUGCUCCUGCAAGAGCCUUGUGCUUGUUGUGUUUGAUCAGUAUAGUUCUGUUAUUUAUGUCUCUGAGGAAUCUUUGAGAAGACAUAGUUGGAGGACAUUAUUUAGAUAAAUUAGACCAAGCACCAAGGUAAUUUUGAGAAUAAUACAGAAAUCACCAGCAACAGAGGGAAAUGCUCCUACUAGAGGACAAGUUUAAGAUAGAAGUAUUCAACAGUUAGGCCAGUCUUCAAUUAAACUAGUCUUGAAAAAGCACAAAGAAACAUGGUCCGGGUUUCAGUCAGCCCUCGGCUCGGAACUGUACCUACUGCCUGUUUCAUACGGUUUUAGGUGGUACACCAGUCUUUGAAAGGAAUGCUUAGUUGAGACAUCUCUUUUUCCAGGAAAUGCCAUGUUCAACCUUUUGAUGUGAUAGGAAAAUAACUGUUUUGAGUGUAACAUAGUUCGUGAUGAGGUAUAUCCAUGAUGAUGUUUUGGAUUAUGUGAGUUCUCUUCAUUUGUGUACAUGGUUCGAGCAGAGAUUAUUUUCUACUCUGCAGCAAGCGAAAAGAGAGCGAGUGAAUAUGGGAACGAUCAGAUGAGAGAGGUUAGAACUUAGAAGGAAGAAGUAAUCGAAUCUAGGCGACCAGCUAUACAAUGAUUGUUUAUAUGAAUUUGAUUUGAAACUCGUCUAUUUCAUCAGUAAAAUAAUUCUGCAAUUAAAGCUGUUCUAACUCUGCUAGCUUCUUGUAGAUCCACAGAGUUAACCAUCUAAUUUUUUUUUGGAUAAAGUAUGAGUUUAGUCCUGUAUGUUUUUAUUUGAAGCAUCUUCAUCUUAUUAGGCCUUAAAUGUUGUGCUCAAGUUGGAACAAUGGAAGCUAUGGAAAGCCCAAGGGAAACCAGUCUCAUAUAGUCUUCCUCUGUAGUCGUCACCGAGCACCAAUCUCACAAUUCAGCAAUAAGAGAAUGAUGGUCGAUCAAGCCUUUUGCUUGCGAGUUUGACAAGGCAGCAAUGGCGCACAUCAAGAAAGUUCCAGUAAGAUUGUCAAAUGGCUUCCAUCACCACGAGGCCAUUGAUGGGUUUCAACAAGAGGAGUUUGUGCAGAUGGUUGAGAAGCUCAACCGAGAGAAGGUGGUUGCAGAAGCAGGAACAAGGACUAAUUACGCCAUCUGAUGAAGGGGGGUGUACGUAGCUUCAGCCUCAUCAGCUUUCUAUUCCUGCAGAUCAUUGCUGCUAUACUUCAGAUGUUCUCCCAUACAGCUAUCUGGAGGACAUCUUCACAUCUUGCUGCAAGUAUGGCUCAUAGGAUACAAAGUUGCAGUAAGUGGGAAAUAUAAUGGAAAGCAGUCUGAUAGAUCUCUAUCCGAGAGACUGCCCUGCGUUCGAGGAUGUGAAACUCCAUUUACAGGCGCAGGUGAAACGAAAAAAAUGGAGGCCUCCUUGGAUAAAACACCUUUCUUGCUGAAAGCCUGGGGUCUUCUCCAUCAAUAUCACGGCAUACAUUGACUCAUGUAAAGCUUAGAAUUUGUACCGAGUAGAGUUGAUUGAAAGUUGCCACGCAUCAAAUCAUUAGAUGCGAUGGCAUGACAUACAUGACUUGUGUAAAGCUUAGAUUUUGGACUACGUAGAGUAGAUUGAAAGUUACUUCAUAUUACAUCGUCACACAGGAAAUAAGCUAUCGAAGUGCAUUCAAGUGUAAACCUCCAAUGGUCCGAAAAUAACUCAGUUGUGUUGGAUGUGAAGAUUGUAAUUUUUGUUUUUCAGCUCUGUUGACAAGUGAGCCCAUUUCGAUUUAGCACUCGGAUGUUAUUGAUUGCACUGUUUCUUCCUGGCAGUAGUAGUAGUAAUAAUAGUUUCGCCUGGUUUAAGAACAGACAACGAUGAGCCCAUGAUUGUUAAAUGUGAAAUAAUACAAUAAAUUGUGGUAAUUACUUGGUCAUUAGCUAACUUUUUGGUGCUCCAGUUAGUUGCACAAAAAAAAAAAAUGAAUUGCCUAAACAAAAGGAAAAUUGAUGAAAGGGUUUGACCUUGUAGGUUGAUUAAGGACUCGGAAAUAUAUAUAUAUAUAUAUAUAUAUAUAUAUAUAUAUAUAUAUAUAUUUCACUAUCUUAAAUUAUUCCAAGAGGCACUCUACACUUGAAAGGCUUGCGGUAUGCUCACCCUAAAUUGGGUAACCUCCGUGGCGGAUUCUAAGGUACAGCCCGUGAAGGAGUGGGUUGUCGUCACCAUCGGUGAGAAUAAAAUUUGCGAAUUCGAAGCAUUUGAGCCCAAAAAAAAAAAUUUCGGGUCUCUUUGCCAUCCAAGUGGGAUACGGUGAUCUCACCUGCCGGUCAUUGGACUUUCAUUUCCCCAAGUGCAGCUUCUUUACGGCGGCCCCCACUUUCUUCGCCGCCUAUCAGAUGGCAGGAAGCAUAGCUUCUCCAAUAGCGCGUAAAAAGAUGGGCUGUGGUCACCUCCCGUGAGGAUAAUACGGCGGAACUGGAAGAAACCGAGGCCCAAAAAAAUCUUUUGGGGGGAUUUUUUUGCAUCUAAUCGGCGUUGGGUAAACGCACCUGCGAGUCACUGGACUUGCCCUUUUUCCCAUUACCUGGAUUCAUUCAUGUAUGGGCGAAAUAAACUCUAUAAAAUUGUAAUUACAAUUACUCGAUGGAAACAUACUUUUCUAAGGGUACAGCUGUGUGAAUCAAUCAUCCUAAACACACUAUUUUUGGUGUAACAAAUAUUUAUUUACGAAACACAUAAUUAUACUUGCUAUGUCAUCAUUUAUAAACGCGAAAAUCAUAAUUUUAUUCGAUGAAAAAUUACGAUAAAUAUGUUAUACAUUAUAUUGAAGACACGUCACGUAUACCACGUGAUACCUAAUGAAUAUUACAAAUAUUAUUCCCAUGUUACUUCACAUUUCCAGCUUCGAUGGACUACUUGGGCCGAGCCCUCUCGAAGCCCAGCCCAUUCCUACCAUGGUUAUGCUCACCGCAGUAAGAAUAAGAACACAGAACGACAGCGGCUUUUACACGAAUUUAGUUUUCUCCCAAGGAACUCUACGCUCGAAAGGCUGGUGGUAAGCUCACCGAGAACGAAACAACAAGACACUUAAUAAGGCGGCUCAUCUGGAAACUCCCAGAGAAAUCGUUUGGGAGAAAAAAAAAUGGUAAAUAGAUUAGUUGAUACAAAAAUAAUAAUAAUUGUACGUGUAAUAAUGGCGUUAGAUUAGUUAAAUUUUUCACACAGAUUUAUUUAUUAUUAUUUCGAAGGCACUUAAAUCUCUUUAUAGAUUGAUGGAUGGAUGGAUGGAUGAUAGAUAGAUACUCGGCAGGCUCACCCAAACUUGUUGGCCACGUAGCGGAUUCGGUCCACGGACUAGGAUCCAGUCACCGCAGUGAGGCUAAGAAAUCUGACAUCGAGGGGUUUGAGGCCCAAAAGAAUUUUUUUUAGGCCUCUUUGACAUCGCACUGACGUGCGGUAAGUUCACCUAAACUUAUCGAUGACAUGGCGGGGUCAGCCCGCAGCCGAUUGAUCCGGUCACCGCCAUCAGACUUGGAAAUCUGACCUCCCUCCAGGGAUUGGACGCCACAGACGUGCGGUAAGUUAACUCGGUAUCGUCACUGAAGCUGGUUGCGGAUUCAGCCUAUGGACGAUGAUCCGGUCACCGCAGUAAGAUUACGAAAUCUGACCUCCAGGGAUUUGACGCCAAAAAAAUUUUUUUGGGGCCUCAUUGUCCUCGCACUGACAUGCGGUAAGUCCACCGUCGAGUCCUCACACUCUUUAUUGUUUUUUUGCCCUUUUUCUUCUUCCCCGAGUCGAGUCCGUCGCUGCUGAUUCAACCGGCGAGAGGCCAAGCUUCUGUGUUCUUCGAUUCCCCAGGAGGGACACACCCUCUUGGUGAUAGGGUGUGUUUGUUCCCCUGCAAUUUCUGCUUUUCUCCACCUUAUUAUCAUACGUUUUUCAUUGCGAUUAAUCCACGAGUCGUCACCUUCUGUUGUUGUAUUGAGAUUCUACGUGAGACGUUGCCUGUGCUUGCGGAAUGAACCUCUGGUUUGGACAGAAAUGAUCCGUAAAGAACCGAAAGAAACUUGAUCUACUGCUUUCCUCUCGUCGACUUGGUCUACAGAGAGAGAAUUACUAUGGUAGACGGAGUCUUUACUGCAUGACCAAUGAAUGGUAGAGAGAGGGUGAGAGAGUGGUCCACCGUCUUGGUUGUCACUGCGACAUUUAAUGGUGAUGUAAACAUUUCAGCUGCUUUGUCGAUAAAGAUCACCAUCUGUAUGAUGAAGAGAUUUCAACGGUUGCUUCUCCAUUGCCGAGUGUCCCGUCCCGUUCACUACAUUCUUUUUGUUUAUAGCACGAUGUUGGAAUAGAAUAACUGGUUCUUCAUGUGUGGGUGCUCCGCCAUUAUCGAGUCGCAGGAACUGCGCUUCCACCAGGAAGAAGAAAGAUGCAGGAAACAACUCCCCCCAUGCGCGAUCGCCUUGUAAGGAGGAAAAAAGAAAUGAGGCAAGAUCAUCAUUUCGUAUGCAAUUCACACAUAAACUAAGAUUGCCCACCUCAUGAUCCACAUAUUCGUGUCGCUUGCAUAGAGACCAAACACUAUCUCAUUCAUUAUGAAUGUACAUCACAUUCGCUACCUUCCAACCCUUGGCAUCGACGACGACGACUGUUGAACGAUUAGGCCACAUCCACAAAAAAAAAACACACACACUCGAGGAUACCUUCCCGAUGACAGGAAGAAGAAGAAGAAGAAGAAAAUGAACAUUCAUGGAAACACUUGUAGAGAAAUCCUAUAACAUUCUAUAAAUCUUCGUUGUCAUUCUUCCACCAUACAUUUUUCUCCAAGUUUUCCUUGUCUUCAUCCUUAAUUUUGUGCGGAAUCAUCUUCAGAAUAUGACCAACUUCUUGUUUGGUCGUAUUCCAUAUCCCCACAAACGUGUGGCUGAUCAAUCAUGAAUUCUUUUAAUGAGUUUGCUUUGUAAUUUUCAGAUUUUGAACCUAUAAAGAAAGAUUAUAAACAUAUGAGAUACAAUACAACGAUAAUAAUUAAGAAAAAAAAGGAGUUCCAUGACAUGACCUCAAAUUCUGAUGACUAGAGAACAGUUAUCGAUGCGCUGAUCGGCAUCUGCUGAGUGUGGAAACGACUAAGAACUUGUCAUCUUAGUCAUUGACCUACAACCCAUGCCAGAUAUUUAGGAAAUGCUUGUUCAUAUUCAAGCACUAUCUCUCUUCUAUGACAAAGUGGGGCUCCAACCACUAGCAACAUCACGGCCACAUCUUGAUCCUGAGUGCAAGAAGAGCAUCACUACUGAUAUGGCUGGCGAAUACAGUUUGAUGGGGAUCACUACUUAUCUGCCUAAACCUGCGUUCUGUUCAAAUAAUGGCCUUAGAAUGCUUUCGAAUAACAAGGAGUAGUGACUUAUAGCAUCUGCUCCGAGCUCAUAGGCUUGGAUUACUCGAUGACCGUAACCUUUUUUCCUUGGGAUAGCACCUCUGUUGUAUUCAACAGCCAAGGAGCAGUAGAAGAAGAAAGGUGCCGUGCCCAAUUACCUGCAAGACAAGGCACAUCCUGUUGAUGAAACCUCUCGAGCCAGUGAUGGCUAGUAUCUUCCACAUGUUUCUAGUGGAAGACAAUGGAUUUAUAUGCUGCCAAAAAGUCUACUUCCAUUUAGUGCCGCAGCAGCAUCUUCGUAGUGCACGGCCAUUGGGCGGACCACAUGUAAUUUACGACACAGAUUGAAGAUGUUGAAGGGGAAAUGGAAAAGGAUCGGUCGUGGGCGAGGAGGAAACAGGGAUGAGGUUGGCGGGGCAUCAAAAGUAUUAUUGUUCCACAACCUUCCACGGUAGAAAGAUAAUUUGAAGAAGAAAUAAACAUUCAACUUUCUUCUUUACCUAAUCUUUUGUUGCUUUCUAAAAGAAUAAUAAAUCUAGACCAUCCAAUAAAUUUCCUAUGAUGAUAAAUCAACAAAAAUAUAUAAUUAUCCUUUUUUUCUCAUAAUAAUCUGGCUUAUCUAAUGAGCUAAACAAGGUUGAUAAAUAGCAUUUGACUUUCUUUCUCGGAAACUGUUCCUUGGGUGAUGAUAUCUCGACCGAGUUUUGGCCUAGAAUAAAUAUAUAUAUAUUAAGCAGGAUGCAUUUCAUGGGUCGAGAGACCAAGUCGAAGUAAACGGUGGGUUUCCUUCUUCCCACUAGCAUGUCCCCAUUUUUAUGGAUUCCUCUGCCAAAUUGAAUUGGCUGCUGCAGUAGGGGAGCUCCGAACCAACUCCGUGCCUUGGACAAAUCAAGAGGUGGAAGGAACAAGGCAAGCAGGUGAAGACGUUCGCUUGGUCAACCGUGUGCUUCUUCUUGUGUUGCUCGGAGAAAAAACCUGCUCUCCUCGCCUCCCUGACCAAGUCUCACGUAUACCUACCCACCUACAAACAACUCCUGUAAAAUAUAUUCCGAUGGUCCAUAGUUUAGUGACGCCAUGAGGCUGUCAAGGAGCAGCUUUGGAGCUCCAUGUAAGUCGACGGGUAUUCGCUGGUGUGCAUAAGAAAUCUCUGCUUUCUUUCUUUCUUUCUUUCUUGUGAAAGAGGAGAAGACCGAGGGCUGCACCGGCUGCGGAGAUGGUGAACCAGAUGAAGCUGUUCCGGAACGCCGGCCAGUCGCAAAGAUUCAGAUUCGUGGUGCUCGUCAUAGGAUGCUUUCUGGUCUCCAUGACCUUCAUAGUGGUGUCUAGACCACUCACUUUCCCCAGUCGUAAGUUGUUUGCGUUCUUGGUUGGGCUUUCGGCAUCUGCCGAUUUCAAUAGACCGCCAUCCGUCUUACUUUCUUUCGUUACAACCUCUGAUGUUGAAAGCCUUGUGCUCGAGAUUCUAACUCGCGUUCACAUGUUUUGCAGUCAGCUCAAGGCUGCGUCCUCAAAAAUCAGGUAAGCUUCCUGGCUGGAUUCUCUGAUUCGUGGAUGUUUUGGCGUUUGAUGUGAAUUAUUAGGAUGCAUAAUCUUUUGCUUGAUAUAUUUUCGGUGCAGAUGCGGAGCGAGAGAAAGCAGCAGACACUUCAUCUUAUUCGGCUCCCUCUACAGGUGAGCACCUGCAUGCUGUUUCAGUUUGGUCAACGUCAAGCUUGCAUAGAUUCGCUGAUCUAACGCCGCAAGUGAGAAAGAACCAAUGGAAGAAAAAGGAAGCAUACAAUUGAUAAACAUGCUUCUUUAAUUAAUGCCUAGCAAAGAAGGAUUUCUCUAUUUGCUAGGAUAACAUGUAGUGUUGAUUUGAAUCUGCUUUGUGUUGCAGAAAAGAAGAAAGAGGAGAAUUUCCAGGGGAAAAAGAAUCACACCAUCGAUGAUCCGAUCGAGGACGACAAGACGGGCAUUGAUGAAGUAAUGGGUAUGUCCACCGCCACAGAUAGCGGCGAGAGGGGUCGAUGGAAUUAUGAGCUAAUUAAGCCCUUACUUUUGCCUCGUUCAUUUACAGAAACCACAGUCGAGGCAGAGGAGGAACGCACCGAUCGAGAUGAAGACCACAAUCGAAUGACGCUGCCGACGGUUUCCAAUUACACCAUCGAUGAUACCCUUCAGGUGGAUAAAAAGACCACUCCCGAGCAACCUGGUAUGUCAUGGACAUCAGAUUUAAGUACAACAUAGAGAAGCUUCGUUGGGCAUUGGAAUACUAUGUUUGAUGCACACGCCGUGUUCUCCCCAAUAUGUCUGCAGCUCGGGAAGUUAAGGCCGUGGAGAAGAUGCUGUCAUGCGAUUUUUCAGACCCUCGAGUAGAUAUCUGCGAGAUGUCCGGCGACAUCAGAAUUCCUGGGAAUUCAUCGGACGUCAUCUUUGUGGAAUCUCCGCAGAGGGACCAGGCGUUCCGAUUCCGCCCCUACGCCCGCAAGGGAGACCAAACUGCGUUCGGCCGAGUCAGAGAGUUGACGGUGAAGUCCAGCACCGCCGCACCUCAAUGCACCGUCAGCCACAACGUCCCCGCCGUCGUCUUCUCCACCGGCGGAUACACCGGCAACCUCUUCCAUGACUUCACCGACGUCCUCAUCCCGCUCUUCCUGACCGCCCGCCAGUACGACGGCGAGGUCCAGUUCGUGGUGAGCGACAUGAAUCCGUGGUGGGUCUACAAGUACCGCCUCCUGUUCCAGAAGCUCUCCAAGUACCCACCGAUCGACUUCGACAAGGACAAGGGCGUGCACUGCUUCACCAAGGUCGUCGUGGGUCUUCGAGCUAACAAGGAGCUCAGCAUCGAUCCCGCCAGGGCUCCCAAUGGCUACUCCAUGGUCGACUUCGGUAAAUUUAUGAGAAGCGCAUUGUCGCUGGAGAGAGAGUCGAUGUCCAACAUCGAGGAUCUCGCGGGUAGGAGGCCGAGAAUACUGAUCGUAGCAAGGAAGCGAUCGCGGAAGUUCGUGAAUCUGUUCGAGAUCGCUCAGUUGGCGGAGCAGCUGGGCUUCGAAGUGGAGGUGAACGAGGCAGAAGUGGGAUCCGACGUGGCGCAAUUCGCGAAGCUGGUGAACUCGGUGGACGUGAUGGUGGGGGUGCACGGCGCCGGGCUCACCAAUCUGGUGUUCCUGCCGCCCAACGCCACCGUGAUACAGGUGGUGCCAUGGGGAGGGCUGGAGUGGCUAUCCAUGCUGGAUUUUGGAGAUCCGGCCAAGGACAUGAAGCUGAACUACGUGCAGUACAGCAUCGACAUAGAGGAGAGCAGUCUGACAGAGCAGUACCCGAGGGAUCACCCUGUGUUCAAGGAUCCUUUCUCCUUCCACAAGCAAGGAUUCCAUGUUCUCAGGUCAACCUUCAUGGCUAACCAGAAUGUGAAGCUCGACAUUAACAAGUUCAAGAGCGUGCUGUGGAAAGCACUGGAGCACAUCAUACAGUAGCAGAAAAUAAAACCGAUUCUUUGUGUCACCAAUUAUUUCCCUCGUCAUGAUUAAGAAGGGGCAACAAAGCAAGAUGGGAGGUGUAUGAGUACGAUGUACCAGAAGGUAUGGUGAUUGAUGUCUAUGGUUCAGACUGCUCCUCCGUUGAAGUUUGAGUUACUCUGCUGUAAGAAUGGCAUGUAGAUAGAAGGUUGGUUUCAUUUGUGUCACCGAGGACUAUCAUCCGCCUCUUGUACCAUAAAUGAAGAAUGAUUGACGGGGUUGGUGGACUUCAACUCGCCCUCCAUUAUGACCCAAAAAAGCAUAAGGCUUCAACUCGUAGUACUCCAUGGCACAUGACCACGGGGCCACAGAAGUGACACACCACAAAGACGGCUCUCAAAGCCAGCCACCCAUUGUUGGCUUACGAAAGCUAAUUUCUACAGAAAACCAAGCGUAACACAGUCGUCGGUUUAGGAACCGUUCUUUAUGAAAGAUGAGGUGGAAUAUGUCCAAUCUGUCUGCCUCUCUUUACCAGAUGCCAAAGGUAAACCAGGGUAAAGAAACAAGAAAAGAAGGAGAAGGAGAAGGAGAAGGGAAGGUAACAGGAAAGUCCCGAGGAGCAAAAGACAACACACUGUCCUUCCCAAAAGAAAAAGCCAGCUGCUGCAGCAUAGUGCUUCUUCAUUAAUGUGGAUGAUGGUUGGGAAGAGAAGAUUUAACUAACCUCUUGUCAGAUACUAUCGUGUUAGCUUCUGGAUUUGUGAUUUUUCUUGGAGCUCUUGGUCUGUCAACCUAAUCGCAGGGCACACAUGCACAGCUUAUAUUAACAUGCUCGCAUGUUCACUUCAAUUCCUCGAGUACAUGUUCGUAUUCAACUAUACCAUUCGUACCGCAAUCAAACAGAGACGAGGACAAGGGGAUGAUGGCAUCGAACGAGGAAGAACAGCUGUCGAUGUACCAUCAGCAUUAUUUUAUAUGCUCCGUGCUAUACUGAUAUGCGACGAGGACUAGCUGCUCUCAAAGUUAGGGAAAUAAUUAUUGCACAAGGUGGUGGUUUAACAUGAUAGAGCAAUUUACAUAUUCUGCAGCAUGUGAUAUCUGCUCUGACCAAACAUAGAAUAGCUGGCUGUAUCAUGUGGGCAAGUAACCUGUAGUUCCAAGAACCACGACAUGGUAACAUCGGUAUGUACUUUGCUUUGCUCUCCCUGGUCUCGAUUGAAACAACAUAACAUUAAAAUACUACUUCUUUGCACGAUGCAUGUGUCCAUGCGAUGAUGGUUGGCACUGCCAUUUCUUCUACUACGAGUAUAAAUGUAGGAUGUAAUGAGGUUGGACUUUCUUAAUUAGGUGGGGCUGUAGGCGUUUAGUCUUCCUGGAUAGCUCCCCGGCACCAAAUCAAUAAGACUUGGCAUAGUUCACGCAUGACUUACGAGUUCGGUCCCUUCAUCACUCGAUACCGGAUUGAGAAAGCAGCAACUUGCGUUUGUCUCGGACGAAAGCGAGAACCUUCCGUGUCAGAGAGCAAAUUCUAUGAAUGGCCUUUGACAGCAACCCGUAUCUGCUGCAACCUCUACCGAGAGACUUAAACCCUUUGAUCCGGUCAGGAAGUUUUACAUUGAAACAGUCAAAUGUGAUGUUAUGUACUCUUUCCUCCAAAACAUUUCAGGAAGCCUUCAUUCCCCCCCCAUGUUAUCUCCCUUGCACUCUUCUUAGAAGGUUCUUUGAAAUGAAUGCGUUGCGUUGCGUUGCACAAGGAAGGAACCAAGUUGUUUAGAUCGAUUACAGUUUUGGAAUGCGGAUGGAGAAGCUCUAGCCUUGGUUUCUCCAGGAAAGAUUGAAAGCCGCAGUUUGUAAUCUGAGGGGAACGGAAAUGAUGAACGUCGAGAGUUACAGUGAACACCAUUUACGAAUCAACUCUGCUCUCCAACAGGAAAACGCACGUACGAUUCUCCUACAUUUCCAAGGGAAGGUUCCUAUUAUGAAAACUUUCGGCUGAGUAACUCUAGUAUUAAUCUCAGAAUAAAACUAGGAUGAGAGGCAAAGUCAUGUUGCAAACUGCAAAUUCUUAUUCUCCGAGAUUGUUUGAUCCUAUAUUUCCCAAUAUGAGUAAUUACAUUGUGUGGAUUUCAUAUACCACCGUCCCAACCCAGAGACACACUUAUGUGAACUUUUCAUACAACAAAAGCAAAAGAAGAAAAAAAAUGAAUGUAACAAAAAUGAAAGAAGAUGAAGAAGAAGAAAGAAGGAAAAGCUCCUGCAACUACAAACCACUGCUCAAGCCUCUUUGCGGCCGUGAGGCAGGUGUUUGAGGGCGUCCAUCAGAGUGUUCCUCAGUCUACCCAGGUGAGGCCUCACAUUCUGGUUGUCCAAGUACGUCUUGCUGAGUGCAUUCCAUCCUUGCUUGUGGAUGGAAUAGGGAUCCUUCAGCACAGGGUGAUCCGCUGGGUACUGAUCACUCAGUGUGCUCUCAUCUGCCUGGAUGCGGUAAUCCAUGUACUUAAUCUGCAUGUCCGGCGACGGCUGCCCGAAGGUGUCCCUUGCAAGCCAAUCCAGGCCGCCCAUGGGCACCACCUGGAUGAGCACCGCCCCCUCCGGGAGGAACACCAUGUUGGUCAGCCCUGCGCCGUGCACCCCGAUCAUCACGUCGGCGGAAUUCACCAAUCUAGCAAACUUGGCGAGGUCCGUGGUUAUGUCGGGUUCAGCCACCCGCACGUCGAACCCCAAGCUCAUGGCCAUGUCCGUCAUCCCCCUCUCGUUCAGGAACGCCCUGGUCUUCUUGCGUGAUAUGAUCAGCAUCCUGGGCUUCCUCCUUAUGUCCCACGGGUCCCCCGACGGCGCUGCUGUCGGCCUCUCCAACCCGUACGCCUUCCUCAGCAUCGCCUUGAAGUCCACGAUGGAGUAACCAGUCGGAGUCUUUGACGGGUCGACGCCGAGCUCUUUGUGGAAGCUCAGCCCCACGAUCACGCGAGGGAAGCAGCGCACCGCCUCCUGGUCGUCGUUGUUCGCGUCGAUGAUGUCGUAGUUGGAGAGCUGUUUGAGAAUUAAGAUGAAUUUGCUCACCCACCAUGGCUUUAUGUCGGCUACCACAAACUGGACUUCGCCACGGAAUUGGUAGGAGGAUAUGAAGAGAGGGACGAUGACGUCGGUGAAGUCAUGGAAGAGGUUGCCGGUGAAUCCUCCGAUGGAGAAGACCAGCGCUGGGACCGUGUAGUUCACGGUGCACUGAGGGGGUGGCUCACUGAUGGGGAAAGGCUUUAUUGUCCAUUCCUUAAUAUUCUUCAUGGCUGGGGGGUCAUGCUUUCUGCAAUAAGGUUUGGUCUUCCAUUCUCGAUCUGUCGAAGAAGGGUGUAGGAGUAUGGUGUGGGAGCUUCCUUGCAAUCUUAUGUCACCGUCCGCUUCACAUACGUUUGAUCUCUUGCUUGUUUCGGAGCAAAUGGGCUUGCUCAAGUCGAUUGCAGCCUUUUCUGCAACAAUCUUUUGGGAAGUUAUUGUAUUCCCUUCAUCUUCUUCGUCCUCUGCAAAAAAAAAAAACAGAGCAUUUGAUCAAUAAUCAUCUGGAUUAGCAAAAGCUGUCAAAAUUGACAAAUUUCCUCAUUGUCAAUAUCUUCUUUUGAGAAGAAAAAGUAAACAUUAAGGAUGAACAAGUAUGGACCAUAUAAAUGGACAGAUGUUCUGCAAAAUAUGCGCAUAAUUCAUUCGACUGCUUAAGAGUUUAUUCUUGCAAAUUUUACAUGAAGAUUUUGUAGACCAGACGCCUAUUUGCCUCUGGUGUACUUCUCCAAAGGUCCAAAGGGGGGGUGGGGAAGAAGAAGACGACUAGAUUCAGCUUACUGGUUUUUUGUUUUUGUUUUCACUCGAUGAAGAUUGAGUUUUCUUUUCUGUCAUCCACUUCUUCUACAAUUUUCUAUUUUUCAAUGAACUUUCUCAACCUUAGUCAAGAAUCUAGCCAAAAUUAUGAAUUUUCUGCUAAAAUGUGCUAUCGAAAGUACCUGGUAGAGCAGCUUCGCCUCCCUUCAGUGUUACCAUGCCUGAAACCUCCGUGGGUUCUAAUUCUGCUAAUGCCUGUGACUUUGCUGCAAGAACAACAGUAGUAUUUUCUUGAGAAUACACGAUUCAUAAUCAAUAAACAAAAUAUAAGAUCAGACAAGAACAAGAGAGAGAGAGAGAGAGAGAGAGAAACACACACACACACACACCAUUGGGAACAGAGCAAUAGCGAGCCUUGAUGAGAGAGAGGAUGCAGAGGGAAAGAAGCAUGGUAGCGACGAUGAAAGCGUUGCCUGUCCUCCUCGGCUCAAACCUGGGAGGAGUCCUGUGGGACUUCAUCCUUCUUCCGCCCUCUCUUCCUUCUCCUUCCGCCCUCCCUGUUCUUUGCAGAACUCCUCUUUUGAAUUAUAAUACUAUCAAAGCUCCGAUUCUCUUAGGGACUAAUUUGUUUCCCUGGAUGGUUUGACUAAAUGCAAGCCACCACCAACCACUUAUUUAAUCCAUAUUCUCUCUUAACAACCCUUGUGUUAAAAAAACAACAACAGACCCAACAGAGAUGUGUGCAGUUGUCUCACAUUUAUUUAUUUAUCACCCUAGUAGACUUGGACAUAUUUAUAUCUAAUUUACAUCCUGUAAUUUACCAAGAUGGAUGGUGAUUUGUGUCCUCCCAUUUCUCAAGUGAUGUUGACUUUGAAAAUAUUUCUCACAAUGACACACUAUAAAGAUCCAUGAACCAUCACACAAAAUUUAAGAUUAACAACAAACAGUAAGAACAAUAAUUGAAAUUUAUGUUUUCCCUUAACCUCCAAAGAAAACAUCAUUAGAAAAAGCUUGUGACAUUCUGAUAAAUUUUUAGGAUAACAAGAGAAAGGUCAACAGGGAAACUAAUGUUAAUCACGCACCCUAUCAAAAUCAUAUCGAGGCAAUGAUUUAGUGGACUUAUUCUAAUGGUUAAAAGUUAAAGAGUAAAAGUUUGGCAUCUUCUAAGCAGGGCAUGUCUAGCACGGGGACUGCAUGAUGCAAGGUUGAGCCACAUGAGAGUAUGAAUCUUUUGUACUUGAUUAUAGCUCGUAUCACCAAGCAUUUUGAUGAACACCUGUUUCUUUGCUGUCUCCAGCCUAUACGAGUCCUUUUUUAUAUUAUUAUUAUUCUUUUGUGUAUAUAAGAACCCCAUCAUUUUUUUUCAUGCAUGCACUUUUCUCUCUCUACAGGAAUACUUUCAUCAUUUUUUUUCAUGCAUGCAUGCAUGCACUUUUCUCUCCCUACAGGAAUACUUUUAUUCUUUUACGAUGUCGGUAGGAAACAUCGAGUCAUCGAUUCCUCUUCUUGACCAUGUGGCCACCCACGGCUUGGAACGAAUGACCUCGAUGUGAGCCUGCCUAAAUGAUUUCAUUUGCACAUGCUCACAUCAAGGCCAUGAUGCAUUUUGUGCUUACCUAGUUAUCUUACUCCGGAGUUAACCAUGCUAAUAGGGACAACCAGAGAGGUCAUCUCGGCGCUACUGGUUCAUUGUCCAAGUUGUAUGAUGAGAUGGGAACCUGUGGUCCUCCGAGAAUUUGCCACAAGCUCUCAUGGCUAUCAACUUCUUCUGCUGCUGGCCCACGAGACCUAUGACAUACAGCUGCCACUAGCUAUUAAUUGGCAUCAAGUGGGGGGUGAGGUAUUUGUCCUGGUAGGCCGUCCACCUCCAAGGUUUCGAAGAACAUGUUCCAAUAAUGUUAGCCAUGAUUUUGCCUCGAAAGUAGGAAAUUUUUUUCCAAGUACUGACCUUUUUCCUCACUCUUCAUCGCAAUUGUUGGCCUCCAUCUUAGAUUCUGGCUGCUGGAGAAGAUGGCCAAGUACUGACCAUGCCACUAUUUAGGAGCAGCGAGUGACGUGAUUCAUGGAGAUGUCACUCCGAUUCUUGCUCUCUUGUUAGCUGCUGUUUCAAGGAAACAAUUAGGAGACCCACCAUCAACAUUUAGUGGAAAGCUAAUGCGAAGGAGAGAGAUGGGAACGCUCGAGCAAACAAAGAAUCCUUCCAACAAAGCAUGAACAAACUGGAACAACUACGGUCGGCAAAGACAUAAAAUUAAAGGUUGCAGACCCAACACGAAAAGGAGACGUGCUGGCUUGAACAUCCUCGGAGGCAUAAAAUCGAAAUGCACACACACUGCGAACCAUGACAAAAAAGAUGCUCCGAUUCUGAGACGGCUAUCACUUGAUAUUCGAUCAAUUUAUUCCAGAUCAAAACAUGAGAAAAAUUUUAAAAAAUAAAUAAAUAAAUAAAUUGAAACUUGAAUGUUAAGAAUAUAAAUAAUUAAAACGUCCAUCUCUUAUUGAUAGGCGUAAGUUUUUCAGGAACUGGCAAUUGUCAAGUAUUUAAAAUAAUAUCAGAGCAGAUUGUGUCUGUGUGUUAGAAUCAUUUAUAGUGAACACUAAAUCUGUGAAAAAUUCAUAAGCUGGUUUAUCAUUAACUGCUCUCCCUAACCUCUUUGGCGCUAAAUGCGACCAUUAAGGCUAGUGAUUUCUGGGUACCGUUCUCAAGUAUGAGAAGAGCUAGACGGAAGUUUCCAUUUCUAUCAAGUGCAGUGCAGUGCCAUGCUUUUUCUUGAUAUAUCGGAGGUUUUGGGAUUUUUCUAGGUUCAUGAGAUGUUUGUGCUGAAGACGAUCAGGAUCAAGUCCCUUUCACAUAAACGUCCCAACAAAAGAACACAAACAGCAAAGUUCAGUUUAUCAACAAAAAGCCACAGUUCUAUCAACGUCAUAAACAAUGAUGAGAUAACUACCGAUAGUAAUAGUGAGGUAGCACUAAGCACUAACUCAUACUAAAUUUCAUAGCAGCAAAAGUCUGAAGGGCAUCAGUAGGUUUGUUGAACGAUCUAAUAAAAUACUUCCAAAGAUUGGGAACAACUGAGAAAGAUGAUGAAAGUGUAACCAUGAGGGGAAAAAAGCAGUAUAGUAUGCUUCAUGGCAGAACCUGAAGCCACUUUCCUAGGUGCAACAGUCAAGCAUCUAGUGGAGCUACUUGUUAAUUAUUUUUGCUUCCAAGAAGCUCUAUAAUGAAACUUGAAGAUAUUAUAAUCAACAACUUGAUCCAUUCAAAUAAUGUUUACUUAAGAGGUAAUUCUUGAUUUGAUUUUAGAGGAGGAUAAUGGCCAGCCAAGCAAACUUGCGUCAGUCUUUAAGUUAUAGAAGAUACCCUAAUUUUCAAUGACAUUAAGAGAUGCUGAAUGUAUUAUAGAUUUGCAAAGCAGAGAGAAUCAUCACAGCAAGAAAUGUAAAAUCUAGUUUUUGCCCAGCCGGGGCAAUAAAACUUAUUAAAUGGUUAAGACAAACUUUAAUAUCAAGAAAAACAAAUACAUGGAUUCUGACCUCCGCUUUAGGUGGUGCAGCAAACAUUAGAGACAAAUCCCUUGUGGUACAAACUGAUGCAUAAAAAUUAUUGAUCCUGAUAUCGGUAAGUACAAGUUGAAUUGACUAUGGAUUAUAUGGUGGAGCACAUACCACGGCAAUAGGGAUAAUCAGUAAUUCCACAAAAAGUAACACAACUUGAAUCCACAAGUUGACAAAUCUAACCAUUGGUGUUGUUUUCGUAGUUGGUCAUGAAACCUAAUGCUGCUCAUGAUCUCAGCAAUAUAGAUAUCAAUUAAAGGUCAUAAACAAAAUGAUCAAAAAUUAAGAUGUCACAAGGACUCCAUAUUAUUUAAAGUGGAAUGCUAGGGAAUGAUUGGAGCCUUCACACCCUAUACCAGGACGAGUUAAAAAGCUGACUAAUUAGCCUAUUUCACUAAGUCCUAAUUCUAUUGUUCUUUGUUUUUAGUUUAUAUUUCAAGAGCCUCUAGUGGCCAGGUUUGAUCAAUUUUAUGUAUAGUCGUCCUAAUAUAGUUCUAGGACAAGCUAAGCAAUUAUCUAACUAAUAGGACUCACAUUUGGAAAAAUUCUAUAGGUUUGUUUUGAUAAUUUUAGGAUGAUAAUUACAAAAGAAAAAGAAAAAAAUCUCCCACAAGGCCUCUUAAUAGGAAGAUAAGCCCUUAAAUCAUGUUUUUUGACUUACCAUACCUUUUAUACAAUUGAUUUAGUGGAAUUAGUAGUUACACCCUCUCAUUCACUCUUAUUCUUUGGAUACUUUGUCCUCCUAAUUGCAAAUUAAAUGGAACGAUCAUAUUCUUUUUUUUUUAACUAGGAAGAAAUUUUCAUUACAUUAAACAACGUACAAGAUGCUUGUACCUGAGGUCCAUCAACUAUGCAAAAGUGUUUUGUGAUCUAUAUUGCUAUCAAAUGGGGCCUAUUUGAUAAAAAUAGAUGGUCAAUCCCAGUCCAACAAGGAAAGAAUUAAAAAACUUUACCAUCCUUCUAUGUGGGAGUCGGAGAAAACUCGAAGCCUUAUCCCUUUUUGCAGACAUCUCUUUAUUUAGCCAACUUAAAUCUCAUACAGAGUCUUAUGCUAUGUUCUUUAUAUAUUGGAUGUUCGAAAUCAAACCGUAAGGCAUAUUGACUCCUUCAGGUACUUUGAUAUUACACCAGCUCUACUCUGCUAUAUUUUUCUUCUAAAUUAGAUGAAGAGGAAACAUCUAUAUAUGUACUAACCAUUAGGAUAUCUCACCAGCCAAGAGAGAGGGAUCACAUUCUUUCAAUGGGAAUCAGAGUUGCAAUCUUUUGUUACAACUUUUAUGCCAACCAUGUAUUACUAAUAGGACAAUUCUUACUUCCUCCUUGUAGCCUUGACCCCAAUAGGUUCAAAUCAGAAUUGAACCAAAAUCAAACUGGGUCAAUGGUUUGGCAGUUCUGAAUCAAACCGAAAAUAGGGCCAUAUGGUUCGGUUUUGAUUCUUGGAAUUUGGGAUUGUAACCGAUAGUUUCGGUUCGGUUCCAAACCAGCUAAAAAGAAAAAAAAAAUAGAACACAAACAGGUUUCAUGGUGCAGUGAUUAGCACUUUAAAUUAAAAGUCUAAACACUUGGUAGAGUAAUUUAAUUUUUUUUCCUUUUUUGUUGAUCAGAAUGGAUGGUUUGAACCCGAACUGAAAUUAGAACAGACAGUUCCAAAUUUGAAACCGGUCCAAUUUUGUUUCUAAAUUUAAUGGAAUCGGAACUACAACCGACAAUUCCGGAGCCGUGGUCAGGACUAUCUCCUUGGUGCCACUGAUAGUUGGGGUAACCCUAUUAUAAAAUUCCAUACAAUCGGCAUGGCUUUAGCUGUCUUUUUGCAGCCACAAGUGCUCUGCGAGCAGUGUGUGGAGCGAGUCUUUUAGCUACCACCAACUACAACGUCUUUCCAUAAAACUUGUCACGGUGCUUGCUGUCAACUGAGUCAUCGUAAGCGUACCAAUAGUUUAAUAAUCACAUUACUGUAUUCAUAAAUGAAAGUAAUUAUAUCCUAUCAAUGUAACAAGAGGCGCCCCACUAUUCCUCUGAGAUCCCAUCGACGGAUCAAAAGUAGUAGCCAAGAUCGCAAGUACAUCACGUAAAUCCAAAUGUAAAUCAACACGUACGUAGAACAGAAUCUUCGAUCUUGAAACCAAGUAGCUUGAUUUCUCCAAUUUUCUUCACACAAAUCGAAUAGGAUUCACCCAAAUAAGACCACAAGUUACAGCGAUGUAGAAACGAAUCAAAGGGUUUCACCCUCAGAGAAAACGAUCGUUUUCAAGAUUACGAACCAGAUCAUACAAGAAGAACAUAUUUCACUCUCACAUGCCAAUACAACCACGAAAAGAAGACGAGGAGAGACGCUCCCAGUAAUGAAAACCAAAUCAAACGACGGAUGAGAGUACGAAAAGGAAGAUUGAGAGUUAAAAUCGAAGAGGAACGAUACUCACCAAAACUCGCUUCUCUCUGCGUUCUCCGAUCUUGGAAGAGAAGCUUCGCCUUGCCGGCUCUCCAAUUUUCGCCGUAGACGAGGAGGUUUCAUACCAUUCGUCGUCGCCGUUCUGGUAAAAGAAAACAAAAAGGUACGGUUUGUACAUACACGGAUCGGUGCGUUUACCGCGUGCCAUCAGGACGACAAAGCGUUUUAUUCUCCGGAGCGAAAUCCUACUCGUCUCAGGAGCUUAUUCUCACCCGACAUCAGCUGAACAUACGCAUAUGGUGAUUGCCGUUUCGUGUCCCGAUUCAAACACCUCUGACGUCGUCGCGGGCAACGUGAUGCGAUCAUGGAUCGGUGUCAAAUAUUGAAUGUAGUGAAUGAUAUCGCGUAACAUUUUUUACACUUAGUUAACGUUAUUAUGUUUUAUCACGAAUGUAAUCACUACACUCAAACAAUGGUAUUAUUAUGAUAGUUAUUAUAAGUAUAUCUAACAAAUAUUUAAUAUAAUAGAACUCAUUAAGUGAAGUAAAUUUUAUGAUUUCUUUUCAGGAAACAUUUUUGAUUUUUGAUUUUUGAUUUAAAAUUCGAACCAAACGCCAUGUAGUUUCUUUUGUGAUUGCAAAUAUGAACUUUGGAUCCUUGUGCCUAAAUCAUUUUAACUUGUAUUCUUCCUUUUCAUCCAACACAUUACUCUUUGAAAGACUAUAAAUAAAAUAAUUUAUUUUUCAAACAUCAAAAUGAAUUUAAUCUGAAAACAAGCAGAACGCGUUCGUGAACUCUAUUCACCACCAAGCCUUCAUCACGCGGUUGGAAAGUAAGCGGCCAUGGCGAUGCCGCAAAGUCCCUCUUUUGCUGCAUCGUCCUUCCGCAUCAGUACGUACCCCUUCUCACCCCACAGUCUGCCCCAUGAGUUCUUCACUAUCCAGUAAUUAGUUCCCUGCCACGUCCCGUAGCCAACAGCAGUGACGGCGUGAUCAAGGUCAGUCCCGCACGGCCCGGAGAAGAUCCCUCCUGUGUAUAACUGGAAGUCGGUCCCUUUGGCUUCGAUGCUCACCGACACAGGUUGGUUGGCCACCGCCGCCAUCAGCGCCUUCUCGUCGUUCACCGGUACGUACUCGAAGCCGGCGAUGGAAGCUGCGUGGUCUGAAAGCAUCGUGAUGUUGCAGAUACCUUGAUAUCCUAGGUAUGGAUAGUUGGCCUCGGUGGUGAUGCCGCCGGUUGAGGUGACGAAGGCGAAUGCUUUGUCCUGCCAACCCCCAUCGCACGCACCAUUGGAGAAGUCGCAGUCAACGAGUGCUUGCUCCGACAGAGAGAUCAGCUUAUCUGUCUUGAUCUUGGUGAUCCCUUCUAUUGUUGAUACCGUGGAGAACGCCCAGCAAGAUCCUACGAUUCGUGUUCAUGCAUCGAUCGACCGACGAGAGAGAGAGAGGGUCAAACCCAUUGCUUGGUCGUAGCUGAUAUUGUCAACGUAACCAGAUGGCGUGGCAAUGUAUAUUUCGUGCACGCAAUGCUUGUCGAAUGUAUAAUAUGCAUAGAGUGUUCGGUUUAUAAUGGAUGGCAUGCUUAGUUGACCUGAUUAAAGCAUGAUUGUUUUGGACCAGAUGAACUAUUAACACGUACAUGGAGACAUAAUAAGAUAUUAAACAAUAAUAUAUGUAUUAAUAGGUUUCUUUUGUGAUAUAUAUAUAUAUAUAUAUAUAUAUAUAUAUAUAUAUAUAUAUGUCGAUGAUUAAUUGCUGUGAAAUUACGAUAACUAAUCAGAGGUGUCCCAAAUUCAGAAUAAUUAAGCAUCUUAUACAUACAGGAGAAGAUGCCGUCUUCAGAAGUUGUUUUCCUUCUUGAGUAUGUGACGCUUAUCAUAUUUGCAACCGUGAAGAAUAUUGGAAGUAGAAGAUAAGUUCGAUUGACUUGAGUUUCAGCAACGCUGAAGUCUAUUUCCUAUCCAAUAAUUAAUGUUCCGACUCGAUUUGCUUCGAAAGCGUAUUGUGAACAUGCCUAUACAAGCGGAGGUGACCUCUUGCUGCCAUGAUGGAGGCUAAUUCUAGAACUCGAUUUGGUGGGCACUUGAAGUCAUCUAUCUAUCAAAUGGAAACAUGUGUUGGUGAAACCUGCGACUAAUCUCCAUGUUUCUGUUGAUGAAGACCUGUUUAGUCUUCGCCCAUAUAUAUAACAUACAUAAGGAUUGACAUACACAGUGCUAAUAUUCUAAUGCCAUAGUUCUUGGCAUUGAUCAUAUUGUGGCCGGAUCCAUCAACAAUCUUUAGGACGUUGAGGCGAGUAUCCGCGAAAUGCAUAAGGGUUAACCUGAUGCUUGUGAUGAGUUACGUGUAUGAUACAUUAUCAUAUAUAUAUAUAUAUAUAUAUAUGCUCCAUUUUUCUUGACCACUGAUACUUGGCAUGGGAUAUCGUCACCCGCUUCACGAUAGCUGCGGAGUGUUUACGACGACAAAGACCAUGCAUGAACCACACCUAUAUGGACGUGCAAACUUAAUCCGAUGUCGAUCAUGAUCAUAUUAGCAACAUUCAUGUUGGGGGAGACCACCAUUACAGCUUGGGAAUUUGGAAGUACAUGAAUCUGCAAUAGCAAUGAAACUAGACAUGGAAGAUUGGGAGCAGGGUUAGCAACAGAAGCAGGAAGAAGAGGGACGAGGGUGGGACCGCGAAGGAUCCGCCGUGGCCAUGUAUCUGGUGAGAUCUGACGGCGAGCGGCACUUCGUCGAGGGAGAGGGAGCAGGAAGCCGCGUGAGAGCCGCCGGCAUCCUCGGCCGCCAUGAGCGCCUGGAGGACGGAGGUGGCGGUGGGCAGGAAGAGUGUCCGGUUCUUGGAGAGGAGCCAUGUCAAUCCCAUCAGCUGGCAUUCCCUCUCAUGCGCUGCGGCCGCCUCCUUGCCUGGUAUGCUCAGGUUGCUGCUGCCACCCUGCUUCUCUUUGGCCUUCAGCUGCCAACACAUGCAGGCACAGUUAACAGUUGACAGUAGGAAUUUUGCUGCCUCGAUUCUGACCAAUUCGCUUCAUUUGCAACUGUUCAAUUGAAAUCUACUACGGUUUCCUCGGAUCCAGACAAAAUUUAGCGCGAGUUUUAUGAGCAGUGACUUUGGGAGUGGGACGAGGCGCGGAAAUCGCAGUCAACGUCGUUGUUCCUCGGGAAGCUAAAAAUUGUCGAGAUGUGUAGGUUCGAGCGGAGAUGAUGAUAAUGUUCUAAAAGGAUGUCGGGUUCAUUAUGUAGCUAACUAAUUCAAGAACCAUUUGAUCAAGAAAAAUUAAUGGAGAACUUUUAAUUAAUAGAAACUUCAAGAUUCGUUGUUAUAAUGGUAGUUGACACCGGCGUAGACUCAUAAAUGGAGAAGGUUGAAUUGAAGGGAGCAAUGGCAGCUUGUUAAGACCCGAAAUUUAUAAUGUUGGAUCACAUCGCAUCACCUUAAUUUCAUUCUCAUAAUAUAUGUAUUCGUGGAAUUUUCUUGCUGGACGAGUCGGCUGGUUGGGAAGCGACUCACCUGGUUUAGGGUCCGAAGGCACCGAGUGCACCCGGCGAACCCGGGACGAGAGCAGUCCUUCUUCAGCCUCCGUCCGGCGUCCCCUGCCGGCACCCACCGCCCCAACUUGACGUCCGCAACGAACGCCCCAGCGCAGGCGAGACGCCGGAGGCGGACGCCGCAGUAGCAAUACGCAGCGUCGCACGUGGCAUUCACGCGCGGGAGCUCCACCCCGCGGUGGCGGAGCGCGCGCUCCACGCCGCCGAUGCACGUCUCCGAGUCGUCGGGGAGGGCCGGCAGGUCGAAGCCGGUGGAUGGUAGGGGGUGGGCUGCGAGAGCAGUGGCGGAGUAGGCGGUGAGCAGCCAUGCCUUGAGGGCGGGACAGCAGCUAUAGCGGGAGGGAGGACCGCCGUCGGAGGCAGUGCAGGCGGCGGAGACUGAUGGUAGAAGGUCGGACGGCGGGUCGAGAGGGCAGGCGGCGAAGGAGACGCCGGACUGCUCGGGGGAGGCUGGGAUGGUGACUGGACUGGAGGCGGCGGUGGCGGUGGCAGCGAUGAGCUGAAUGGAAGCGGUGUCAGGGUCGGGCACUGCCACCAGGAGAGAGACCUGUACCAGUACUAGCAGCGGUAGGAGAUUAGGCAUUGCGCUCUUCUCUCUUUCUCUCGUUCUCUCUCUCUCUCUCUCACUCUCUCUCUCUGCGCGCGGACAGCGCAAUCCUAUUGCAUUUUGCCUUUUGGGUAUCUCUGUCCCUUCCUGCUGAUGUUUGAUCGCUGCGUUCCGAGAGGACGUUAGAGAGGGAGAAAGGGAGAAGCGUUCAAACAUAUAGCGAGGAUGAAGGUUGUGGCUGUGGUUUGCUUGGAGACGAUAUUGGGCUGUCGUUGAUGUAUAUAUGAUUGGACAAGAUGGAUGUCACUUGUAACUUGGGAGGUAAGUGUGGAUAUUGCGAUGUUCCAUCGGUCUUUUUGCCCACGUCAACGAAAAUUUUGGAUGUAUUGGAUAAAUAUGUAGUGAUGCGUAGACGAUUAUUGAUCAAUCUUAAUGCAUGAACACUCCUUAACAGUAACAUCAUUAAUAUACUACCCAUAUUGUAACAUAGGCGACGACAGAGCAUCAGUUAAAGGCCUCUUUUCACAGACUCUGCUUGGGUUGAGCGAGUGGUACACGAGUGGAGCUUUCGUUGCCAUGGCUGUCCGGGUAUCAGCGAGGCUGGCUGAGCCCGUGAAGAUACUGGAAACAAGCAGCACGGAGAUGUGCUUUGGACCCCAUGUCUCUGCGACUGCCCUUGUCUGCGAGCUGAUGCGCUCACAAGCUCAGCGUUUUUAUGCAUAGGAUUCCAGGAAAACAACACUAGAAAAUGAUGAGGUUACGUUAUGGCAUGGCAUUAUCCGCGGAGUCGAGUGUUACGGACACGCAAAUGAUUCGUCUGCAGUAGAUGGGAUAGGAUGGUCCGAGACACAGUCUUCCCCAAGUUUCCCAGUGAUUAAAUGGUCCGUAAAGCAUGUAGAAAUUAUCCCAGUAAACCAAGAUAAAAGCUCCCGAGGAACUUGUUCAUACAUCAGCAAUUCUUCCGUAAUCUGGUGGAGCAGGUUGUGUCUGGGACAAAAUAAUUGCAGUGACCAAGAUCACACGCAAAGUCAAACUUCGCUUCUGGAUGCUUGUCGCCAAUUUUGCAGGAGACAUCAACACCAGGAAACAGAGUACCGUACAUCAACAAGGAAAAGACAUGACACUAAAGGCUCAAUCAUUGGAACCAAUGAGAUCAGCAGCAUUAGCUGCAUGUAUAUGUUCGAGAAUCUUUAAGGAAGGAUGUGAGCCCUGUUGCUGUGAUCCGAACCGAGGAGUAUCGACCAUGGAACGGUGUGAGACAUCUGGUAUCGGGAGUGGGGGCUAUUUGUAUGUACCAUUGCGUGGAGUGGAAUGGUUGCGGAAGGAAUGAUACCUGCUACAUCUAUCUGUCAAAUGCAGAGAAUGCACACACAGAGGAGCGACUCUGUUUCAUGGCAGUGCCGCCUCGGAGUCCAUCGUGGUCCACUAAAUAUUCCAUGAAGUACCAAAUGGCGUUCAGCUCCCGUGCAUGUGACGCUAACUUGUAGGAUUCAUGUGUCGCCCACCUUGUUCUUACAUUUUUGUUCCUUUGUAAUCAAAUCCAAUUACUGGCCUCUGUUUUGGUGGCUCUUUGGCUGCUCGCACAGGCAACAAAGCAGAGGGGCUUAUGCGUUCUCCAGGAGUGUGGUGGUGUUCUUUCCACGAUGCAAGCAUGCGUUCAACUUAUAUCGACGAUUCUUCUAGGGCUCAAGAAUCAGAUCUAAAGAUUCGUUUGCCCACAUGAAGAAACAUAGAUUUAACUACCAACACGAGCAUUGCCAUGGCGUGCCCGCUUAUGUUCAUUCAUCCUUGACUGCAAGCGUGUAGAAUUCAUAAAACAGUCACACCAACAGCACAAGCCCAAUAUUAGACAGUAUUCAAUGCCAGUUCUAUUAAUAACACAACAAGAUUUGGUUGUUCCUUCAUAUGUACACAAGAAAGAAGGCACACAUCCUCGUAGAGCAGAUCCAAAGCCUUGAAACAGCUGCAUCGUCUUUCUUUCUCAGCCAGAAAUGACCAAGUCUCUUCAGAUAUCGAUGAUGACCAAAUUCCCUGAAUGUUGAGCACAUGGUUCAAACUGUGACCUGAUACAACAAAAAUGUAAUGAUUAAUAGACGAAAUUCUCAGUCCAAAGGAACUACGCCAUGAAAUGAAAUGAGGGGUAAAGCUGAAGGACCUUAGAUAAAUACACAAAGAAAGGCUGACAAAUAAACGAAUGAAUAGUGCACCAAAAAAAAAAAGUAUCUUAGCCCUCCUCGUUUUUCUUCAAUUUCCUUUUUGCACUUCCUCUCUUUUAGGACUUCCAGCCCCCAAUACAAUCAUACGGUUGUCGCAUAAACUCAUGAAAGAGGAGCAAAAAAUAGGUAAUCAAGACAAUUCUACGAAAAGAAAGGUUAGUACACCAUGGAGGUGUGCACUUAAGCGUUUCAGCACAUCCGUAACCAAGUAAACUAGCAACUUUGCACGCGAUACAGACUUGCAACGAGAACAGGUAACAUACUGUCCAUCUACUCGAGCUUUCUUUAACUGGCACUGUUCUUCAUUCUUUUCCCUGGAACGCCCUUUACUUGAAAUAGGAACCACAUCUCGGGCGUGGCUAGUUGGGUCAUCAGAUGGUACUUCAGUUUUCCCUUGAAUAGGAAGCAGCAUGUGAGGCACAACAAAGUCAGUUCCGGAAGCACCAUUUGUUGAUCCACCUGCUAUAACUGUUACGGUUGGAGUUGACAAAGAGUUCCAACUCUCAAUCAAGGCAGAACAUUGUUUACCUGCAUAUUCCUCCUUGGCUGAACAAAUAGAAUCUGCUGCUGCAGUGUUAGCAGGUACUGAAGCAAAUGCCUCAGAAUAUGCAACAGCAUGUGGAAUGUCAUAAAACAAGGGAGCCAACAUUUUAUUUUCUUGGAUACUACUACUGGGACCACUUGUCUCUGCAUUUCUAGCCAGGGAUGAGCAUGAUCCUUUCCCUCUAUGCACCACAGCGUAAUGUUUAUUCUUUGAUUCUAUGAUUUGUCUCAUAAUAUCUCCUGUAUCACAGUUUCCUGAAAAAAAAGGGGGGGGGGGGAGGAAUAAGCCCUUUUCUUGUAACAAACAUGUCCUACCAAGUUAUGCACUUGGGAAUGGCUGUAAAUCAACUAGAAACGUUGAAGCUAACCUUGAUUUAUCUCUCAGAAAUAAACAAUGAAUCUAAAAAAGACGUUCGAAGCACCAAAUCAAGUUCUUGCUCAUAUUUAAUAUGAUUCUACUGGCACAGAACUAAGCUUAAUCAAUUAAAAAAAGUUUGAGCAAACCUAGAAUAUAUUUAAUAACAGUGCAAGCAGCAACCCGUUCUGCCUCUUUUUUGCUCAUUGCAGUUUCACCUUUAAAUGUCUUGUUAUCAAACAAAACAGAAGAGACGAAGGCUGGAAUCAGCCCUGGCUUGUGAGAAGUCUCAUAUGUUGGCAGGUUCAUGUUCAUCUUCACAGAAUAUUCAUGCAGGAUAAGUUUACAGAGAAUGGUAUCCUGCAAGUGAAAAGUAAAAAAAAUUUCAUCAGAAACUAAAAUUUUGAGUGUUAAUAAACUCACAGAAAGUAGACAAAGAAACAUACAUUAUGGAUGAGAGACAAGCCCUUGUUCUUGUUGAUGAUACGGAUGCCCUCAAGGGCAAAUUUUGCUGCACAUUGUUCGGCUGCCUUUUUGGUCGGAAAUGUGCAUGGGGAAGUGAAAUUUUUCCCAUCCACGACUACAGUAGACCUGAACUCAGGCGCAUGCGGGGUUCCCUCAUUAAUAGUCUGAUAUAGUGGCAAGGUGAUAGAAGAUCUUUGUGUAUAUUCUUGCAACCUAUUCUUAUGCAUGAACUCUUCUGCCAUACCUAUAACCAAAAAUUCACUUAUCGAGCAAACUUGAGGAAAUACUAUUAUUUGAACAUAAAUAUUAAUAAACACAACAUGCAAGGGUGUGAUACCAGGGAAUUUACAAAAAAGACCAAGUGUUGAGAAGAAGAACAGAGAUAGCAGAAGCUCAUGAUAAUCUAUGUCCCAAAAGCCAGUGAUUCAUAACUUCAGCAUAGUAGUAACGACAUACAUCUCAAUCAUGUGUGCAUAAAGAGAAAGCAAAAAAGAAAUAAAAAAUCAAAAUAAAUUGCCUCCCAUGACAUCACACAAAAAAAUUUAAAAAAUCCAAUCAUAACGUGCAUAUAGAUCUUCUGAUCCAUUAGCUUCAAGCACCAUCAACAGGAUCAUUUCAAAUGUGCCGAUAAGUAAUUUAAUCCUAGGUAAGUCUUGUAACUUCUUAUCUUUGAUUAUUUAUGACAAAGAACAGUUCCAUCAAGGGGAAAAUGAAACAAUGGACAUAUAACAGAAUACGCUAAGAUUAGUACCUCAAAAAAGGAACAAUGGACUUAUAAAUUUUUGCCUCAUUUAGUUGGACAUGCAAUAAAAUACACCAAGAUUACUGCCUCAUGUAAUCAGGAUUAAAAUGAACAAAUUCAAAGUAUGUGUCAUCUAAUGUUUUCUGCUAUGCUCUUUUCUGUUAGGUCACGUAUAAUGGAAUAAAAAAUGGGGAUACCACAAAGCAAUAGGACUCAGUAACUACUUCAUACAUUAAGUAAUGCAUACUUGUUUUUAUAGACUUCCGUGAACCUUUCGGCACAACACAAAAAGAAAAAGCCUUUUGUAGACAAGAAUGUUAUGAUUAUGUUUUGGUUAUUAAAGCUACACAUAUCUGUAACGUCAUAACAAGUAACUUACAAACACUGGUUGAACCUCAUGACCAAAUACUGAAAAUGUAAACAUUUAGUACAAGACCAAUUACUAGCAUAUAUACCAUUCCGAGACUUAAAAAAGAAAUCUUGCUCGAUAUACAAAUUUACGAUACCACAUGAAUAUGUUCUCAAAUAUAUAUUUCUUUUGAGCUAAAAUACGACUUACUUCCCCAUCACCAUCACAAGUUUCAACAUUUACAAUCGAAUAUAAAACAUAAUAAGUCUGCUCCCUUUUCUGCAAGAUCCAGAGAAGCAGAGGAGGGUUACUUCGCCUGUUCGCCAUGCUACAAACUAAAAGUGUUAGCAGACACAUGGUCUUUCUUAUUUUAGUUUUCAACCAAAAAGAUCACGAGAAACGAAAAGAAAACAAGAACAGAGCCUAGAAAUGGCAUUAAAACUCCAAAAGGUGCUUCCUUUACGAUUUGGAAUCCCGGGAGAGAUUCGGAAAGGAAGCAGCUCAGAGCAAGAUCAAAGACGAGGGAAGAUGGAGAGAGCGUAAUAGAGAAGAUGAGCAGCGAGGAGAUUUGGUCACAGCAGCGCUGCUCGAUGGAUUCGUAGCGCGCACAAAUUAGGAGGUGGAUGCAAGGGUAACCAACGGCCACUUACUGAUUCCAACCCGGGAGGUCCAAUCGCCGGGGUAGCGAGCAAUCAAAUGAAGCUAUCCAUACGAGAGGAGCCGGGAGAAACGAAAGGGGGCAACGGACCAAAAAGGGUGUGGUUUUAGGGUUCCGAGGCCUGACGCGGCGCUGCGACUGAGUUGCACCGCUCAUCUCGUGACUAAAUUAGAUCGAGUAUGAUUUCUCGAAUAAAAGAACUAAUUAGAACAAUAAAACAUAGUGGAAAAUUUCCAAGAGAAGUCAUUUAUUUUGGGUUUUUCCGAUCGGUGUCUUUUUUCUUUUAUUUUUAUUUGUUGUCAUCAUUAACUCUGUUUUUUUUUUUUCUGUACCUUCAAACCAUCCCCGAUAGGAUAAUCAAAAAAUUACAAUCAUUUGCAUUGGAUUGAUCUGAAAAAUUUACAAUGGCAUAGGUUUGUGAUGAAGGGGUCUGAAAAAUCCUAUGAGGUUGGAGCUGAUCUCCAAGAAGGUUCUCUUGAAACAUGAAGGCUCGAUCUGUUAUUCACAUAGCAAAGUUUGAAUUUUGUGCAUGGUAGGUGAUAGUGCAACACAAAUGUGUUUAGUAGGAUAACAGUCACCUUUAGUAUCUGGAUCUUUAUAUUUUUGAAAGUUACAUUGAGAUUAUUAUACUUAUUAAAGUGAAACAUUUAAUCUCAUUGUUCUAACAAAAUUUUUCGUUUUGAAUUCUAUAAAAUUAUCAUUUUAACUUUUAUUGAUAUCUUAAUGUUUCACUUUGAUAAAUAUAGGAAUCUCAAUAUAACAUUUAAAAAUAUAGGGAUCGGUAUAUUGAAAAUGUUUCACUUUCAUAAGUAUAGGAAUGCUAGGGCAUGUACGAUCUUUUACGAUCAGUAGCGUGUCCAAUCUUACUUCUAUCCUUGUUGUAAUGAUAAUCUCACUUAUUACUGUUAAAUCUAACAACAAGUUUCACUGGUCGUAAGAGUAAAUGCUAAGAAGCCAAAACAAAGAAGGCCUUGGCAAAUGGCCAUAAUCCUCUCAAUAAUACAAAUAAUUAAAGGGUAUGCGCUUGUGGGAGGGCUACAUACGGACUUUUACGUAGAUCUCACCACUAGGAGGAUUGCAAACUUUAUGCUUGUAUGAUAUUUGUUGUAGAAAUGACUUGAUCGGAUUAGAUUUAAUAGCAGAUGGUGGAUGUGAACAUGUGGGUCAAUCUUAUAGUAUUACUUCUCUUGAUCUUUGAGAUGAUUAAACAAAAUUAUUUGGCAAACCUACAUCGACCACGCACUGCUCCGUGAGUUAUUCCACCUCCUCUCAUGGCCUAUUACUACUGGUACGCCUCCCAUGCAUAUUCUUAUCCUAAAUCGAUAAAAGGUCAAAAGAUAGAAGAUAUAUUUUUCUGCUCGGGUGAUUUGUUUUCAAGUUGACAUUUAGCCCUUGUCAGUCGUCGUAUAUGUGAUCUUGAAGCUUACCUAUAUUAUUAUAAUUAGGUAGAUCAAUAUCCUGAUUAAUAGUACUGUACAUUCAGCUAUGGAUGUAGCAAUGGUGAGUGACCUCAUCAUAUGUAGGAGGAAGUUGUGUGUUUUCUACAAACAAAAGACAAGAUUUCUUAUUAUUAUACUUGUGACAAGUUCGGAACUCAAAUUCUUGCAGUUUGGUUCGGUUGACAUUAUUUCCGAAUGAUGUGUGUCGACAGACAGACGGUGGUAUGAAUUAGAAAAGGAGAUCAAAAAGGGGAAGUCAGAAUAAUUGGUUGGCUGUUUUGCUCCUAAUUUAGAGUUCACUGGUUGGUUAGAGCCGGAGUUGAGAGUUCCUAUCUCCAUGAGAGGAUAAGAUGGCAUCGAUGGCUUCCUUUACUUGCCCAACAUCUGGUGGUUUUCCGCCUUGUCCCGGCCAUAACUCAUCGGUCGCCAACACCUGCAUAGGAACACAAGAGGCCAAAUCUCAGACAUCAAGAUGAAAAGCUCUCGAUUUAGCCAUCUGAUUUAGUAAGAAGAAGGAUUAUUAAUAUAUCCGAUCGCAAGACCUUCACUUGCAACUGCAGGAACUUCACGUAGCUAAUCGCCUUCUCCAGCAUGGUUACCAAAUCAACCUACGUGAAUUUUUUUUGUUGUUGUAUGGAGAACACAGUUAGUUACAAUCGCCAAGACAAUGGCGCAGGAAAAAUAACUGGGAAAAACAAUACAUCCGAAGCGAGGCAAACCUUUGUGCCAUUGGGAACGAGAUCUUGAAGAAUUUUGAGCCGCUCACUGAUCCGUUCCCUCCGGUUCUGCAACGACAAACUACCUUGAGAUGAUUCAUGUUUGUGUUCCAUUGCCAAAUUGUUCACAGCGUAUAAUAACAGAAAACAAAAGGUCCAAAUUAAUAUAUUAGUAGUGGUAGAUGAAAACACCUUUGCUGCGAUACUCUGUUGUGGAUCCUUGGAUGGACUAGUAGACUUCUUGUCUUUGGUCCUCCUGGGAGUACCGCACUGCUUCUUGGGACUUUGCACAUCACAUGAAUUCUGCAACAGAAACAUAAGCAGUCGACGACGUGACUUACGUAGAAUUUAAUUCUAAGAAACCCAUGCUUCAUUUCUUAGGUUAUCUUGAUGAUAUAUCGAACACUACACAUUACCGUGCUCGAGCGUUUUUGGAGGACCGUUGUUUGCCCGAUGCUUUCUUGAAGGUCAUCGAAAGCUGCGGCACCGGAGUAUAUAAACCCAAACCGAUCUUGACCUCGACGCUUGUUCCCGCUUCCUACCUCGAAACAGUCUUUCUCCUGAAUUAGCCUGGAAUCAGCAGUUCCACGCUUGAUAUCCAGGUGAUUCGGCUGAUAACUUCGAUCCAUGGCAUCGAUCCAAGCGGCGCAUUCCUCCUCGUGAUCAAGGUUCAGGUGACCAUCGAAACUAAGCACCGAAGUGUCGAAGCAGCCCCAGGACUGUUGGGAUGCGACGACGGAGAGGGAUUCUUGUGGCGGAGAAAUCACCGCACCGAGCAUAUUGUACGCGCAGCUAUCCGAGUUCCUAGGGUCCGAGUGGAAAGAAAGAAGGCUGCUCGAAUAGCUCCCGUGGGAAUCAGAGCUUCUUUCUCCAUCACGGAGAAGCGUGCUGCCGUCCCCCAGAUAGCCGAAUAACUCAAGCGAAGAAGGAAGUCUAAGCUCUUGAAUUGAUGGCCCUCCUCCGUCAAGUGGACACGCUGGUGGACCUUGUCGAGUUCGAUCUUUUGCGAGGGCCAUAGAGAGAGAUAGCGGAAGAGUUGUGGGAUCCUACCGAGUUGCAGAAACAAGAGGAGGAAGUGGAGUGUAUCUGAGAGAGAGAGAGAGUAUUGAGUGGUGACAGAGGGAGGAAGAGGGACUUGCUCUUUGGGAUGCUGCCGUUCAUGUAUGUUCUUGUACAUGCAUGCUGCGAACUUGCACCUCAUAUAAGGGGAGAUGGCUUCUCCUUCCUAUAAAGUAAUGUGCAUAAGAAUAGCAUAAUUAUAUAAAACUUAGAAGCGCUUGCAUGCAUUUCUGUGAGGAGGAGGAGGAGUUCGGUGGCAUGAACGGAGAGAUAGGGGAUGGAUGUGUGUGACAGAGGAGGAGAGAGAGAAAGCUAGGAAGCCAAAGGGUCGCCGGAAGUGUCGCACGCCCACGUCUAAGAUUCCCAUAUGAGUGGCUCCUUCCUCCUCACUUCCACAACCCUAGAGCACGUGGGCCAUGGUUAUAAAUCUCGUGGGCAUCUCCUAAUCUUAAGACAUGUUUGAUUCCAGACAUGACACUGUGAGCUUUUAAUGCUGUGAUCCUUCUCUUUUAUUAGUUUAUGACAUCCAUAUCGAACCAGGAGAUGAGCAUACACGCUUCGAGGAGACUCCUUCGAGACGCACCUACUCUCUGUUCUAUGAACUCCGACUCAGGUUCAUUUGUUGGAGCUCCUCUAUGGUCCUGAUUCCUUCAGCGCUGCUACCUCUUGUUUCAUCAUCUCGUAUCCUAAGCCUCGUGUUAAGGAGUGUAACAGUUGUGAUUAACUAUGGAAAGUGAUCUUAAGCAAAACUGAAUCUUGCUGCUGCGGAACCCAAUGGACACCUUCUGCAGCAGCAGAUGUGGUUUUGGCUAUGAUCAAGCACUCUUUAAACUGUCUGCUGUUUGCAUAAUUUAAAGAGUUAAAAAUAUGCUGAAAUCCUUUCUCCUCAAACUUGUUUAACCAACAACCGCCAGAGUCAACAAUAGCAGGCAUCAAUUGUUGGGUGGCUUAUAUUACUUCUCAAAUGAAUGAUCACCGAUGAGUUGGGCUGCCUGUUGUUCCAUGAACCCACGAGUCCAGAGAUGGAGAAGAAGAGUACACUGUCCUUUGAGAUGCCAUGUGAGCAAAUGAAGCGAUAGAAUAUAUAGGCGAGUAUGAGUGGCUCAUCAGAGCAGCAUUUAAUGCAGGGGUGGGCACAGCUGUUGAGGUGAGCGAUGCAAUGACAUAAGUUCCAUGAUCAUGUGGGAUCUCGAGGCUUGGAGACGAGUCUUGUGGGAACGAGUGCAAUGUAAUGGAGGCCAAGCAAUAAUGGGGGUCAUUAAACCACAGCAUUUAAUGUCAAGGGUCUUACCAUUAAACAAGUGAAAGCAGCACGAUUAAUGACGAAGCUACAGCAAACAUCAUGCCAUGGAUGUGAACUUUGUCUCAUGAACCGAAGCAACCCAUAUGCUCUGGUAACGAAUUCCUCCAUAUUCUAUGUGGCUUAUGGGAUUCUGGUUUUCAACUUUGUGAUCCUCAUGUUCAUCAAGGUGAGAGCAGUCGAAAUUUUAUUGUGAGUUCAGAACUCUGCCCAACCUCAGUGCUAGGAGAAAGUCAUAGCUGAAACCACAAGAUUCAUUAUUUUGGACCGAUAGAAAGUCAUACCUUUCUUCCAUUUGGCUUUGAAGGAGUAACACUUUGAUUUAGUAAGCCUCAUGCUUCUUCACUGCAACAUUUUCUUGUGAUCUUGCUUUCCGCUCAUGAAACAUACUGUUGAGAUUGAUUGGGAUACUUCACGACAUUUUGGAACAAGAUUCAUCUAUAUCCCAUUGACAUUCUUCUAACUCGCCAUCAUUCUUCCCUUCCGCCUACUUUACUUCUCCUCUCCUGCUCGAUCUUCUUCCCCGCAUCAGCCUGUCGCUACUUCUUCCUGUUCUUCCCAAUCUUCGUUGGAGACGAGACGGCGGAUAUCGGCGGUGGCGGGAUUCAGCAACGACGGCCGUGGCGGCACGAAUUCGCCAGCGAGCGUCGAGGGAAAUGGCAGGUGGUGACAGAUUUGACGUGUAGAAUCCGGUGACCGGAGCUGAGGAUAAGAAUGCGGUACCAUAUGGGGGUAUGGCGCCAAAAAAAAUUUUUUGGGCCUCUUUGGCGCUUAAGUGGUUUACGGUAAGCUAACUCACGGUGUUUGAACUCACACUUUAUGGGCCAAUCCGGGUUAACCUACCGGGCCGUGUUAUGUGCCUUAAUCCCUGCAGCCCCUUGUGUUCGAAAGAAGUAGUGCCCUGUUCAUUACCUAUUCUAAUUCGUCGUUUAUCUCCUGUAGUCGCUCGAUCCUUUACCCUCCGUCAGCCCCUCGUCUCGCUCUUCUUUCGCGACAGCAGAAUGGCCGACACCGGAGACGAUGGGCAUGAGCGGUGGUAGGAGUCUGCAACGGUGGGCGUGGCGGGGCGGGGCGAAUCCGCAGAUGAGCACGAGGGGAGACGCUAUUCAACUGUCUGGAUCCAGUCACCGUGGGUGAGGACAAGACGUUGGAAGCUGACGGCUUUGACGCCAAAAUUUUUUUUUUUCGGCCUCUUUGUCGUUGUUAUCGUGAACGGUAAGCUCACCUGAUGGUGUUGUACUCACCUUUGUGGGUCAGAGCUUGGCCCAGUCCAGCUAUUGUUCGAAGGAAUUAAGCCCAGGCCGGAUAUUUGUGAUACAAGGCCCAAGUAAAAAAGCCCAUCCAACGAAUAAGAUGAGCCUCCAUCUAUGGAGCUUAUGGUAAGGAGUUGCAGGAGCCGCCGACAAGUUUCUCCUCCCCUUCUUAGACCGUCCUCUUACCCAUUUGGCCUCUCGUUCUUUUUUCUCCUUCUCUUCCCCUCCCAUUCUCCUCUGUUCAACUUCUCUUCCCCUCCCAUUCUCCUCUCGUUCUUUUUGCUCCAUCGACCCUUCACAACUGUUUCCUCUUCUCCUCGCUUAUAUGGCGACGAUGAGUCCAAGCGACGUGGUAGAGUGGCGGUAAGAGCAUGUUCGGAACCAAGCAAUGUCCCCAUUUGUUGCUCAUGGCAGGAAGUGCAUGUUCUGCUUCGUCUUUGAUCUCCUCCUCGCUCUAUCUUUUACCUUUCGUCAGUCCCAGAGCAGCAAGUUGCUGCUCUUCUCGGUCUAAAUCGGCGACGACAAGGCCGGCCGGCACCGGAGAAGAUGAGCAUCAGAGGUGGUGUGAGUCAGCAACGGUUGACGUGGGGGAGCGAAUACGCCGAUGAGCGCGACGGACACGACAGUAGUUAUUCAAGUCGUAGGAUCCGGUCACCGUAGGUGAUGACAAGAAUACCGAAACUGAAGGGUUAGACGACAAAAAUAUUUUUUGGGGGCCUCUUUGUCGCUUUUCUGGCGAACGGUAAGGUCACAGGGCAGUGUUUGUACCCACUACAUGAUAAAGUCCCUCAACUUGUAGGAUUCAGUCACCGAAGGUGAAAACAAGAUCACGGAAACUUGAAGUGUGACGCCAAAGAAAAGCAUUUUUGGGCCUCUUUAUCGCUGUUCUGGUGAAGGGUAAGGUGACUCGGUAGUUUUCGUACUCGCCUUAUGGGUCAUAGCGUGUUCGAAAGGCUUGGGCCCAGCCCGUCUAAGAGUUCAAAGGCAUUGCAGAGCAGCCUGGCUAUUUUGGUUUGUAGGCCCAAUUAAUGAGCCCAUAUAAUGGCUAAGUUGAGCCUCCAUCUAUCAGCCCAUGGCAACGAGCUGGAGGAGGAGGAGCCGACCUCGCUCGGCUGAGAGAGGCAUUUUGGGGGGUUUCCGAGUUCCAAGCACUGGAUUUCUGCAAGGGUAAGGGCACAGCGGUUCAUCCUCGUAGUUUUUAUGAAUCUGGGCCUUCUAAACGUGGCCCAUCUCAUACAUGUCGAAUAGAUAGAUGCUCGAGUAUGGGACAGUGCCAAUUGCGUUUCGUUAUCAUCGCUUGCUUUACCGUUCCUGACCGCUUUAUCGGGAAUCGAGCAUUCCACAAAGAAACAUCACAUCAAGUCUGCGUGCGAUGGAAUUCAUGGCAAUGAUUGCAGAGGCUAUACCAACAAUGGUGAUAGGGGAAAUUAAUUGAAGUGGAAAGAGGAGUCUGAGGAGGCUGAGCUCCGAGUCUCUCUUUGUCGAGGAGUCGUCGCUGUGUUUUGUUCUCCCUUUCUCGAACCAUGCCCUGUGAAGAGUAGCAUGGAGGAGGAGAGGCUGAAACAGAGCGAUGCAUUACCAGGAACAACUCCCACAAUAAAUGCGUGGUGAUGAUCCGCAGAGCUCAAGAAACGAGGUGGAAUCUCUCAGAUUUGUUGGUCUCGGUUGUACCCGACACAGUCACUCUCUGUCCCCGGCCCCCCCUCCUCCAAGGCUGACAGCUUGUACCGGCAGAGGAGGAUCAGGCCUCGACCAAAGCAGAGCAUAACCAGGAUUAAGAGGCCCAAGGCUCUGUUUGCAGUCGACUCGUUCUUGAUGUGAAGGAAUCCACGAUGACUAAAUCACUCUGCAAUCUAUCGCAAAAGAUAAGGAUGAUUAUUGACGACGACGACGACGACAUUGUUUUUUUUGUAGUGCUUUGGCGUGUAAUAUCAAUGUAUAUAUACGUUGCAAAAUUUCUUCAAGAGAAUCAUAGACAUGGUAAAACAUCAUGUCGCCAUGACACUGUUAUCAGAGCGAGCGAUGAAGAAGAAGACUCACACUGCCAGAAGAAAGGAGGAGUUUUUAUUGGCGAGUCGAAAUCGCUUAAUUUCCGGUGAGGAUUAAUCCCGAAAGCUAAAAAGGAAAACCAAUACAAGUGGUAAAGAAAGCAUAAAGGGAGAUCCUACCGAGAUAAGCUUGGCCCCACAAGUUGCGUGCCUCACACUCUAAGCUCGUGAAUGGAUCCAAUGAUCCCUCGUAUAAUAAGACAAGUUCUCGCUCUGACAUCAACCCUACACGGUACGCUAAAUAGUUAGUAUUCGAUGGCUUUGACGAAGACAUGUUGAAAGGUCGCUGCAACUGCAGAUGAUACAGACGAUGGGAAGCAGCUCGCCGAGAAGCAGGCGUGAAGAGGCUCCACAUGACCCAUCGCUAUAAAUGAUGAACUACGAGCCCUGUAUGUUUCAUCACAAGGAAAGAAUCAAUGAAAGAUGCAGGCACACAAUUUUAUUGAUCUUGGCCGGCCGGUAUAACAACAACAUCGCUGCUGUUUGCCCUUCUUACAGCUUCGGAAAGCAGGUCGGAGCAUGGUUACGGCAAUUCUUAGCGAGCUUCAUCUUAAACAAAGUGGGAGUGAAAUCCUCCGAUCGUACUUAGCACGGUUGUCAUGUGAUGCUGACUUGAUGUGGAUGACCAACUUUCUUUGUUUUUGCCCCAUCGACAUCCUUUAAAUCUUGCUUGGUCAACCAUGAAAGCCAGAACAGAGCACGGAAGCAAUUCCCUCCUUCGGGGACUCGGUCACAUGAUCAUCCCUACCUACCUAUGCGUGUCCUGAUAACCUCGAUUUGUGCCUAAUUAAACUCGGUACUAUUCCAUUUAGUUCUCUGGUCCAUCCAUCUUCUCCGGGCCGAUUGGCAGCAAUGAUUGAGGCGAGAUGGUACGGAAGGUUUCUGUGUUUCCUGUGGCUGUCUGCCAGACGAAGAAAGAUCAUGCGAGAUCUAGCGGAAUCCAUACUUCCAGAAUUGUGUUGAUGUUCCAAUCUUUUUAAGCGGAGGAAAGAUCGUGUAAGGGAUCCAACGGAAUCCACACUUGCGGAAGAGAGUAAAAAUAAGAAGCUCCUCCGGAUCGUGUCGAUUUUAGACGAAUGCCACCACCACAUACUCGACGGGAAAUAGUUUCCGCUAUACGCUUUCCAUGAUCCGUAAAGCCUGCCUCCUUAGUUAAGAUCCGAGGAGUUGUGAAGCGAGAGACGGUGUAGAGGGCUUUCACAGCCGGAGAGCGAUGCCGAGGAGAAAGUAGCCAUUGCAGAUUUUUUAUGUUCUCAUUCCACAUAAUUUGUCAUACUGCCAAUCUGCAUCCCACUAUCGAGCACUAACAAGAGGACAGAAUUACAAAUAGCCAGAAGAAGAAGAAGAAGAAGAAGAAGAAGGAAAAGAUGCAAAGCCAACUCCACUCCGACCACAACCUGCAAGUUAUUACGCUACACACUCGAGCCACGGCUACAUGGAAACUGAAGACAGAGAGGUAGUUUUAUCUAUUACAAACGGAGCAGGGGGAGGUUUAAGCUUCUAUUACACUCUGAGCAAGUAGACACUCAGCUCAGGGCCUCCAUUGUUGUCUGGGUUCAUCAUGUAGAAGGCCUCGGAGUCUUUGGACCCCACCACCCUCUCGAAUUUUGCUCGCAUGUACAUGACGUCCUUAUCGGUGUUGCCGGCGUCGCCGCCGUCGCCCGGGAUCACCCCGGCCCCCAUCGACACCGGCUCGACGGCCCUCAGCACCUUCCAGUCGCCGGGGCCGCACUCGCGCUGCACCGCGUACCCGCACUUCUUGCCGUUGAUGUACGCCCGCCAGAGCGGCUCCUCCACUAGCCUCGUCGUCGCCGCCGCCUUCUCGCCGCCGCCGCCGCCGCUGCUGGGCUUGCGCUCGCACUCGAGUGCGAUCCUGACCAGGCCCGACGCCAUCUCGCGCACGAGCGCGCUGGUGGCCGUGGCCAGCUCGACGAGCACCACCGGGCACGACUUGCUGUCCGCCUGGAAGGCGAGGUGGACGUGGCCGCGCCGGUGCCCGUAGAGGGUGCCCGUGACGCGGGCGCCGAGGCCCGUCGGUCGGUUCCGGCGGAGGGAAGUAGCGGCUGCCAGAACCGACCGAAGCCUGGACACCGCCGUCUCUGCGGCCGAAGAAGUUUUCUUCUUGGGCCCAGUAGCGGCGGCGGCCGUCUCUUCUUGGUAAGGGUAGGAUGAGGAGGUAAAGGAAGAGAGAGUGGCUUUCUCUUCAUCCUGGUCAUCCCACUCCUUCCUCUCCGCUGCUCCUUCCUUGGGGGACUUCUUUAUCCUCCACUGGAAGUGUUUUCUGGCGGAGGAGGAAGAGAAAGAGGAGGAGUCACGGGAAGUGCUUCUUCCCAUGUUGAUGGUCCUCAUCAGGGACUCUACUGGAAAAGCAAGCAGGAGGAUGGAGUGAUUGGUGAAAUAUUGGUGAGGGGAAGGAGAGAAGAAGAAGAAGAAGAAGAAGGGCAGAGGGGGGAUCCUUUAUGGUGUGUUGUCACUUCUCUCUUCUCCCUCGACACACCACUCGGCAGCGAUGGUGGGCUCAUUUAUGUCCAUGUCCAUGUCCAUGCAUCGGUGAUGGCAGAAGCGACGGCAUUGUGUCAUGCAAAUGCACGCCGUCCUCCGAGGCUGGGGAUCGUCACCAGAAUCCUUACAAAAGUAAGGCUGGUGGUCUGCCCCCACCUAACUGUAAGUGCAUAGAGCGGGGUGGCAGACCGAAAGCAGCAGCGGAAUAGAUAUAGCAUCGGUUCGGUGGGCAGCCAUCCACGAUCCGCGGUGGAUUGAGAGCAGCAGCAGAGGAGAACCGUGGGACGUGGUCUUCCCUCGUCAGCCAUAGUUUGAUGCGUUUAUCCCUUAUUCCUUUGUAGCUGGGAAGGGGAGUGAAUCCACCGAUGGAGCCAACAGCAGAAGCUGGAGUAUUUUAACUGGGUGGGGGGGGGGGAGGUUAAUAAAUACGUUGUUAUCCUCUUGAAGGAGAGGAGAUCCAAGCAUGGAGUACAAACAUGAAGGUCCCAUUGGUCACCAUCAGCCAAACAUGCCAAUAAAUGCUGUGAGAUGGACCUGAUGUGACGACCGGCGGGGGGUGGGGGGCCAAUCAUACGGUAGGUUGGUCCUUUCAGGGUCGAACGGAGCUUUAACCCUUCUGUUCUCCUAUACUCGUAGGAACUCGUCGGAGGUAUUUGGUAUUUGCGCCACUGUCUAUUGUCGUCUGGCACACCCAAUGCUGAUGGCCACUUUACUCAUGAGGGGAUUUGGCUGAAUCGAUUACUCUUUGUCUUCAUGACAACCGAACUCGUUCUGGAGCGAACGGCGACCACACGGAGUGCACGUCGAUCAUGAUAUCCAUAUCUUAGAAAGAGGCUCUCACAAUAAUGCCCAUCCAUAUCUUAGAAUAGUGUGAUGCUGCAGCAGCAAGGAAAUAAACAACACUAAGAAUAGUGAACAGGACGUCUCACUGCCAUGAUCAACCCUGACGGAUUGUUCAUACGUAUACGUUUUCUUGGUCCUCCCUCGAUAAACAACACUGGAACGCCAGAGCGAAGAUGCCAACACGCCUACCUCUCAACCAACCAACCAACCAAGUAGAAUCGACUCUUUAAGGAAGAUGAGAUGCGAUGAUACUUGUUGUUCCAUUUUUGGUCGCUCCCCCUAGCAAACAACGAUCGCGUGAUCGACCUCGAUUCCAUCUCGCAACCAAUUAAAAGCUGCUGUUAGCAGAUGUUUGCGGGAUCAAAAACCUCAACUAAGCUCCGACUUGCAAAUGAGUCGCACAUCUCCGACUACAAACAAAUGCCAUGUUGAUCGACUCGAAUAAAGUAAAAAAUCGUCGACUUCACCUAGUCUUUGUCCCCUUGCAUAUGGCUUUGGCUUUGAAUGUAUUACAUUGGAAAUCCAAUCUGUAGAUAUCUCUAUCUAUCUUUCUUUUCCAAGUUGUUAUCGUUGGCACCCAAUUCCAUUACACUGAAUCAAAUCGAUAAAUCGAAUUUUCUUAUGACAGUCCAAUGUCUAAACAAAUUUCUGUCGUAUAAUCUCUUCACCCAAAGCUAGAAAUGAAUUUGUCGAGGAACUCUAUAAGAACAGCAGCAACAAAUGGAUUGAUUACACAAACCAGCAGCAACAAAUAAGAGGCUGUGACCCUCCAUAUGAUUUGCACAUCAGCAGUGAUAUAUAUAAUCAGCCAAUAUUAUGGACCAUCCAAGAGAGUCAAGAUGAGCAAAAAGAAAAUUAAAAUAAAAGGAAAACCAGCGAUGCUUUGUUCGAACAUCAAAGGAUAUUUCAUUAUUAGGAUACAAGUCAAAAAGCUGUGACCGACGAAAAGAUAGAUAAAAAACUCAGGCGGCACAAAACUGCAGCAGGAAAUUGGUGCUAUUACACUGUCAGCCGCAUCAGCAUUACGAACAACACAAAAGUGCUUAGCAUGCUAAUCGUCCUCUUCCUUUUUCAUAUCGUUUAUACAUGAUCAUUAGCAACACCUAUGAUCAUGCCCUGUUUCCUCAAACCAGGCUGCUCCCACCGUUUACAAGCUCAGCCAAGAUUACCAUCCGAGCUGGGUUGAGAAGAACCGGAGGAGCUGUUGAGGCAACCUGCUCGUCCGGCUGCCACCUAACUUGUACUGGUGUCAAUACACGAAACAAGUUAAUUUUGGCCUUACAACUUUCUGCAUGAAAGUGUCCAAGUACAGCUGCAUCGUUCUUGGAUAGACAAGAAUUUAUUGCAAGAUCUCCACCAACAAAGCUUUGGUGCUGCAAUUCCCAACAUAACCAGCUCCAACCUGUUACAGUGAGGUAAGAGAAAAUUCUCAAGGCAGAUAAACCUUAAUAUAGUAUACUCAACUCUUAAAACCGGCACAAAGAAAGUUCAUGAAAAAAAAAUUAGUUUUAAGAACUGAGAUCAUACAUGCGAAGCUGGCCAAAAUACGAUUCAGCAGCUUUUGAUCUGCUUCAUUACCUGAUGCCUAUACAAGCAACAAGCUACUGCGAAUCAACGAAACAAGAUACUCUAAAGUCUUUUUUUUGCUAUAUGCAAUCUAGUCAUGCGAAACCAGGAAAACAAUAAGCAUCUGAAACGAGGUGCACAUAUGUACAUUUGCUGACUUAGAAGAGGUAACCGAUGUGAUAAGAAAAAGAAUGGCCACAGAACUAGCAUCGUUGUUCCAUAUCCCCAUUCUGCUCUGUGGCACAAUGGAGCUGUUGGAAGGCUUGAAGAACCCAAAGGCCCCAAACUAUACAGGCAAUGCAGCAGCAACCCUCGCACAUAUCAACUAAUAUAACUACCCCAGUAACCAAAAGGUUGCUGCUGCUUUUAUACAAGACAGUACAAAUGGUUCUUCUUCUCCAGAUUGGAUAGUUGUUGCCACUAUUGUGUAUCUUCAGAAUAAGUUUCCAAAAUCAAUUCACAUGACACUUCUCCUUGAAUAUAUAAUCAGCGCUGAUGCCAUUGGAAAACUGGUUAGACCAGGCUCACAAGAUGAGGCUGAUGCACAACGAGUCAAAUGGAUACAUGGGUGAGGGUGACAAUAAACACACAAAGUUUGAUGCCAUGAUACAUGAUCCUUGCAACCCCCAGCUCUGUAGCCAUGCAACCGUCUAUAGACACACAAGUGCAUCUCUGGGGUUGUGGUUUGCCAGGUUUGAACUAUGGUGCCAUAAAGACUAAAAAGGACAGAUAAAUGAGAGAGGCAAGAGCUGCAACAUGAUUACGCACAAACUGAAGUUUUGCAUUUCCUCUAGUCUGGAAUAGUAAUCAGGUAUCUACUCAACCUAACUAACUAUUACAAUUCAUACAAUACUAAAUGUGACAUACUACAUACUCUUUCGUGCUCAGCAACAGUAGUUGAGAAACAUUUUCCCACAAAAUGGGUCACAAACACAUCUAUUAUUCUAACAAGGAAGUAGAGAAGUUGAGCAAUACUGAAGUCAACCAACAAGACAAGAACAGCUUCCAAUUUUAGGUUUUUUUUUCUUAAUAUUUGUUUUUCUGACAAAUCCAUAUGAUGUAUGCCAAUCUUCUCGAUCGCUGUGGAGGAAUGCUCAGAAACCUUCUGGCAAAAGGUAAACUUUCCAGAUCAGUUAGAUGUAAAACCCCAAUUGAUGCAGAUAAAGCUCAUCGAACCAACAUCUUCAAUCUUUCAGAUAUCCUCGAAGCCUCCAAGCCAAGUCUGGAGCUGACUGCCUGCAAUAACACGUUGGCCAAAGGUUAGAUAAGAGGUCCCUCAUGAAUCGGUCAUAAAUCAAGGAAAAAAUUAUGGCUGUCUUCUCUGCUCCACUUAACCGAACUAUGCCCAAGUUAGAAGUGUUCUUCCCUUGAAGUUCCGAUUUUGUUACAAGAACCAUGCGACGAUUUAAUCUACUUUUUUUUUGCUUCUCAUGCACAUGUUUUAGCAAAUCUUCACCCUUAAUUUUGUCAAAUAGAAUUUCCUAUUUCUUCUGAGAAAUCCCUUGUUUUAUUCAUUAAAUCUUUGCUUCAAGAAAAAGCCACUCUUGGUAUAGAUUAAUUCAUUAUCACAUUAUCAUGGGGUAUUAGGAUUUAUCUGGUCUUAAAUGCUUGAAAACACACACACAGGCACAUGGAUUCAACUGGCUUUGACAUGCAUAUUGGCCGGCGCGAGUCCAUAUACUUGGGAUUAUUGAUGGGAGGGGACGCUUAGAGCCACAUUCACGAUGUGUAAAUGCAUACUCUGUAUCUGCUGAUACUCGACGUUACACAGGAGAUAUGAAAAGACGGUGAAAGGAAAGUUGCUGUUUUCACAUGCACAUCAUAACCUAGGACAUGUGGCGCCUCGUGACUGGGAAGAAGGCGAAUACAUUUGCAACGGGGCCAUAUCUCGAUCCUACCCUGUUCAGAUAACAAACAGAGGAGGGAAUGAAAAAUAUCGGGAGAGAGAAAGAAGACAGACCAGUGUGGUGUGAUCGAACGCAUCGCUGUCGAUAUUUUCUUUCACGGAAAACAAAAUAAAGCUACGCAACAACAAGUUGAGGAACCCAGAAAUAAAAAAAUGGACAUCUUUCUGAUGAUCACAAAACGAUACAUUACUCGAUGCAGCUCAAGUUUAUCACGUGCAUAAAUUAUGACGACGAAAUAAAGAAAGCUGACUCCUGAAGCUGACAUCACAUCGCUACAUAUAUAAACACAGAAAACCUGGACUUGCGUUCUUGUUGACAUGCACCACAUCUCACCAAAGUCAGCAAUCCAUACCAUUCAUUCUCUUGUUAAAUUAUUUUAUUACCCGAUGAUAAGUUAUAUUUUAGGUCCAAAACAUAGACACAUUUGUUCACCAACAAGGUUGUGAGCACGUUGUAAGGUACCAACGAAAGUUGAUAUUGAUAAUAUCGAAGUGAGAACAAAAGCAUUCUGGUUUCAGACAAUGUUUUUAAUGAAAAAGACAAUAUCAAAUGAGACACUCUAAAUCAAUGACCAUCUAGAGAAGUCAACAAAAUGCACAAGAGAUCAGAAACGACGGAUCACCUGUUGUCUCAGGAAAGUGUGUAAAAGGUGCUCGUUUCAACAGAACACAACAAAUACAGAGUAAGACAUUUACGACUAUUUUUCUAGUUUAUACGACGCUGUAGUAGUGUGUGAUUGUCAAACCAGGAAUCCUAAUUAAUAGAAGCAUCAAGCAACUGGGAAAAGAAACAGUGAUGUCUAUAUCACUCCCAGAAAAGAAAACAAACAUUCAUCUCCAACACACUAUUAAUGCAAAACCAAAAAGUAAGCCAUUGCUCCCCACCCACAGUCCAAAAUAAAUACCACAGCGAAUCAUCUUGCUGCUCCACAAGGUGGGAGCAUACUGAUCGAGGAACCAUCAAUUGAAAAUGCAUUAUUAAGUAACUUCCAAAUCAGAAAUACCGAUCGAGAGUUUGUCAAUAUAUUGUUUUUUUUUUAAAGAAAAUUGAUCCCAGCAUAACAUCGACAACUUAUCACGAAGAGUUUUUUUUUUUUUACAGGAAUUUUUUCUUUUAAUUUUUAAACAUUUUUAUUCACGAAGAGUAAUCUGAUAGAAGAGAAGAUCAUAAUAGAAAAUCAUGAUAGAAUAACAUCCCUAUUUCUUAUUAUCUUUAAUCAAUCAUGGAUUUAAAUAAUACAUAAUUGAGAAAAUUCUAUACCUCAAUGAAUAAAAUUCAUCCCUUUUCACAACCUAUUUCUUAUUUCUAAUGGUUUCCCUUCCACAAUCUAUUUCGGAUUUGAGUCUCUUCCUCAAAACAUGCACAAUAAAUAAAAUCCCAACCCUUUCCCAACCUAUUUCUUAUUUCUACACUAUCGGAUCAGUUGCAAAUGUCAUAUCCAUCAAAUUCCUGAGACAGCAAUGUGUUGCUAGCUGCUGUCAAACUAAUCGACAAAGAAAUGCUGUUUAACAUGACUCAUCGAUGAUGCUAACCUAGCAUUCCGAAGAUGGCAGUGAGAUUUUCUCAUGAAGAAAUUACCUGUGUCGAUGGCCUAUUAAGAAAUUUGUCCUUUCAUGUUGUUAGACUAUCUUAUGGUAAUUGCAGAUCGACACUGUACAAUGCUCGAGAUGAGCAACAAGAUGAGCAGCGGUCAAACUGACCAUGUGAGCAGUAGCACUGUGAAAUGGCAUCCGAGACUACGAAGAAGAAGAAGAAGAAGAAGAAGAAGAAGAAGAGGGAAACCUAAGAAUGCCGACGACGCGGACCCGAAGCGCCGUGGAUCGCCUCACGAGACUGGUUCGAGCGCCGCCAUCGCUAUUCGCUGCGCCCCCAAAAACGUCUUCCGAGUUCUAAUGCCCCCUCGUUGGUUAGCGACCGAAGCACCGUUGCGUUACAUUACACCGCGCAAGUAAAUUAGUUAAACGGUGUCUCGUUCGGCUGGUGAGCGGAGUAGGAUGUUUAACGGAUGGAUGAAUAGAAAUCCCUUUGGAAAGCGCCCAAAUCACGUGAGCCAGAGGGAGUCGAUCAUCAAUCAAUCAAUGUCGAAAAGACUUGGGGCUUUUAGAAUGUGAUUUUUCACGCCAUCCGAACCAAGAAGAAGCCAACUGUUUAGUAUAUGAUAUGGGUUUAUUUAUUUGGCUCGUAUGAUUGGUGAUUUGAUCAUCCAUCCGCCUUAAUUAGAAAGAUUUCACUGUUUCGAUCGAAGAGGACUCUCUCUAUCCAAAGAAAUGUCUUCGGGUGCUGCUGUCCGAACAAGUGCAGUUUUUUCUUGUUCUGACGACUACUGCGUUUAAAACCCAUGCGAUGCGUUGAAUUCGAUUAGUGGACCGUGUCAUCAAUCGACGCGGUCCAUGCCACAAUUACUGGGCCAACCAAAAUGAGAGUUCGAAAGCAGUGGUAUGGAUGGAUGAUGACAGGAUCUUGCAGACGAGGAGGAGGAGAAGAAGGAAGACGAUGAGAUGACGUCCUCGUCGUUGGAAAGGAGCACAGAUUAGAUGUAGGGGAGCGGGGCUCAUCGCUGACCACAGUAACAUUACAAAAAACAAUACAUUUUUAUUUAACGAGUCCCAUUUCGAGAGAAACUAGCAUUUUGGUAAAUAUAUAUUAUAGAUUCCGGCACAUCGUUAGUGGUAAAGUGACAACUUAUUGGGGGUGCCAUGAUGAUAUGACGAUGAGGAUGAGAUGGGGCCAAACCCCUCCCCGAUUGGUGACCAUUAUUGAUGUUAGUUGGGUAUUUAUUAGCCGGGAAAAAGGUCUGUCGGGAAACAUUGCAUCUGAGAAAGAAAUGUCGAUGAUAUCAUCUUCGCACCAACUGCAAUUAUCAUACAGCUGCCGAGAACAUGGCUUGAUUUCACAGCUAUCACAAACUUGCAACUUUCCAGCCUCGGAUGGAAUGCAGGAGCUCGUACGGACGAGAUGAAUCGACUGCAUUGUAUCGUGCUCAUUUUAGUCAAGUUGGGCACGGGUCUCAUGUGUACCACCUGAAUGAAGCUUACCUGCGUCCGCAAACGUUAAGCGUUGUGAUAAGCGCAGAGCAAUAAUAUCUAACGCUGCUGUUGAUUCCAAAGAUACAAAAAAACAAAAACAAAAACGUAUAGAUAGUCGAAACAUGAUUCGGAGAGGGGAAAACAUUUCAUGCAUAAUCCGGUAGUUAAGUAGCCGAAAAAUCUGAAGGAAGGGAUAACAUGUGCUGAUGGCAAGUCGACCUGCUGAUGACAUGUGCUGGCACGUACCAUGUCUGUACGUGUCACAUGCAACCCUAACGUGAUCCUUUGUCUUCCUCAAUAAAGAACAACGCGUCCUACUGUGCGCAAAAGGAACUCCACAUGAAGGGUUCGGGCUGGAAGCCGGCCCAACUUGUGGCGGUGGCGGGGUCACUCCUCAUCGGCGUACAUCUGGCUGUGGAGACUUGUUUAAUUAACCCAGAGAGAGAGAGAGAAGAGGCCGUAUACGGAGCGUGAUACGGCUAGUCCCACAAGUCCUCCUCUCACGGGACCAGAUCAUUCCGUCUCGCCCCACUCAGCAUACUGAAUCGAAACCACGUUCUAUUGGCUAAGGUUGCAGGACCCGAUGGUCCGCCAAAUUGCAAGACCAUCUUUGCUGCUUGCUGGCUCGGCCGAGACACAGUGGCCGCACCCGCCUCAAAACCGAAGCAUAUCCUGACAAGGGAAAAGAUUAAUAAACAAUUUCCCCUCCAGAUCUCUUCAGAAUAACGAGAUUGCCACCCGAUCCUCUCCUGCUGCUGCAGCUCACGGUACGACUUCCUUGUAAUUAAUUAAUACCGUGGAAACGAUAUAUUAUAUUUCUUGGAUUUGUAUUAAUGACAUCGGUUAAGGGAAUUUCUUAUUUUUUAUUAUUUUUGGUAGAAAGAUAUAUUAUUUGCCCAUGAUCCCAAGUUGACAUCAAUGCUUCACUAGAAAAACCAUCUACUAGAUCAUCAUACUACUCCCUCCUUCCAUCGAAGAAGCAUGCCGCUUGAAUGAAACAAUCGUUACGAUGAUGAGGUGAUCCGAGACAACCUACGUCGCAUGAUACAAUAGUUGUAUCGAAUCGUCGUUGACCAACCUGAUAUGCUAAUGCAUAUGCAUCUUAAAGGUGGCCUUCUUCAACUUCACUAAACAUUUGCAUAUAUCGCAAGUGAUUUCGAAGCGGCAGUACAAUACGACGACACAAAAAAUCUGUAGCGCUGGCUGGGUUACAUGGAUGGCAAUUGGGAAAAUUGAGUCCAUGUUGGGGGUACUCGAUAAGGGUGGAGUCGGCCUUCUGUGCUGCUGCAGCUGCAGCUGCAGAUGAACGACUGCUAACCUUGUCUGCCGAGCCGGACAUCGUCCCACGUUACUCCCACCGAGUCUUUUUCAUCGCCUCUCUCUCUCUCUCUCUCUCUCCUCAUCUAAUUCUCCAACCUUCUCCUCCUUC
rnacentral:lncRNA from 1 species